GUUGACGGUGAUGACGAAGUUGACUUGAUGGUUCAAACGCGGCAUAUGCGAGAUCUUGUCAUUCUGGUGAUCAGGGGCCUCGCCCAGAAGUUCAACAGCACCUCCCUCAACUCGCUUCUCAGGAUAGAGGCGUGAAAACAUGAUAUACCUGACAAUGUAAACCAAUGAGGAACGUAUGUUGUUCAAUACCGGUGUUGUAAUUUGUUGGUUUGUAGUGCGUAUUUUGUAGGAUUUGUAGCGUGUCAGCUUGUGUGUGAUCCUUUUGUUCUUGUAAAGAACCAACACACAAGAGCUAAUAGUGGCCCUUGUGACUUUGGUUUUUUACAUGUCUCAUGAAAUGUACAUAGGGUUUUCAGAGUGGGAGAGUGGUGUUGUAUUCAAAUACAGCUUGCGCAUGCCGUUAUAAUAUCAGGUCAUAUUGUUGAUGAUCAGUCAUUCCUUAUUAUCACAGUGAUGUCAGGGUGGGUAUUCAGCGUGCUCUGAAUUACUACCGUUAUGGUGUAACCUUACAACUUGAAGAUGCAUCACACUUUAUUUUCAUUGGCAGAUUAGUGCAUACUACGUAAAACUGUUAUUUUUUGAAUUUGCAGGUUGCAAAUAUAGUUUUUUAUUUAUUUAACAUAAACGAAAAGAGCUGUUAUUUUACUGAACUGUUUCCAUGCUGGUGAUGCUUGUCAGUCGCCACGUCAGCGAAACAUGUAUAGCAUCAGAAUAUCAGAUGGAGAAGAGCUAGCCACGGCAGUGUAUCUUAUCCGAACUGGCAGGCACUCCCUAACCAGGGGGCGCCACGUCGGUGGCAAGGAUCCGAAACCUAUCCUCGAGCGGCCGCCGCUCGCCACGCGAUUCCCCGUGUGGCCCCCGCUCCACAAGAUUUAAGAAAGGAACUCGUUGAGCAUUGCACCUGAGCAAUCGCAGCAUCCACAGCGCAGAAAUCCGCAGCCAUGGCUUCCCAGCUCUCCGCCAUGACCUCCGUGCCGCAGUUCCACGGCCUCAGGACCUACUCCUCGCCCAGGUCCAUGGCGACGCUGCCGUCCUUGAGGAGGAGGAGGUCCCAGGGCAUCCGCUGCGACUACAUCGGCUCCUCCACCAACCUCGUAAGAUCACACUCAUACUAGAGGGGGUACAUGCGAAUGAGUCGGUCAUCGAUUGGUUGGUUGCUUGACAUAAUAACUAAUACUAUAUGCGGAUGCAGAUCAUGGUGACGACGACGACCCUGAUGCUCUUCGCCGGGCGGUUCGGGCUGGCGCCGUCGGCGAACAGGAAGGCGACGGCGGGGCUCAAGCUGGAGGCGCGCGAGUCCGGGCUGCAGACGGGCGACCCGGCCGGUUUCACGCUCGCCGACACGCUCGCAUGCGGCGCCGUUGGCCACAUCAUGGGCGUCGGCAUCGUGCUCGGCCUCAAGAACACCGGCGUCCUCGACCAGAUCAUCGGCUAGAAUAACCCUUCCUUUUCCCUCCAUAGCUGUUCUGCAUCCAUCGGGCGCUCCAUCUAGUGGAUCAACUAAUGCUCCCUUCGUAAUUUGAUCAUGUGAAUGUAUGUGUAUGCAUCUUUGUUUCAGCGGGACGUACCGCCGCGCCGGUGUGGCAACUGCUUCAUCCCAUGCGUUUUUUCACCAUCUAUAGUAGACUAUUACUCCCUCUGUAAAUUAACAUAAAAACAUUUAAAUCAUUAAAAUAGCGAUCUAAACAUUUUAUAUUAAUUUACAGAGGGAGUAUCUUCUAGAUGGUGAAGAUCCGCUCGUGCUAUUGAAAAAGCAACACAUAGUCCGAUAACUAAAUUAGUAACAAACUAACAAUAAGAGCAUUCUCAAAAAAACAAGCAAACAAACAAAAAAAAUAAGACCGCAAAACAACCCCGUGUCGCCACCUAAAUUUCACGGUGGGCUGGACAUCCUUAAUACUUUCAUUAUGAACAAGUGGUGGUGGAGAAUCCUAACUUCGGGUCCUGGCUCUAUGUGAUGCUCCCUUUUCAAAGGUAUUUUUUUCUUAAUUACUGUCCUUUAUUGCCUCUUUCUUGGGUGGGUCCUGUAAGAUUGAAUCGACGAAGCCUUCCUACUCCUAGAGGGAGCCGUGUAAUGUUUAUUUAUAUUGAGACGAGAAGCCCUCGUCGUAGCUAUUUAUAUUGAGACGAGAAGCCCUCGUCGUGGCUUAGAAGAAAGAAUCGACCGAUCUCCUGAUCGGAUCGUUACAAGGAGUCCUGUUAGGAAACAUGAACGGGAGGAGGUUGAGAUUACAAUGAGAGUCCAAUAUCAAUACGUUUAACACCCUUCCUUAAUCUCAACUAUCCUACAUUAAGAUUUUUCUUAAACUUCCCGAAUGGCUUGAAUGGUAAGGCUUUAGUAAAACCAUCUGCUACCUGAUCUCUUGAAGGAAUGAACCGUAUAUUCAACUUCUUUUCUGCAACUCUUUCACGCACAAAAUGAAAGUCAACCUCAAUGUGUUUCCUGGGCAUAUCCCGGGCCGGGCCGGGCUUUACAAAGCCCGAAGUGGAAAUCUCAAGCCCGAGCCCGGCCAAAAAAACGUAAAAUCAGGCCCGAGCCCGGCCCGAAUGGGCAUAAAAGGUGAAUUUCGGGUCGGGGCGGCCCCCCGUGUAUAUCACCUAUUUUGCAAGCCCGAGCCCGGCCUGAACUGCUUUCCGGGCCCGAUUUUCAAGCCCGAGACCGACCCGGCCCGACCCGAGGUUUUCGGGCCGGGCUGCCCAUGCCCAAAUGUAGGUUCUACCAUCAAACACUGGAUUAGCAAAAAGAUAAGUUGCUCCCAAGUUAUCACACCAUAGACAAGAUAUACAGUGUUGCUGGAUUCCUAACUCAUGAAGCAAUGACUCCAACCAGAUAAUAUCAGCAGUUGCAUUUGCUCGUGAUUUGUACUCAGCCUCUGUACUUGAUCUUGAUACCGUGGCUUGUUUUCUAGCACUCCAAGAGAUAAGGUUUGAACCAAAGAACACUGCAAAUCCUCGAGCUGAUUUUCUGUCAUCACUACAACCUGCCGAGUCGGCAUCAGAAAAGGCACUAACAAAUGUAGAACUAGAACGUCUCAGCUGAAGUCCCAAACUCACAGUGUGUUUGAUAUAACACACAAUUCUUUUGACAGACGUACAAUGAAUGGACGUAGGGGCAUGCAAAUAUUGGCAAACCUUGUUUACAGCAAAUGAUAUGUCUGGUCGUGUCAUGGUCAAGUACUGUAGAGCUCCAACAACACUCCUAUAUUUUGUGCUCUCCUCUUCAUUAAGCGGUUCUCCUUGAUAUGGUGAAAGUUGUUCAGAAGAAGACAAUUGUGUAGGUGAAGGUUUGCAAUCCUUCAUUCCCAUACGAGUUAGAAGUUCGGUGGCAUUUUUUCCCGAUUCAGUACUAUGCCAUCCGAAGUCUUCCUAACUUCAAUGCCUAAGAAAAAAUAUAAAUCACCAAGAUCCUUCAAAGCAAACUCUAAACUUAAAUCAUGCAAGAGAGCAUUAGUGGCAUCUUGUGAGGAGCUUGCAACUAUGAUGUCAUCAACGUAUAUCAGCACAAAAAUCACUUUGUUUGCCUUAUUAUAAAUAAGGAGAGAUGUAUCUGCUUUGGAUGGAACAAACCCAAGAUGCUUCAACUGUGAACUUAACCUUGAGAACCAUGCUGUAGGUGACUGCUUUAUUCCAUAAAGUGCCUUGUCAAGUUUGCAAACAUAGUGAGGUGUUUUUUGGUUUUCAUACACUCGUGGUUGCCUAAUAUAGUCCUCCUCUUCGAGAACACCAUGCAAAAAUGAGUUCUGAACAUCUAGCUGUCUAAGACUCCAUCCUCUAGACACAGCAAUGGCAAGCAUAAGUCUUAUAGUAGCAGCUUUAACAACAGGGUUAAAGGUGUAACGACUAAGAUGCGGUCCUUUCCGAUUUGGGGAACGAGGCCCCGAAUUGGAAAGAAGCGCAUCUAACCGUUUCGCAAACAUGGUAACAUAGCACAUACAUAAAUAAUAGAGGAAUGACAAUAAGGGAUUCAACUGUCAUCUCAUAAAUAUCUCAGAGUUACAUCACACAUUCAAACAAGGUAGUUCCGCUACGGACUACAAAACAAGGGAAAUGACUAUGCUACCCUACAUGCUUGCCCAUGAUCACGACCACGUCUCAGUGAUCUGGAUAGUUCACGUACAUGCGGUCGUUCUCCUCAUCGUACUGCCACGCCAGCUGCGUGCCAUCGGGAUCACCUGUCUUGGGGGUACCUGAACCUGUUGGUGUUGUGAAGGAAUCUGUGAGUCACGGCGACUCAGCAAUCUAUGACCUCGGUGCCAGAACUAGUGAAGUUAUUAGGUUGGAAAGGCGAAGUGUUUAGGUUGCAGCAUCCUAAGCUUUAUAUGGUGGCUAACUAACGUAGAACAUGUAUGAAGGUGGUCUAUUCUAGCGAUCGAUGAUAGUUGAGCACUAAGUGAUCGUGAACACCUACCUACGUCAAUCAUAAUCCCACCGUGUUCCCGAUCGAAAGUCACGGUUACGGUUAUGCACACAGUUGGCAAUUUUUAUUAGCUUAUGUUUAAGUUAUCUAUUACCGGAUGUUAACAAACAUUCCAAGUUGCCACAUAACCGCGAGCACGACUUUCCGAAAGAUUAAACCCUACAGGGGUGCUCGAACUAGUCCAUCACAAACGUACACAUGCCGCAAAGUAAUCCUCUAUCACGAAUCUCGUGAUCUCGUCAGAUUCCUCAGAGGAAAACCUCAGCUCUGGGGAGAACCAAAAAGCUUCACCGGGAUUCCUAUAUGCAAGAUAUAUCGCUAAGGUAAGACAAGACUAGUAGGACCUCCCGGUGUGUCGACGACCCUGAUAAGAGCCGCGUAUCUCAGUCUUAGGACAACACCGUCUGUGCAUAGUGGACAAGGACCAAACCUCAAGUUUCCUUGGGGUGGUAUUGCCGACUGCUAGUUGGGGGACCAACACUCAUGAGGAGCACUGGCCCGGGUUGUUGAUUAAAUUCCUCGGGGUAGCUAUUCCCUAUGCAGAUUAUUAUUAAGUGAUUAGCAGAUUAAAACCAAUGUUGGGUCCUGCCGGACAAGUCUUAACACUACGCGAUUUAUUGAGGGGGUCCCCAUAACAACCCCGAACGUGUUAGGAGCGAUCAUUAUGNNNNNNNNNNGCUAUGGCGGCAAUAACGGAACAAAACACCCGGCAAAAGGCUAGGCCUUCCGUUAUUUACCAAGUAUAUAGGUGCAUUAAUUAAAUAACAGAAUUAAGAUAAUGAUAUCAAGCUCAUGUUAUCACAUGAGACAAAGCACGUGCAACUAGCAAGCUAACAUUAGAAGAUUAGCAAAGCCUACUUAGCCAUUCAAGAUUUGCUAGGAAGGGAUAAGUGUUUAGGUUUCAUGGCAACUCAGGAGGCAAUUGUUUCAGUGGUAGGCAGCGAGCAUAUGAUGGAAGAAACGUAAUCUAGGAUAACAAGUCUAGAGAUGGAAUCAAGGUCAUAUCAUCUUGCGUGUGAUAUCCUCAGCUUGGAACUGUUCUUGUUCGUCCUGCACGUACUCUCCCGAAUCCACGUACUCGUUCUCCGAUCCCGGUGCUACCCAACAUAAGAAUAACAUCCAAUGAACAACAGCACCUCAAGAUGCAACAAACACAUGAUGCAUGAGAUCAAUAUGAACAUGCAUCACUAUUUCUAUCACNNNNNNNNNNNNNNNNNNNNNNNNNNNNNNNNNNNNNNNNNNNNNNNNNNNNNNNNNNNNNNNNNNNNNNNNNNNNNNNNNNNNNNNNNNNNNNNNNNNNAAACAAACCAACAUGGAUGGGGUGGAGCAAAGAAGAACACCACACCAUCAACUAUGCACUCACAAUCAUCAAAACAUCAAAACUCAUAAUCUGCCAUAAACAACAUCAUAGCACUUUGUGAGCUACAUGCAAAGCACCUAGAGCCACCUAAACAUGCCAAAUAAGAUAUGUGGCAGUAGCUAUCCAAGAGUACUACAAGCACAAGCAAAAAUAUCACACAAAGGAGUUAAACACAGAAAGUUACACAGCUGCAAACUUGCCCAAAAACAUCAGAUUUCAGGGACUUAGUGAAAAUUCCAUAUUCUCACUAUCUGUUUAUGCUCUGAAGCAUUUUGACUGCAGCCAACACAAUAUCUACAGGACUCCAAAUGAAAUGAAAAUUUACAGGGAGCUAGACAAACAUAUAAGCUUCAACUUUCCAGUUGAAAGCUAAGGCUGAAUCACAAUACAUUGACCUGCACAAGCUCAUCAACAGGAGAAGAAAAUAUAAACAGAUUCUCAGACUUAGUGAUUUUCACUAAUCUGGAAUUUCAGCCACAUGCCUACUUUGAUUGGGAACAACUUGCACAUAUGCAUCCUAAACAUGAAACAAAAGCAACAAGUGGUAGAGGGGGUCACCCUUAACUACCACAACCAAGAAUCAAACACUUGGGCACACCACAUCUCAUGGAACCAAGCUCUAAACAUAGAACAAAUCUAAAAUAUGUCAUUUUCAGAAAGUGUUCCAAUUGCAAAUCUGAUCUCACCAAUGGAUUCCUGGGAUGAUUCUACCCCAGAAACAUAUAUAAAACUUAUGCACUUGCUUGGAACAAGUGGGCACAAACUAGGAAAGAAAUUCUACAUGGAAUCGUAUGUAGUGAAUAGUGCAUCAUCACAUGUACAAAAUCACUAGAACAACUCCUACACAAGCUCUUGCACAUGACCACAACAUCAAUGGGGGUACAUGAGGGGUAGACCUCAUGCCUAUGUGCGUUGGCACAUCACCACACCAUCACAAGCAACAAGCACAACAUAAUAACAACACUUACACAUGAAAUCUUGCACAUAUGCCCAUCAAGGCAUAACUUGCCAUGNNNNNNNNNNUUGAGACAUACUCACAUGAGCACCCACACACUCACAUAGGAUCUAGCCAAUCUAUAUAUACAUGCACUCAUAACAACAAUGCACUCCUAUACAUGAUAAUACUACACAUGCUCUCCUAGUGAAAACACACCANNNNNNNNNNGUGUGACAUACUCACAUGAGCACCCACACACUCACAUAGGAUCUAUCCAAUCUAUAUAUACAUGCACUCAUAACAACAAUGCAGUCCUAUACAUGAUAAUACUACACAUGCUCUCCUAGUGAAAACACACCACAUGCAUAUGACUUGAACCACAUGCAUAUGCUCCUGCAAGCAACCUACACCAACAUAUAUACAAGGUGUGUGGGAGGGGAAAACCCUUCACACACACACACACACUCACUUGCACCAAAGGCACAAGCAUCACAUGACAACAACAACUACCAUGCAUACACCCUUGUUAGCAACACAUNNNNNNNNNNACACACACUCACUUGCACCAAAGGCACAAGCACCACAUGACAACAACAACUACCAUGCAUACACCCUUGUUAGCAACACAUACACCUCAUACAUGCUGUUUUAAGGAGAGGAUAAAUCUCCCCCAUGGUGUGAGGCACACCAAGCCACAUCUACACAAGCCAAAGGUAAACAACAAAAGGAAAAAAAUAAAGCACAGCAAAAAAAAUAAAAGGUGGGGAAGGAGGGAUCAAACCCUGUACCCCUCUGGUACUGCCCACAGAUACAAACCACUCUGCUAGUGGCCUUGCGCUCGACAGAAGAGAGCAGCCUAGCAAGUUAAACUACCUGCUAUGCUAAACUACUGUACCGAAGGAAAUAAAACCAAAAGGGUGCCAAGGGGGGGAUCGAACCCGCAACCUCCAACAGGCAACAACACACUACCACUACGCUACGCAUCGAAGUCUGACAGAGAAGGGGUCUCUGCUCUUUUGAGCAUUCCCUUCAGGAUCCACUGAUGACCCACAGUGGCCGGAACAAGGGAGCUACCUCGCCAGCGACAGAAGAUAAAUUACACUCCGGCGCGUUGAUGGAAGGAUGCCCUGGCAUCCACAGUUCCAUUUCCCUAGUUAAAUCCAUUCGAGAGGCACUACUGCUACGCCUCUACGACGCGCGGCGACGCCGGCGACAGGGAACAGCACGACGGCGAACCUACGACACCUACGCUCGAUCUAAGAUAGGGAAGGGGGAAGGAAGAAUCUGCUCACCCCACAGCUGAAGAGACCGAGCCGGCCGGAGAGGAAGCAGGGGACGGAGAGGAAGGAUCCGUGUCGAGGAAGCUUGUCGGAGCGGAAGGGGUCGUCGUCGAUGGAGGGGAAGAAGAGGAGAUGCCGCCGUCCUUGCCGCGGGAAUGGAUUCCCUGGAGAUCCUGCAAGCUCGACGACGCCUUGGAGAGGAAGCAGAGGCACAACACCAACGGCGACGAGCUUCUUCACGAUCCGGCCAUGGCAGAAGCACCACUAUUUCUUACCUCAGGUCGUCGACAGAGAGAGAGGGAGAUGGGGAAGAAGUGGCGGUGGCGGAGGAGGAAACCUAGCUUUGGCACGGAUGCCAAGGGGGGUUAAAUAGGGGAAGGAGAGGAGAGGGACGCGGCGCGGCCAUGUGCGUGNNNNNNNNNNGGUGGAAAGCAGAGAGGAACGGGCCGGGACGCUGACAGUGGCCCCGGGAGUCGAGCUGGAAAGGAGGAAGAAGAGGGACACGCUGCGGGCUCCUGCGCGAGAGAGAGAGGAGGAAGUGGGCCGGCCAAACUGUUGGCUCAAAAAUAAAGAUAAAAUCACCCCUGGUCAUAAGGAACUAUGACCUAUUUGAAUUAAAUGGAAAAGAAAUGUUUGGGGCAAAUAAAUAUUUACAAAACAGCAUUUGCUUGAUCUGUUUUGUAAUUAUUUGCACCUUUAAAACAUGUUUUCAAAAUAGCAAUUUCACAUCACAAAUACACCACAAACAAGAGCUAAAAGAGGGACAUUUUUAAAACAGAUAAGGUUCAAGUGAAACUUGACCUUGAGAUGAAAUAGAGAGGGGGAAGAUGGUUUUGAAACCUAUACAACCACAAGGCACUCCCUACUAUCAUCUACCCCCACACCAUUCACACAACCCACAUCACAUCAACAACACAUGAAUUCACAAGACUCAAACCAAGACAUAGCAUGAUAUGGAAUGCAUGCAUGCAAGGGAAGAAAUAAUAAGGUGACAACACAUGAAAUCAUAAGCAUUGAACUCUCUCAUGUCAUUGACAAGGUGGAUCCACAUGGGAAUGUUCCAAAUAGGGAAGUUUACACACUUGGGGCAUUACGAAAUGUAUCCUCAUAGUCAAUACCAUAUCAUUUCUUGAACCCUUUUGCAACUAGACGUGCUUUAUAUCUAUCAAUGGGGCCAUCUGCCUUUCUUUUGAUUCUAUAGACCCACUUGCAGUCAAUAAUAUUUUUACCUUUCUGACUUGGUACCACACGCCAUGUUUUAUUCUUCAUGAGUGCACCGUACUCUUCAUCCAUAGCCUUUCACCACUUAGGAUCUCCAAGUGCAUCACUCAAUCUGGUUGGUUCACCUAAAAUACACAGCAUGCCAUAUGUGUUAGAGCAUAUUUCUCCGUAUGUGGUUUUGGUAAUUGAUGACAAUCCCUAUGGACUAAUGGUUGCCUUAAAUUAUAUUCGAAGUGUUAGGGCACAUUUAUGCCUAAGUAAUUUUGGUGAUUGAUGACAUUACCUUAGUGGACUAAUCAUGUGCAUUGAGCAUUUCAGAUAAUACAUGACAAAGGCACAAGAUGAUUCGACACCCUCCAUGGAAUAGAAGCACGGUGUCUUCUACGAUUCUCUUUGGUGGUUUUGAGUCGUAGGAACGCCGUACUAUUAAGAGGAAAUCCAUAUUGGGAAGGUUUGGGUGGAAUCAAUCUUGCACGCACACACUUUUUCUCCAUCUCCUUUCCCUUGCAACUAUGGAGCUUUUCCCCUCUCUGGUCUUUCUCUUCUUGCAAAAAUGUCCUCUGGCGGUAGUACCACUGGACCUAGCGGUAUUACCGCUGGCCCUAGCGGUAGUACCGCUGGAGCUGACGGUAGUACCGCUGGCCUAGCGGUAGUACCGCUGGCCCAGCGGUAGUACCGCCCAUGGUCAACGGUAGUACCGCUCCACGACUUUGGCACCGUCAUCCUUGCGGCUGUACUACGUCAGACUUUUUGCAAAGACUUUCUUGGCGUUGGUUGGACCGGUAGUAUCUUUGCGUUACCAUGGGCCAGCGGUAGUACCGCUACGGCCAGCGGUAGUACCGCUGGAGGGUCAGCGGUAGUACCGCUGCAGCCAGCGGUAGUACCGCUGGGCUCGUGCUGUGAGUGAGGAAAACGGUUGGAUUCUUUCCCCCACUAUAUAAAGNNNNNNNNNNNNNNNNNNNNNNNNNNNNNNNNNNNNNNNNNNNNNNNNNNNNNNNNNNNNNNNNNNNNNNNNNNNNNNNNNNNNNNNNNNNNNNNNNNNNGUGAUAGAAAUAGUGAUGCAUGUUCAUAUUGAUCUCAUGCAUCAUGUGGUUGUUGCAUCUUGAGGUCUGUUGUUCAUUGGAUGCUAUUCUUAUGUUGGGUAGCACCGGGAUCGGAGAACGAGUAUGUGGAUUCGGGAGAGUACGUGCAGGACGAACAAGAACAGUUCCAGGCUGAGGAUAUCACAGGCAAGAUGAUAUGACCUUGAUUCCAUCUCUAGACUUGUUAUGCUAGAUUACGUUUCUUCCAUCAUAUGCUCGCUACCUACCACUAAAAUAAUUGCCUCCUGAAUUGCCAUGAAACCCAAACACUUAUCCCUUCCUAGCAAAUCUUGAAUGGCUAAGUAGGGUUUGCUAAGCUUCUAAUGUUAGCUUGCUAGUUGUAGGUGCUUUGUCUCAUGUGAUAACAUGAGCUUGAUAUCAUUAUCUUAAUUCUAUUAUUUCAUUAAUGCACCUAUAUACUUGGUAAAUAACAGAAGGCCUAGCCUUUUUCCGGGUGUUUUGUUCCGUUAUUGCCGCCAUAGUUACCGGCUACCGGUGUUUGAUUCCAUAAUGAUCGCUCCUAACACGUUCGGGGUUGUUAUGGGGACCCCCUCGAUAAAUCGCGUAGUGUUAAGACUUGUCCGGCAAGACCCAACAUUGGUUUUAAUAUACUAAUCACUUAAUAAUAAUCUGCAUAGGGAAUAGCUACCCGAGGAAUUUAAUCAACAACCCGGGCAAGUGCUUCUCAUGAGUGUUCGUCCACCCACCUAGCAGUCGGCAAUACCACCCCAAGGAAACUUGAGGUUUGGUCCUUGNNNNNNNNNNUAGACGGUGUUGUCCUGAGACUGAGAUACGCGGUCUUAUCAGGGUCGUCGACACACCGGGAGGUCCAGCUAGUCUUGUCUUACCUUAACGAUAUAUCUUGCGUAUAGGAAUCUCGGUGAAGCUUUUUGGUUCUCCCCAGAGUUGAGGUUUUCCUCUAAGUAAUCCGACGAGAUCACGAGAUUCGUGAUAGAGGAUUACUUUGCGGCUCAUGUACGUUUGUGACGGACUAGUUGGAGCACCCCUGCAGGGUUUAAUCUUUUGGAAGCCGUGCUCGCGGUUAUGUGGCAACUUGGAAUAUUUGUUAACAUUCGCUAAUAGAUAACUUAAACAUAAGCUAAUAAAAAUUACCAACUGUCUGCGUAACCGUGAUUGUCCCAUUCGAAGAUCUCUCUUCGAUCGAGAACAUGGUGGGGUUCUGAUUGACGUAGGUAGGUGUUCAGGAUCACUUAGUGAUCAACUAUCAUCGAUCGCUAGAAAAGACCACCUUCAUACAUGUUCUACGUUAGUUAGCCACCAUAUAAAGCUUAGGUUGCUGCAACCUAAACACUUCCCCUUUCCAACCUAAUAACUUGACUAGUUAUGGCACCGAGGUCAUAGAUUGUUGAGUCCCUGUGACUCACAGAUUCCUUCACAACACCAACAGGUUCAGGUACCCCCGAGAUAGGUGAUCCCGACGGCACGCGGCUGGCGUGGCAGUACGAUGAGGAGAACGACCGCCUGUACGUAAACAAUCCAGAUGACUAAGGUGUGGUCGUGAUCAUGGGCAAGCAUGCAGGAUAGCAUUAUCAUUUCCCUUGUUUUGUUGUCCGUAGCGGAACUACCUUGUUUGAAUGCGUGAUGUAACUCUGAGAUAUUUAUGAGAUGACACUUGAAUCCCUUAUUGUCAUUCCUCUAUUAUUUAUGUAUGUGUUAUGUUACCAUGUUUGCAAAACGCUUAGAUGCGCUUCUUUCCAAUUCAGGGCCUCGUUCCCCAAAUCGGAAAGGACCGCAUCUUAGUCGUUACAAGUUGGUAUCAGAUCCUUACGACCAUAGGAGCCUUUGUGUGAUCGUACUUGGCCGAGUCGAGUCUAGUAAAAUGUUUUGAGUCUUAAUUAUAUCGGAGAGUAGGAUUCUUUUUUCUCCUCUUCCAUGCUCUGAUGAGGUUCCCGUCUUAGGAAAUCUUAAUUCUAGUCCUCUUCUCGCUCAAAAAAAAAUUAGGAUCACGCGGGUAUUUGUGAAAUCUAUAUGAUUUCGAUGUGACGGGGUUCUGUCUUGGUGCCUCAUGUCUGCCUUGAUUUCUUCUGGGGAGUUGAGCUCCAGGGGAUUCUUGCGCACAUCGCCAUCAUUCAGAUUUCUGAGUAUCUAAGAACGAAGGAUGUUCGUUAUUGCUUCAAUACGGGUAGUGGCGAGAUAACCCCGAUGUCCCCAGUACUGGUGCAGAUUGUUCNNNNNNNNNNAAGUACUGCCAUACUUGGUAUCGUUGUGAUCAUGAGGGUCUAUUGUAGAUGAAGGUCCGAGAUGUUGGUUGUGUGUUGACGGAUGUGAUACACGUGACGGGUUAGUAUAGGAGUUGUGUGAUAUUACUCCUUGUAUCCGUGUACCAGAUUGCAUGACCAGUUAUUUCGGGAAUUCAUAGGUAGGAUAUCAAGUAAUAUCUUAUAGGACUAUCUUCCUACAGAUGCAUGAUGGAGGUCGGGAUUCGAUGUUCAGUGGGUAUGUUUGUUCACGGCCGUCUUACAUCGGUUGUCGUUGUGUCUUAAAGAGUCCUUGUAGCUCGCUAUGACUCGGGGAUACUUCUGUGACAGCCCGGUGCCGACGUUCCAGAAGAUUCCCCUCUCUUUCCGUUUUCGUCAUGUGAUUUAUUUUAUUUGUCGCAUCAUCAUCGCAUCAUGCGCAUCAUCUGCAUUGCAUCGGCAUCUCCGUUGCCGCCCGUUUUCAAAACUUGCAUUCGUUAGUAGUUGCCGGUUCUCGUCGUCGUCCGUUCUGAGUCCGACCGCACACGCACGCGCCCGCGGCACCGUCGAAACCCUGUUUUUUAAUGUGUGUUUAAAACUUCCUCUGAUUGAGGUGAAACUUGGCACGCGGUCGCGAUUAGAUGUAGCUAGGCCGCCUGUCGAAUUUCGUCGCGAUCGAAGACCGUCUGGAACCCGAACGGUCGACCGUAGUGGCACCGUCUUCGGUUAUUCGUCGGACGUCUGUCGGUGUUUUAAAAGUCGAUGCCGCGCCGCACCACUUCCCUCUCAUCUUAGCCAACGCCACUCUACACACCUAACCCUAACCCGCCUCUCCGAUCGGACCGCGCGAACGCGUCCGGAGGGUCGAAAAACCCCCAGAUAACCUGCACCGUAGUCCCUUUUCCCUAUUUAAGCACCCCUCCCUGCCUAUUUUGGGCGCCCCCCUAAUCCUCCUCGGGAUCCGCGCCCUAAACCUAACCCUAGCCGCCCCCCACAGCCUCUCUCCUCCCCCAGCCGCCGCGGGCCCGCUAGGCCCAUCUUGGGCCCGGCCGAGCUCAUCGCCCGCCGCCGCCGGCUCCUCUCCGUGCCUAGCGCGCCGGCCAGCCUCGACCCGCAGCUUCCGGCCCGAGCAGGGUCUCCAACCGGAGCGCCGCCCCCGGAUCUGCCUCCUCCGGCCGCCUUCUACCGCCGCCGGUUAUCCCGCUCACCGCCAAGGUCGUCGUCGCAGUUCCGUUCCUCGCCGACUGUCGCGUCCCCGAAGCCCGCCGGAUCUAGCCUCGCCGGGAUCCCCUUCGGUGGCCGCCGCAGUCCCCCGCGCAGAUCCAUGCAGCGCGAGGAGGAUCCCCUCGCCGGCUGUCGCGGCCUGGCACCCCUCGCCGGUGCCUCCUCGAAGUUGCCACCGCCGUCGCCCUGAAGUGCUCGGGUCGAGCAACCGUGCUCCAGCUCGAGGGAGCCGUCGCCUCGCCCGAGCCGUGUGCUGCGCCGCGUCUGGGCCGCCUUGCCGCUCNNNNNNNNNNNNNNNNNNNNNNNNNNNNNNNNNNNNNNNNNNNNNNNNNNNNNNNNNNNNNNNNNNNNNNNNNNNNNNNNNNNNNNNNNNNNNNNNNNNNAUACAUCGAUGGAAUCACAACAUAACCAUAAACAUACAAGCUUUAUUUAAGAGGCUCGGAAGAGCCGCACACAUAAUAUUACACAUUAAGGGUCUCACGACCCAUAAUAGCAGUCAUUCAGUUACAAGCUAGCGGAAGAGUUUAAAACUGUCUCAGUACAGACAGGUGCAACUAGAAAGCACAUGGCCUGACUAUACUACAUAUCCAACGUAGGGCCAGAUCGUAGCUGGGACACCAGCUACUCGUCGUCGUCGAUGUCUACGAAGAACCCUCCAUUAGGGUCAUUAGCAACCUCUGCAACAGUUAUUAAGCAAACAUGAGUACGAAGGUACUCAGCAAGACUUUAGGAUAACUAUCUACUCAUGCAAGGUAUUAAUAAGGUAUUGUGGGGUUUCAUGCGGAAAGCCACCAUUUGACUCGUGGCUAGACAACUUGCAUUUUUAAAUAAUUUUGACAACUUGAUUUCUCGCACACGAGUCCACUAACACCACAACAAUACACCAUCGUGGAAUCAUUCCGUCUCCAUACAGAAAUGCCGUCCACGACACUCACGCUUAUCUUGACAAUUUAUGAGUAGCCAUUUAAGUUAUCUAUGGACAACAUAUGUCUCCAAGUAGUCCAUAUCCGCGGACGCGGCUAUUCGAAUAGAUCAUAACCCUGCAGGGGUGUACUUCGUCACACACGCUCUCGCCACUUAUCGCCAUGUGCACGUCAUGCACCUCGGCAACCUUCAAGCGGAAGCCUAGCGAGGGAGUCGGCCACGAGUGUUAACCACACUAGUACCUAAUCCAGGUUUAUCGCCUAUCUGAGAGUAACCCGUACGGAAGUCCGGCCGGGGUUUCCGCCACGGCCUCAAACGAUGUGCGCAGGGUUCCCAAGCCCACCAUCCGGGUGCCACUUGGUACACCGUGCCACUGCCUACCGCAUCACGGCCCACCUCUCAGGUCAGCACCAUGCACGACCUCCAGCAUGACUAUAUACACCAGAAACUACUUGCAACUCCUGGACCGAGUACUAAGCGAUUAAUAAGUUGAGAGGGUCAAUUAAGUAUCCCAACGUGUGGUAGUAUCUAGUAUUGGAUUACAUACACGGAACUCAGUUCCUAAGGACGGUUCCAAUGAAACAACCCGCCAUGUACUCCUACACAGCCUUUCACCGGUACCUUUACUAAAUCAGGUUCAACACACAACCUUUGCUUACCGAUCACAUUCUCACAAUUCUGUUCAUCUCCCAGAUGACAGACCAUACACAANNNNNNNNNNNNNNNNNNNNNNNNNNNNNNNNNNNNNNNNNNNNNNNNNNNNNNNNNNNNNNNNNNNNNNNNNNNNNNNNNNNNNNNNNNNNNNNNNNNNGACGAGGUAUUCUCGGAUACCGUUUUAAUUGAUUUGACCUGAUGCUCAGAUCAACUUGAUGUUAACAUGCAUGUGAUGACAUGUUAAGUUGCUGGUUUGGAUUUAGAACAGUGUUUGAUCAUGUCAAUCAUAAUGAAAUUCAAAUAUUUUCUAUAUUCCAUUUAUAAGGUAUUUAUAAGAAUUGACUUAUUCAUUAAUCUACAUGUUUGGGUUCUCUAACUUUUUCAAACAUGAUUGAAAAUAGCAUAUUCAGAUUCCUUGAAUUUAUCUAAUACUUUUUCAUAUAUAAAUUAUUUUCAUUGGAGUUACAGAUUAAUUUCUAUGAAUUUUUGAAGUUUUAAACAUUUCUGGAAUUAUUUCUAAACUGGAAAAUACUUUUACUGCAUCAGCAUGACAUCAGCAGGUCUAUCUGGCCGUUGAAAGUCAAACCUGACCAGUGGGACCCACUGGUUAGUGUCUCUGGUCAAUUUUAGAUUAGGAUUAAUUUUAUUUAGUUAAUUAAACUCACUGGACCCACAUGUCAGUGUCUUAUUAAUUUAUCUGAUUUAUAUUUAUUAUCUCUAAACUAUCGAGAGGUUGGCCCCACCCGUCAGUGGCUCAGGCCAGCUGAGAUCCACCGGUGGCGAGGUCGUCCUAGCCGGCUGGGAGCCUCCGGCGAGCACCAGAACGUCGGGGGGCAUCGGAAACGGCGCACAGAGGGCCAAACGCUGCGCGGAGAGCACCAGAAGAACGACACUUCUCCCGCGGUUGCAUUUCUGCACUUAGCAGGGGCUGAUCUGGUCGGAGAUGAUGCCGGCGACGAGCUUGGCGGCGGUCAAGGUUCGGUCGUCAUCGAGGUCAUCGAUACAGAGGGAGUUGCGCACGGGACUUAGCUCCUACGGCAUCUACGCGACAUCCUGAAGCUGCUGGUGCCCUCAGAAGGACGAGCUGAUCACCGGAGGGUUACCGGCGACGAGCUGCAGCGGCGGAUCUUGUCGGGCUCCGGUGGAACUAGGCCUAGAGGAGGGGAUCGACGGGGAGAUCUUAGGGGAAAGACGCGCAAGCUCACGAGGAGUGCAGUGGUGGCGCUAGUUUGCUCGGGGACGGCCUGGAGAGGAAGAACGCCGGCGACGAUCUUCGGUGACCCGAGGAAGAAGAUUACUGCUUCUCGUCGUUUCACUGCAUCUGGGCGUCGGGCUCGUGGCUAGGGAGCUUCAGGGAGUUGGCGGCGGAGCUAAUGCGCGGCUCAGAAGGAAGGAGGGGAGGCUAGAACGACGGCGAGCUCGAGCUCUGCUCGGGCUCCAAUGGCUGUAGAAGGAGGGAGGAGAGAUCCGAGAGGAGGGGGGGAACUGGCGCUGGGAAUGGAUAGGGUCGGCCUCGGGGAGCUUAUCCCCGUGCUUGCCAGCGCGAAGCGGCGGCCAGGCAACCAGGGAGCUGCGUGGAGGCGCGCGGCGACGCGGCGGCCACCUCCUGCUCCUACUGGCGAGGAGGAAGACGACAGGAGGAGCUCGGCUGGGCCGGCUAGGCGACAGGUAAGGUUUUUCCCAUUUCUUUCUGUUUUCUUUCUGUUUUAAUUGCUGACAUUGAUCUACUAUUUAUUUCAGCUCCCAAAUAAANNNNNNNNNNNNNNNNNNNNNNNNNNNNNNNNNNNNNNNNNNNNNNNNNNNNNNNNNNNNNNNNNNNNNNNNNNNNNNNNNNNNNNNNNNNNNNNNNNNNAGAAAAAUUGCGUAUUGUUUUCAAACCCCCGUAGAUUUCAAACCAUGCGGCGGAUCGGAAUAAGUUAGAUAUGUAAAGCGUAUCGAAUUUCACAUAGAUUAAUAUUUUUUUAACACUCAUGCACGUUUAAAACUGUUAGCGUGUUGUUUGCAUCGGUUUGCGUGUCGAGGUGUUGAAAACGGUUUAGGUCAUAGCUAUUUAUCCGUAGUUCCGUUGGAGAUGAGCCAUAUAUGUAAAUGGGCUAGAACGACAUGUAGUUUCACGUGAACCACUUUGUUUCGACGCUCAACAAAUUUAAAAUGUGAUGAGGACAAAUCUGGACAAAAUUAGAAUUUAACACGUGGGGUCAUUUCAGAGAUGCUAUAUGUCAUUUCCGGCCUCAUUUAAAAUGCCUAGAUAUGUAGUUUAAUUUGUGCUUCACCCCGUGCCUUGUUUAACCACAUUUAAUNNNNNNNNNNUUUAACAAAUUUAAAAUGUGAUUAGGACAAAUCUGGACAGAAUUAGAAUUUAACACGUGGGCUCAUUUCGGAGAUGCUAUAUGUCAUUUCCGGCCUCAUUUAAAAUGCCUAGAUAGGUAGUUUAAUUUGUGCUUCACCCCGUGCCUUGUUUAACCACAUUUAAUAUUGCCGUGUAUCUAAUCGGGAUAGAACUAAAUAAUUAACGUGGAGUUUCAUCAAUAUGCUACUCGUUGCAUAUUGAAUUUCACUUAAUGUGUAGUGUCUGAUUGUGUGAAUUGUCAUGCCGUGACUUGCAUGUAUCCAGCUGCUCAUGCAUCAUUUGUGUUGUGCAUCGUGUGGUGAAUUCCGUGUGAUGAUUUGUGUUUUCGGUUUGCUUCGUCUCGAUAGAGCUCCGCACGCUUGCCGGAUUGUGAGGACCCGUUCGACUACGUCGGUUCGUCUGCUUCACGGAGGCAUUCUUCUUCCAAGCGGGAUCUCAGGCAAGAUGAUCAUUUCCCCAGAUACCAUUACUAUCAUUGCCAUGCUAGUUUUAUCGCUUCUAUCGUUUAUGUCUCGUUGCCUACCACCUGUUAAAUAUCAGCCUCUCAACAAUGCCAUGAUUACCUUCAACCUGUUCGACCUAGCAAACCACUGAUUGGCUAUGUUACCGCUUGCUUAACCCUGUGUUAGCGUUGCUAGUUGCACGUGUAGUUGCUUCCAUGUGAUAACAUGGGUUCUUGUUAUAUCACCAUAUUUAAUUCUAUUUAAUUUAAUGCACCUAUAUACUUGGUAAAAGGUGGAAGGCUCGGCCUUUCUAGCCUGGUGUUUUGUUCCACCUUUGCCCCCUUAGUUUCGGCUACCGGGGUUACGUUCCAUAAAUGAGCGCUCCUAACACGAUCGGGGUUGUUAUGGGGACCCCCUUGAUAAUNNNNNNNNNNUUUUUAGAUUAAAGAUGGUCCGGCAAGGCCCAACAUUGGUUCUACAUUUGUCCAACAUAAUAAUUUGUUAACACUGAAAUGCAUAGGGCGUCAUGAAUCCGAGGAGUAAUUUUACAUAAACAGGGGGGCCAGUGCUGAUGGUGUUGGUCCCAAACGGUCUGCCUGCGGGGCCACCACGGGGAAACUCAAGGUUUGGCACCCGUAGCUAGUUCCAUCUGUCGUGUCCUGAGAACGAGAUACGCGGCUCCUAUCGGGAUCGUCGACACGCCGGGCGGCCUUGUUGGAUUAAUUUUACCUUUGACGAGAUAUCUUGUGCAUCGGGAUUCCAGUGAUGCUUUGGGUAAUCUCAGAGUUGAGGUUUUCCACUAGGGAAUCCGACGAGAUCGCGAGCUUCGUGAUUGAGGAUUUCUAUGCGGCUUGUGGUAAUUUGUGAUGGACUAGUUGGAGCACCCCUGCAGUGUUAAAUCUUUCGGAAAGCCGUGCCCGCGGUUAUGUGGCAACGGGGAAGCUUUGUUUAACACUGGUUCUAGAUAACUUGAAGUUAACUUAAUUAAAAGAUGCCAACUGUGUGCGUAACCGUGACUGUCUCUUUCGUGAGUUCUUUUCUCCGAUCGAGGACACGGUGGGGUUAUGUCUGACGUANNNNNNNNNNAGCUUUGUUUAACACUAGUUCUAGAUAACUUGAAGUUAACUUAAUUAAAACAUGCCAACUGUGUGCGUAACCGUGACUGUCUCUUUCAUGAGUUCUUUUCUCCGAUCGAGGACACGGUGGGGUUAUGUCUGACGUAGGUAGGUGUCGAGGAUCAUUCAUUUGAUCAUCAGUAGUUCACGUCCGUUACGCGUAGAGCUUCCCCCUCUUAUUUCUUGUACUCGUAAGUUUAGCCACCAAAUAUGUGGUUAGCCGCUGCUGCAACCUCACCACUUAACCAUACCUCACCCAUUAAGCUUUGAUAGUCUUGAUACCUUUGGAAAUGAGAUUGCUGAGUCCCCUGUGGCUCACAGAUUAGUACAACACCAGUUGCAGGUACAAGUAAAUGUUACUUGACGCGAGCGCGUUGAUUGUUCAUUUGGAGUUGCUUCUUCUUCUUCUUAUUCAUCGAUCUAGGAUGGGUUCCAGGCCGGCAGCCUGGGAUAGCAAGGAUNNNNNNNNNNGGAUUACUACAACACCAGUUGCAGGUACAGGUAAAUGUUCCUUGACGCGAGCGCGUUGAUUGUUCAUUUGGAGUUGCUUCGUCUUCUUCUUCUUCAUCGAUCUAGGAUAGGUUCCAGGCCGGCAGCCUGGGAUAGCAAGGAUGGACGUCGUUCUUAUUUUUCUUGUUUGUUUUCGUCCGUAGUUGGACCCUGCUCUUACUCUUGAUGUUUAUGUAAUGUACUGAUGUGACUCUGAUGUAGCUUGUGGCGAGUGUAAGCCAANNNNNNNNNNNNNNNNNNNNNNNNNNNNNNNNNNNNNNNNNNNNNNNNNNNNNNNNNNNNNNNNNNNNNNNNNNNNNNNNNNNNNNNNNNNNNNNNNNNNNNNNNNNNNNNNNNNNNNNNNNNNNNNNNNNNNNNNNNNNNNNNNNNNNNNNNNNNNNNNNNNNNNNNNNNNNUGACUAGGCCUUCGUGCCAAAUUGAGGAUAGGGUCGCAUCUUGAGCGUGACAAGUUGGUAUCAGAGCAGUACCGACCUAGGAGCCCCCUUGAUUGAUCGAACUUGGCCGAGUCGAGUCUAGUGAAAAACUACUUUGAGUCUAGUUAUAUAUCGGAGAGUAGGAUUCUUUUUUCUCCUCUUCUAUGCUCUGGUGAGGAAUCUUGACGUAAUAAUUUAAUUCUACUCCUCUUCUCACUCAAAAAUUUUUAGGAUCACGUGGAUAUUUUUGAGAUCUAUAUGAUGCCGAUGUGACGGAGUUCUGUCUUGGUGCCUCCUGUCUGACUUGAUUUUCUUCUGGGGAGUUGAGCUCCAGGGGAUUCUUGAGCACAUCGUUAUCAUUCUGAUUUCAUAGUAUCUCAGAACGAAGGAUGUUCGUAAUUGCUUCAAUACUAGUAGUGGCGAGAUAACCCCGAUGUCCCCAGUACUGGUGCAGAUUGUUCGGGAGUACUGCCAUACUUUGUAUCGUUGUGAUCACGAGGGUCUGUAGUAGAUGAAGGUCCGAGAUUCUGGUUGUGUGUUGACGGAUGUGAUACAGGUGACGGGUUAGUAUAGGAGUUGUGUGAUUAUUACUCCUUGUAUCCGUGUACCAGAUUGCAUGACCAGAUAUUUGGGGAAUUCUUAGGUGGGAAUUCAAGUAGUUGCUUAUAGGAGAAUCUUCCAACAAAUCCUCACCCUUUGUUUUGUUGAACUAUGGUAAUUCGAGUUGCUUCGAUGUCAAGUGGUGAUUUCAGACCUUUCCAAGAGGUGUUCUCAUAUUUUUAUGUGAAUGCUAAUACUUUUGCUUAAUCAAUUGUCUUAUCAUUCUUGUCAACCGGAGUCGUCAUGUUAAUUCUUUUCCAACCGGUGUGUUUCUCUACAGGUGGAUUCAAUCCUCUCCAUUUUUUUGCAAGAGCAUUCUCUCAUUUUAUUCCGGAGUUAUCUCAUCUGUCUUAAGUCGUCUUUGUUUUUCCCCGCCCUCCCACCCUUUUCUUCAGUGAUUGGAUUUCAUCCAAGAGUUUUCUUUUCAUGGUGCUUCCGUUGUCUGUUCUUUUCUCUCUUACCCGGUGAUUCAUUGUGAAGAUUCUCAGGAGCUUCGUGUUCAUCCUUAUUCAGUCGUGUUAUCCUUUCCGGUGAAUUCAAUGCAAUUAUCCGUGUUCAUUGUAUCCUAUUCGUCCUUGUAAUUCUUUCCUAUGUUGGAAAUUUUUAUCAGUUUAUCGUCUUGUUGUCAUUUCUCUCUAUUCUACCCGGAGUGUUGAAGUUAUCCCAGAAGUUUCUUGUUCUCAAUUCUAUAAUUAUUUCGAGGUGCUAACCUCAUAUAGUUCUCUUCAUACUGGUGCAAUAUCUCUCGUUCUAGCAAUCUUUUCAACGAUGGUUUCUUUGAGUGGGCCCAUAACCCAUAGGUUCCUUCCCAGGAUCUUUCCUGGCUCUUUUAAUCUUUUCCCAAAGAUCAUUAAUUCAUUUCAACUAUGACGUAAGUAUGAAUUUCAUCAGUCAUAUUCCUUCUUCAAGAUUGCUUUUAAUUUAUUUGUCGUCAUUGGUUAAAUUUUUCUUUGUUCUUAUUCCGGAGUGUCUCAUUAAUUCUUGGUGUUGUUCUCGUCAUCAUUCUCAGCUUGCAAAUUCUAAGGAGUGUUUCUCUCAGUCUUGUUCCAUUCUUGUGAAGACUGUCAUCUCAGCUUCGUGUAUCCUCUCAUUUGUUGUCAAUCAUGAGUAAUCCCUUUCGUGCUAUCCGGUGCUUCUCUGAGUUGUUUUUAUUUCUCAUUCCUCCGAAGGCCAUCAUUUUAGAAGAUUCUUCGUUCUCAGCUUUCAGCUUUCAUCCUCAAUUCUUCUCAAUUAUUGUCUCUUCGUUCGUCUCUCGAUUAUCCGGUGCCUUGUUCAAGUUUUAUUUCUGGUGGAUCAUGAUCUCUUCAAUCUCAUGUAUCUCCAUUCAUUCUUGGUAUCCCCAUUCAAAUGUGAAUUCUUACCGGUGCUUCCUUCAAUUAUGCUUCAAGUGGUGCUUAUCUCUCUAUCUCUUUUAAGAUUCUUUCAAGCGGAAUAAGUUGUAUGCUAAAUCCUUUGCUUGUCAUCAAUAAAACUUGAUGAAGGAUAAGCAUAACAUAAUUCUUAUUCCUGUUCAUAGUAAUCUGAAUUCUUCUUCCGGAGUGGCUCUUGAUAUCGAUUCCUUUCUCAGGUGCUUAUCUUUCUUUUCCGGAGUUCUAAGUUCUUUUAAGUAUCUCUUUGUGAUGCUUCAUCUAAAUCUUGGCAAGGUCAUAAUCUUAUUCUUUUCUACCUUCAUAUCGUUGCAUCAUUCAUACGGAGGUCCUUCAUGGUGGUUCUUCAAGGUUUCAAUUCAUUCUCAAAGUGUUCUUCAAGAUUCUUGUUGGAGAACCUCAAGUAUCCUUCCUCUUGCAUUUAUAUGUGCAAUUGUUCUUCCUUUAUCCUUUGAGGUGGUAUUAUAGCAUUCUUGUUAGUGUAGGAGUCUCGAAGAGAAUUCCUUUCAAGAAUGAGAUAAUUAAAUCCACCAAUCCUUUGAUCAUGAGAUUAUUCUUAACCCAUGAUUUCUUCAUUGAGCUAUCUUGGUUUGGAUUUCACCUAAAGCUUUUCCUAUGGAUUGUGCUAUCAUGGUGCUUGUCAUUAAUCCAAGUACUCAAUGUAUCGUCUUGGUGUAAGAAGCUUUCAUAUCUUGCUUUCAACCAAUCUUGUUUCUAUUAGUGGCUGGUUGUCACUUCAUUAGUUUGAAAGGUGUUCAUAAGCCCACUACUAUCUUGUUCUUUUCGUUGUUGUUUUUUCCAACAACUCCGUUCAAUUCUUCGUGCAAGGCUGCUUGCCAAGUUCAUUGUAGAUAGUAUUUGUCAUGUUUCUCUUCAUUCUCUUCUUCCGUAUGAGCUAGUUCCUAUUCUAUUGUUCUGAAGGCAUUGUGAUGUUGCUCUUUUGGGUCAAUCUUGUUGUUCUAUCAAGAUCAUGGUGUUCCCUUGCUCUACUUAGUUGUUUGUUAUAAAUAUUGUCUAUUUCUCCUACCUUUUCAAAAAAUUUGUCCCAUUUUCCUACCGAAGUGCUGCCGAAAUUUUCCGUGAAUUCUUGCUUCUUCCUCAUAUCAGUCCUCAUCUCUUUGCAACCUUUGUUGGUGUCACUCAUUUGUCAAAGAAGCGACUAAGUUGUUACCUCUUGUUCUUUCUCAUCCUCUCCCCCUUUCAUUCUUGGAUCUCGGGGCGAGAUCCUCUUUUAGUGUAGGAGAGUUGUGACAGCCCGAUGCCGGCGUUCCAGAAGAUUCCCCUCUCUUUCCAUUUUCGUCGUGUGUCUAUUUUUAUUUGUCGCAUCAUCAUCGCAUUAUGCGCAUCAUCUGCAUUGCAUCGGCAUCUCCGUUGCCGCCAGUUUUCAAAACUUGCAUCCGUUGUUAGUUGCCGGUUCCCGUCGUUGUCCGUUCUGAGCCCGACCGCACACGCACACGCCCGCGGCAUCAUUCGAACCCUGUUUUAAAAUUGUGCGCAAAACUUUCUCUGAUCGGGGUGAAACUUGGUAUGCGGUCGUAAGUAGUUAUAGCUAGUCCGCCUGUCGAAUUUCGUCGCGAUCGGAGUCCGUCUGGUACCCGAACGGUCGACCGUAGCGGCACGGUAUUCGGUCUACCAUCGGACGUGUGUCGAUGUUUUUUAAAUACGUUGCCGGGUCGCCCGUUUUCCCUCUCAUCUUCGCCUAGCCCCUCUGCACAAUGCGUCGACCGUGCGCGCGGCCCAGUUCGAAAACCUCCCGGUACCCGAACCGUGACCGUUGGGUCCGGAUCAACCCCGUUUUACCGCAAACUAUCAUCNNNNNNNNNNGCCUCCUGUCGAAUUUCGUCGCAAUCGGAGUCCGUCUGGUACCCGAACGGUCGACCGUAGCGGCACCAUAUUCAGUCUACCGUCGGACGUGUGUCGAUGUUUUUAAAUACGUUGUCGGGUCGCCCGUUUUCCCUCUCAUCUUUGCCAAGCCCCUCUGCACAAUGCGUCGACCCUGCGCGUGGCCCAGUACGAAAACCUCCCGGUACCCGAACCGGACGAUCGUGACCGUUGGGUCCGGAUCAACCCCGUUUUACCGCAAACUAUCAUCNNNNNNNNNNAGAUCACCUAGUCUAACCCUAGACAAAUCCCUAGAAAUCCUCUCCCUGUCCAAUAGCCACCACCACCCAGUGGAAAAAAUUCCCCUCGGGAUCCCCAGAUUCAGUCUGCAGCCAACCCCGUAAGCAGCUCGAUCCAGAGCUCCCUGCGCCUCGACCCCGUCUUCCAUGCGAGGCGAGCCACCGGACGCAUCCGUCGCCCGCAUGCCGCACGAGGAGGCCGUCCCCAACUAGUCAAUGGAGCGCACGAGCGGGCAUGGCCUCGUCCUCGAGCUCCCUCCCCCGUGCCUCCCAGGGGGCCGCGCCGUGAGCCGCCGGCGAGCUUCACCGACGGGCAGGCACCCAGGUCGCCCCUGCUCCUUCUCCCUUCCUUCUUCCCUCUCUCACCUCGUCUCUCUCUCUCUCUGUCCACACGAGCAUCUACGCCUCUGUCAAGGGAAGNNNNNNNNNNGGAUCACCUAGUCUAACCCUAGACCAAUCCCUAGAAAUCCUCUCCCUGUCCAAUAGCCGCCACCACCCAGUGGAAAAAAUUCCCCUCGGGAUCCCCAGAUUCAGUCUGCAGCCAACCCCGUAAGCAGCUCGAUCCAGAGCUCCCUGCGCCUUGACCCCGUCUUCCACGUGAGCCGAGCCGCCGGACGCAUCCGUCGCCCGCAUGCCGAACGAGGAGGCCGUCCCCAACUAGUCAAUGGAGCGCAGGAGCGGGCAUGGCCUCGUCCCUGAGCUCCCUUCCCCGUGCCUCCUAGGGGGCCGCGCCGUGAGCUGCCGGCGAGCUUCACCGACGGGCAGGCACCCAAGUCGCCUUGCUCCUUCUCCCUUCCUUCUUCCCUCUCUCACCUCAUCUCUCUCUCUCUGUCCACACGAGCAUCUACGCCUCUGUCAAGGGAAGCUGUGCCAUGGAGCUUGCAGCUUGUGAACCGGCGUUUCCUCCACCGAAUCAAGCUCCCGACGCCGGGAAUGGAUUCCCAUGCUCAGAUCCCCCCUUUCCCCCUCGUCCUGGAUGCUCGCCGGAGUCCCAUCAAGCCUCACCAGGUUCAGCCGCUGAAGGCGCAGGUGAGGACUCACCAGAUACGCCAUGUGCGCUUCUGCCUGGCCGUGUGUGUUCGUGCAGAAGGAGUCCCGCCGCCUCUUUAGUAUAUGUUGUUCUCCCCUGAACUCAUGUCACGUGCACAUGCAUAGCCGAAUUGGGUAGCGCUGCUCUAAUCGACCAGGAGAUCGUGGGUUCAAGUCCCUGUGGAUUCAUUUCUAUUUUUCACGAAUUUUACCCUUUGCAUAGGAUUAGUUUCUGCCUCGGUUCACUUAACUUCGAGGCCCUGUUAGUUCACACAACAGGAGCCAGACCAACUGGUUAGUGCCCUGGAUUCAACGCAGGGGUCUGGGGUUCGAAUCCCAGCUUUGCCCCAUAAUUGUUUCCCCUGUCUUUUUUUUGCUGCAUUAGGAUUUUGCUAGAUUUCAGAAAAAUUGCGUAUUGUUUUCAAACCCCCGUAGAUUUCAAACCAUGCUUCGGAUUGGAAUAAGUUAGAUAUGUAAAGCGUAUAGAAUUUCACGUAGAUCAAUAUUUUUUUCAACUCUCAUGCACGUUUAAAACUGUUAGCGUGUUGUUUGCAUCGGUUUGCGUNNNNNNNNNNNNNNNNNNNNNNNNNNNNNNNNNNNNNNNNNNNNNNNNNNNNNNNNNNNNNNNNNNNNNNNNNNNNNNNNNNNNNNNNNNNNNNNNNNNNGGAAGGAUGCACAUCCACCACUAAGUCCUUGCUUCUGGUCAUAUGAUUUGUUGCUCCACUAUCGAGCAACCAUGACACCCCACCGGAAGCAAACUCCUGCAAUAGAUCAAGGCUUGGUUUUAGGUACCCAUUUUUGAAUGGGUUCUUUAAUGUUAGAGACAAGGGUCUUAGGAACCCAAAUAGCCCAUUCAAUGGACUCAUAGUAAGAACCAACAAAUCUGGCAUAAACAUGCCCAUCACCAGCACGACAUAAAACAUAGGAUGGAUUGAGUUUGCCGACUGUGUUGGUAGGAAUGGUUUUGCCCUUCUUGAUGCUACCAUUCUCCACCUUGUUCCUCUUCUCCUUCGGAGUCCCUACGCCCUCUUUGACAAAGAUGUCCAUGAGGGUAGGGGAUCAUUUGUUCCUGUUCUUCCUUUUUCUUUUCGACUUGGAUGUAAGUCGAAGUCCCUCCUUUCCUACAAAACCCUUUUGAUUGCUCAAGAGGUUGUUUAGGUUCUUCUUGCCUUGGAUGCAUGACACAAGGCCCUUCUCAAGUUGAUCCUUCAACUUGGCAUUUUCCUCCACUAGAUGUACAUGCUCACAACAAGGGUUAGUUGUACAAGCAUUAUCAAUUAUAACGAGAGGAGGACAGGUAGAGAUCUCCUUGGUAAGUUUUGCUUGGAGUUGAUCAUGAGACUCUUUCAGGGAGAAAUGAGAACCUUUAAAGACCUUGUGAGCCUUGUCAAGUGUGUCAAACUCCACUUUGAGUCUGUCAUGGCCAACCCCAAGUGUAGCCUUUUCAGACUUAAGCACACGAGUAAGAACAAUAGCAUGAUCUGGUUCCUUUUGCAAUUUAGCGCAGUCAUCGUUGUAUGACUCCUCAAGAGCCAACUGAAGAGUUCGCUCCUUUUCUAGUGCAAUAGAUAAUUUAGCAAUCUCAUCGGCAUAGUCACGACUAUGUCCUUGCAGCUCGGAGAUAGUAUCCUCAUGAGACUUGAUGAGGUCAUUAGCCUUACCCAGUUGUUCCAAAAGAGCAACAAAGUGCUUCUUGGGUUCUCCUUUGAUCAUACACAGAAAUUUGUCAAGAUCAUGCUCAUUAAGUUCCACAACAUCACUAUCAUCAACACAAUUCAACAAUGAAGGAGCAGUAGUGAUGGUGGUCUUAAUGCUGGGUGUUACCUGAUCGAUACAUUUGGCCAUGAGGCACUUGGCGAUGUGGUUAUCGUUGGGGGCGUUGAAGAGAGACAUAUUCUUCGGAGAAGGGGUGGCAAUGGCGACAGUCGCAGUUGCCACCAUAUCGUCAUCGUCAUCAUCAUCGGAGGGGUACUUUUCAAGUGCCACCAUACCCUUUGGGUGGGGUUUCUUGACAAAGUUGUUCUUGUUUGGGAAUGACUUGGUUUUGUCUUUGCGAAUGAGCUUGCCCCUGUUGUCUUCCCUCUUCUCAUAGGGACAUUCUGCCAUGAAGUGACUCACAUUGCCGCAGUUAUAGCAUGUCCUCACACGUUGCUUGGACUUGAACCCACUUGAGUUAUUCUUGGAGAAGUUGGGCCUUGAGUUCCUCUUGUUGCCCCAGAAUUGCCUUGACGCAAGAACCAUGUGCUCGUGAGAAGCAUACUUAGUGUCUUCAGGGCAGCUCUCCUCUUCCUCAUCCUCUUCUUCUUCUUCAAAAGCAGCCUUUGCCUUUAAAGCAAGGUUGGGUGAAGCUAUCUUUGACCGAACGCGAGCAAGUGCAUUAUCAGCGGUCUUGUUCAUGAUUGACAUUGCAAUGAAUUCAUCCAACACCUCACUGGAAGACAAGGAGUGGAAAUCUGGUCGUUGGUGAAUGACGGAUGACAUAGCUUUGUUAAAUGGCAUGAUGGCCUUGAGAAACUUGCACUUGAUCCAUGUGUCAUCCACAUCCUUGCUCUGAUGAUCCUUGAGAGCAACAGCAAUAGCAGUCACCCUUCGAUAGAGAUCAUGAGGUUCCUCAUCUUCCUUCAUCACAAACUCAUCGGCCUCAUCAAGCACCACUUCAUAGUUGGACCGUAGAAUUCUUGAGCUUCCCUUGUACAGCACCAUAAUGUGCUCCCAACAGUCCUUAGCCAGAGUGAAGGGGCGCAAGUGAGGAAGAUCUUAAGGAGGCACUGCGGACAGGAGAAUAAAUAAUGCAGAGUGAUUACACUGAUUGUCCGCUUCUUCUCUUGGAGUGGGGUUGCUUGGGUCAUGAGGAUAGUAGCCUUGCUCGAUGGUUCUCCAUAAACUUGUUGAGCUGUGAUUCAAAUGAGACUUAAUAGAAAACACCCAGUUAGCAAAAUCACCCUUAAGAAGCUUAGGAGGAGGACCAACAGGAUUAAUACGCGGUGUAGGAACCGGUCCUCCAUAGACCAUGGGAGGUGGAACUGAGGCAUAGGUUCCAGUCCCAUCCUUUUCGAGAGAAGAGGAAGGUCGCAUACCUUUAGCCACUUCCUUAGAGGAAUUGGCCUCCAAAUCUGUGUUGGUGGGUUUAACCACCAACGCUGGUUCGGGUGAACUUUUAAUUCCCUCAAUUAACUCUUUAAGAAUAGUCUUGACUUCGUUCGUCAAGGACGUCUUGAGGGCGGCCAUAGCCGUAUUCAAGUCGUCCCUUGUGACCGAAGUCAAGUCCAUGGCCUCGGGUUGCCCACGGGGAACGCCCUCUUCGCCUUCCAUACUCUUCGAGUGGUGAAACCCUUAAUAAAGAGACGUGGCUCUGAUACCAAUUGAAAGGAUCGAUAUGGUUGACUAGAGGGGGUGAAUAGGCAACUACCACUUUUUAGCUUUUCUAAAUAAAUAAGGAGUAGCAAUCAUAAAGGUUCACUAAGAUGACACUAGGUGGACAACCUAUAUGAUGCUACCUAGCAACGAGUAAAGAAGCACGUAAGAGAUACUCUACAACACCAACAAAUACAAAGUAAAGGUAAGAGAUAACCACAAGUGGAACCGAUGAAGACGAGGAUGUGUUACCAAAGUUCCUUCCCUUUGACAGGAAGUACGUCUCCGUUGGAACGGUGUGGAGGCACAAUGCUCCCCAAUAAGCCACUAGGGCCACCGUAUUCUCCUCACGCCCUCGCACAAUGCAACGAGACGCGAUUCCACUAUAGAUGCCCUUGAAGGCGGUGACUGAACCUUUACAAACAAGGUUGGGGCAAUCUCCACACAAAGCUUGGAGGCUCCCAACAAGACCACGGAGCUUCACCACAAUGGAAUGUGGCUCUGAGGUGACCUCAACCGUCUAGGGUGCUCAAACACCCAAGAGUAACAAGAUCCGCAAGGGAUUAGUAGGGGGAAUCAAAUAUCCUUUGGUGGAAGUGUAGAUCAAGGCCUUCUCAAGCAAUCCCUAGAAAAUCAACAAGGUUGAUUGGCUAGGGAGAGAGAUCGGGCUAAAAUGAGCUUGUGGAUCAACAAUGGAGCUUAGAGAGGUUAAAGGUAAGCUCUAGGAAGAAGAAGAUACCUUUAUAUAGUAGGGGGGCAGAUCCACCCGUUAUCCACCUACCACAUAAAUGCACGAGCAGUACUACCGCUCCUGGAGCGGUACUAUCGCUACCCAGAGUGGUACUACCGCUCCUGGGAGCGGUACUACCGCUCAGCUUCUCACAAACCACGGUAGUACCGGGAUACUACCGUGCCACCACCUCCGUGGAAAAGUAUGCGAGAAAAAAUCCCGUCGAUGCGGUAGUAAAUUAAUACUACCACACUGAGGGCGGUAGUACCGCCCUUGGAGCGGUAGUAAAAAACUACUACCGUACUUCGGGCGGUAGUACCGCUCCUCGAGCGGUAGUAAAAGUUUACUACCGCACCUGGGGCGGUAGUACCGCUCCUAGAGCGGUAGUAAAAACUUACUACCGUUGUGCCAGCGGUACUACCACUAGUACAGCGGUACUACCGCUUACCCUUUUUCGCAUAGGCAUAGAAAACACAUUGGUGCUCCAUUGAAGCCAAAAUAUGGGUGGGUGCAUGAGGUGUGUGCGUGAGGAUUCCACCCAAACCUUUCCGACGCGGACCCCCUCUUGAUAAGAAGACAUUCCUAUGACUCAAACUAGGAAGAGAAAUGUAGAAUAAGAUCCGUCUUCGAGAACCUCCGAGGGGCGUGUCACGCCCAAGAUGCGACCCUAUCGUCAAUUUGGCACGAAGGCCUCGUCGGGGAUAGAAGCGCAUCUCGUCGUGUCGCAAGAAUGGAUAUCGUUACAAGUAGAUGUACUGAAAAGAAGAGAUAUAUUUAGAAUUGGCUUACACUCGCCACAAGCUACAUCAGAGUCACAUCAGUACAUUANNNNNNNNNNNNNNNNNNNNNNNNNNNNNNNNNNNNNNNNNNNNNNNNNNNNNNNNNNNNNNNNNNNNNNNNNNNNNNNNNNNNNNNNNNNNNNNNNNNNUCUGGGCCGCCUUGCCGCUCCUGGGCCGGCCUCCCGUCGCUCCAGCCGGUGCCCCGAGCCGGCCCAGCGCCCAAGCCAGGCCCGCAGCUUCCUCGGCCCAGCGCCUCCCAAGCCGGCCCAUCACCAGAGCUGCACCGAGCUAGGCCCAAGUGGCCCAAGGUGAGGACAAGUUUUCCCCUCUAGUUGUCGCUCAUGCGAGAUUUAGUUGUCCAGCGCCCACCAGAUUCGGCCCAUUAGAUAUUUAGUUUUUUUUCCUUUUCGGUUUAGUUAAUUUCAGGUUUUAGCUCAUUAUUUAAACCCCCGUAACUUUUAAACCGUAAGCCGGUUCGGGGCGUGUUAUAUAUCGUUUUGGGGUAGCUUCGCGAGUAGAACACGAUUAUCCAACAUGCAUAAUUGUUUAACGCCAUUUAGGGUGCCUAAUGUUUUGUUUUGCGUGCUGUUACAAUAGGUUCCGAUCCGUAGUUAUUUUUCGCACGUGUCCGGGUUGUUCGUAUGUCGUAGGAUAAAUGUCUAUGCUCUAGGGAGCUAUUUUCCACGUAUUAUAGCGCGGUCACUCGUAUUUUUUGCGUGUAGGGAUUGUCGUUAGAUUAUUUUUCGUGUCUAGGUCUAUUUCUCCCGCAUUAUUGUGUGGCGUUAUUUUGUGUUGCAAACCCCACAUAUUAUAUAUGUUUUCGGGGUAGGAAAAUCCCAUGGAUUUUUAUGUGCAAUUAGUUUUAGCUUUUGAGGAAGUUAGUUCGCGAGAUAUUUUGUCGUGAAGCCCUUUUGUUUAAUUCGUAGAAUUUAUUCCGUGCCUCGUUUGCAUUAGUUGUCAACUAGGGAGUUGAUCUUGGAUGUUUUGUUUAGCCCCUGGUAUUUUUGGUUGCAAUAGAAGUGCAUGUUUAGGUGUUGUUUGACUGCCCUCAAGUUGCUUGAAUAGUGCUGUUUUAGAGGAGCUGAAAUAUUUCUAAGUCUGGAAUCUGUUAUUAUUUUGUUGCUGUCUUGUCUUGCUUGCAUCCUGUGAUCUGUAGCCCUUUUGAGGUUGCUCCAAUGGAGUUAGUUGUACCCCUUAUGUUUCUCUGGCGUGCUGUUAAGUUUCAUGCCAUUUGGAGACCUGUAGCUAUAGGUUUUGCUGCUGUCAAUAUUGCUUCAGGCUGAAAACUGCACUUUCAUGAGGUGUAAUUUUCACUAAGUCUGAAAUAGUGUGUGAGAUGCCAUUUUGAGACUUCUUUCUCUAGUGAUCCAUGCUGCCAUGCUAGUAGUUGUUAGUUGUUUGUAGUAGUGCGUCUUGCCCUCUUCCGUGCCAUGCCUUGAUUGAGUUUAUCGGAGUUGUGUAGCCGUAGUUGUGGGGCGUAGAAAGUGCUAUGUGGCUGUUUUUGGCAGAUUGUAGUGAUUUCUUGUUCUGCUCGUAGAUGUUGAACCGUAGCUCCGUUUUGAUCGUGUCCUACAUGAAACUUGCUUAGAAUCUCGUGUAGUUUCAUUUUCUCUUGCUGUUUGUAUGUGUUGAAGUGCUCGUAGCCGCCGUUGCACACAUUUUGCAUUCAUGCCAUCAUAUCUUGCGGUGCUCGUAACUUUUGAUCCGUAGCUCCGUUGGAGAUGUUCUUUACGUGUAGGUUGCUUGCCUUGACGCGUAGAAUCACGUGAACCUAUUGGUUUUUCUGUUUAACAACCAAUUAAAUGUAUUAAUUCAGAUCUGGACAGAAUGGUAAAUUAACAUGUGAGGUCGUUUCGGAGGUGCUAUAUGUCAUUUCCGACCUCAUUUAAAAUGCCUAGAUAGGUAGUUUAAUUUCUGCUUCACCUCUUGCAUGUUUAACAACAUUAACAUUGCCGUGUAAAUAACCGGGAGUGAACUAAAUAAUUAACGUGGAGUUUCGUCAAUAUGCAACUCGUGCAUAUUGAACUUCACUUAAUGUGUAGUGUUUGAUUGUGUGAAUUGUCAUGUCGUGACUUGCAUGUAUUCAGUAGCUCAUGCAUCAUAUGUGUUAUGCAUCGUGUGGUGAAUUUCGUGUGAUGAUUUGUGUUUCCGGUUUGCUUCGUCUCGAUAGAGUUCCGCAGCGUGCCGGAUUGUGAGGACUCGUUCGACUACGUUGGUUCGUCUACUUCACGGAGGCAUUCUUCUUCCAAGCGGGAUCUCAGGCAAGAUGAUCAUUUCCCCAGAUACCAUUACUAUCAUUGCCAUGCUACUUUUGCCGUAUCUACCGUUUAUGUCUCGUUGCCUACCACCUGUUAAAUAUCAGCCUCUCAACAAUGCCAUGAAACCUUCAACCUGUUCAACCUAGCAAACCACUGAUUGGCCAUGUUACUGCUUGCUUAACCCUGUUGAUAGCGUUGCUAGUUGCAGGUGUAGAUGCUUCCAUGUGAUAACAUGGGUUCCUUGUCAUAUCACCAUAUAUUAAUGCUAUUUAAUUUAAUGCACCUAUAUACCUGGUAAAAGGUGGAAGGCUUGGCCUUUCUAGCCUGGUGUUUUGUUCCACCUUUGCCCCCUUAGUUUUCGGCUGCCGGUGUUAUGUUCCAUAAACGAGCGCUCCUAACACGAUCGGGGUUGUUAUGGGGACCCCCUUGAUAAUUCGUUUUAGAUUAAAGCUGGUCUGGCAAGGCCCAACUUUGGUUCUACAUUUGCCCAACAUAAUAAUUCUGUUAAAUUGAAAUGCAUAGGGAGUUAGCGCUACCCGAGGAGUAAUUUUUUACAUAAACAGGGGGGGCCAGUGCUGAUGGUGUUUGUCCCAAACGGUCUGCCUGCAGGGCCACCGCGAGGAAAGUCGAGGUUUGGCACCUGUAGCUAGUUCCAUCCGUCGUGUCCUGAGAACGAGAUACGCGGCUCCUAUCGGGUACGUCGACACGUCGGGCGGCCUUGCUGGAUUAGUUUUACCUUUGACGAGAUAUCUUGUGCAUCGGGAUUCCGGUGAUGCUUUGGGUAAUCUCAGAGUUGAGGUUUUCCAUUAGGGAAUCCGACGAGAUCGCGAGCUUCGUGAUUGAGGAUUUCCAUGCGGCUUGUGGUAAUUUGUGAUGGACUAGUUGGAGCACCCCUGCAGGGUUAAAUCUUUCGGAAAGCCGUGCCCGCGGUUAUGUGGCAACGUGGAUACUUUGUUUAACAUUGGUUCUAGAUAACUCGAAGUUAACUAAUUAAAACAUGCCUACCGUGUGCGUAACCGUGAUUAUCUCUUUCGUGAGUUCCUUCUCCGAUCGAGGACACGGUGGGGUUAUGUCUGACGUAGGUAGGUGUCGAGGAUCAUUCAUUUGAUCAUUUGUAGUUCACGUCCGCUAUGCGUAGAUCUUCCCCCUCUUACUUCUUGUACUCGUAAGUUAGCCACCAAAUAUAUGCUUAGCCACUGCUGCAACCUCACCACUUAACCUUACCUCACCCAUAAAGCUUUGCUAGUCUUGAUACCUUUGGAAAUGAGAUUGCUGAGUCCCCUGUGGCUCACAGAUUACUACAACACCAGUUGCAGGUACAGGUAAAGGGUACUUGACGCGAGCGCGUUGAUUGUUCUUUUGGAGUUACUUCUUCUUCUUCUUCUCCAUCGAUCUAGGAUGGGUUCCAGGCCGGCAGCCUGGGAUAGCAAGGAUGGACGUCGUUCUUCUUUUGUCGUUUGUUUUCGUCCGUAGUCGGACCCUGCUCUUACUCUUGAUGGUUAUGUAAUGUACUGAUGUGACUCUAAUGUAGCUUGUGGCGAGUGUAAGCCAACUCUGUAUAUCUAUCUCUUCUUUUCAGUAUAUGUACUUGUAACGAUAUCCAUUCUUGCGACACAACGAGAUGCGCUUCUAUCCCUGACGAGGCCUUCGUGCCAAAUUGAGGAUAGGGUCGCAUCUUGGGCGUGACAACUUCGUAUGUCGUGUGCACUACCUUGCACAGGAUGGCUACUGUAAAUUCGAGCCCGUGCGAUCUUAUCCACGAAGAUAUCGGGUGAAAUCUCGAUCAUAUGUUUGUUCUGAGCAGUUUUAGCUCAUACUUGUUUGCAGUGGUCUUAAUCAGAAUUCUGUCGACUGUCACUUUGAGGAAGCAUUCUUACUAUUUUGUUCGAGUGCAAUUUCUAUAUUCCUGUUCAGAUAUUCCUAUCAUUUUGAUUCAGCUAUAUCUUCAAUUUAUUCUGUGGGCUAAUGUGUUGUCCGUCUUCAGGAUGGCUCCACCAAAGGGUCAGAACCCAGGGCGUGAGGAUGUGCCGCCACCACCUCCUCCUCUGGAGGAUCCUCCGCCGCCGCCGCCUCUCCUGCAGAGGUGUGGCAAGCGGUGAUGGAUGCUACAAAUGCAAAUACUCAGAUGCUGCUACAGUUGUUGCAAGAGAGGGCUAACCAGUAGUAAGGCAAUUUCCAGCAUGGUGGCAAUCAGUUUGCUAAUCUGAGUCAAUUCCUGUCGAAUCAGCCAAAGACUUUCACUUCCUGUGACCAGCCAUUUGAUGCCGAGGGUUGGAUCCGUGAUGUGAACAAGCAUUUUGAGUGUAGCAAUGUUCGUCCUAAGGAUUUUGUCAAAUUUGCAACAUUCCAGUUGAAGGGGCAGGCUUCUAUCUGGUGGCAACAGUUGAAGGAGUCCAGAGGUGCUAGAGUGAUCUCUUGGGAUGAGUUCUGUCGUGACUUCAGGUCCCACUACAUUCCGUCCAGCUUUGUGGAGGAGAUGUGUGAGAAGUUCAGGCGCUUGAAGCAGGGUGGUAAUUCCGUGUAUAAGUACAACGUUGAGUUCCACGAGCUAGCCCGAUACGCUUUGCAGGAUAUCCCUGAUCAGAAAACCAAGAAUUAUCAGUUCAGAGGUGGCUUGAAAGAAGAUUUGCAGUUAGCUCUUGCUUUGCACGAUCCCGAGGAAUUCGACAUGUUCUACAACUUAGCUCUCAGGGCAGAGGCAGCCUUGCUCAGGGUGGAGAAUUCUAAGAAGCGCUUCAGAGAUUCCAGCUCUUCCUCUACUCACGUGGUUCAGAAGCAACAGAAGUUUAGGGUGUCUCCUCCUCCUCCACGGCACUCGCAGCAGCUCAAGCACUCUGGUGGCCGUGGUUCUUCCCACCCACCCAACCCUGUCUUUCAGCAGAGAUUCCAGCAUCAUAAGCAAGGGCCUCCUCAGACUCAGUACCGGCAACCAGUAGAGGUUACUUGUCACAAGUGUGGUGAUACGUCCAUUUUGCAUCAUGUUUUCAUGUUGAUAUUUAUCGCUUCUUUGGCUGUUAUUUCACUUCACAGUACUAUUCUUAUGCCUUUUCUCUCUUAUUUUGCAAGGUUUACAUGAAGAGGGAGAAUACCGACAACUGGAAUUCUGGCCUGAAAGUGGAGCAAAGUUGAGAUACCUAUUCUGCGGAACUCCAAAUGCCGUGAAAAUCAACGGAGAUUUUUUUCCCAAUAUAUANNNNNNNNNNUUGUUAUUUCACCUCACUGUACUAUUCUUAUGCCUUUUCUCUCUUAUUUUUGCAAGGUUUACAUGAAGAGGGAGAAUACCGGCAACUGGAAUUCUAGCCUGAAAGUGGAGCAAAGUUGAGAUACUAUUCUGCACAACUCCAAAUGCCGUGAAAAUCAACGGAGAUUUUUUUCCCAAUAUAUAAAAAAUACUGGACCGAAGAAGUACCAGAGGAGGGCCAGGGGGUGGCCACAAGCCUGCACGACGCGGCCACCCCCCCCAGGUCGCGCCAUGGGGGCUUGUGGGCACCCUGUUGGCCCACUUGCCCCCCUCUUUUGCUAUAUGGAGGGUUUCGUCCAGAAAAAAAAAUCAGAAGGGAGCAUUUCCGUGGUUUCGCCGCCGCCACGAGGCGGAACUUGAGCAGAACCAAUCUAGAGCUCCGGCNNNNNNNNNNUGUCGAGAAAAAAAUUAGAAGGGAGCUUUUCCGUGGUUUCUCCGCCGCCACGAGGCGGAACUUGAGCAGAACCAAUCUAGAGCUCCGGCAGGAUGAUCCUGUCGGGGAAACUUCCCUCCCGGAGGGGGAAAUCAUCGCCAUCGUCAUCACCAACACUCCUCUCAUCGGAGGGGAAUCGUCACCAUCAACAUCUUCAUCAGCACCAUCUCAUCUCCAAACCCUAGUUCAUCACUUGUAACCAAUCUCCGUCUCGCGAUUCCGAUUGGUACUUGAAAGGUUGCUAGUAGUGUUGAUUACUCUUUGUAGUUGAUGCUAGUUGGAUUACUUGGUGGAAGAGUUUAUGUUCAGAUCCUUGCUGCUACUCAUUACACCUCUGAUCAUGAUUACGAUUAUGCUUUGUGAGUAGUUACUUUUGUUCCUGAGGAUAUGGGAUAAGUCAUGCUAAUAAUAGUCAUGUGAAUUUGGUAUUCGUUCGGUAUUUUGAUAUGUUGUAUGUUGUUUUUCCUCUAGUGGUGUUAUGUGAACAUCGACUACAUAACACUUCACCAUUAUUUGGGCCUAGAGGAAGGCAUUGGGAAGUAGUAAGUAGAUGAUGGGUUGCUAGAGUGACAGAAGCUUAAACCCUAGUUUAUGCGUUACUUCGUAAGGGGCUGAUUUGGAUCCACUAGUUUAAUGCUAUGGUUAGACUUUGUCUUAAUUCUUCUUUCGUAGUUGCGGAUGCUUGCGAGAGGGGUUAAUCAUAAGUGGGAUGCUUGUCCAAGUAAGGGCAGUACCCAAGCGCCGGUCCACCCACAUAUCAAACUAUCAAAGUAACGAACGCGANNNNNNNNNNAUAAACCCUAGUUUCUGCGUUACUUCGUACGGGGCUGAUUUGGAGCCACUAGUUUAAUGCUAUGGUUAGACUUUGUCUUAAUUCUUCUUUCGUAGUUGCGGAUGCUUACGAGAGGGGUUAAUUAUAAGUGGGAUGUUUGUCCAAGUAAGGGCAGUACACAAGCGCCGGUCCACCCACAUAUCAAACUAUCAAAGUAACGAACGCGANNNNNNNNNNGAUGACAGAAAUUCUCGUGUGUCCUCGGGGGCAUUUUUCCUCUAUUAGGACUUUGUUGAGGCUUUUACCUUGCUACAAAAGGGAUUGGGCCACCUUGCUGUACCGUUGCUACUUUGUUAGUUGUUGCUUGCUACGAAUCAUCUCACCACACAAUCACUUGUUACCGACAAUUUCAGUGCUUGCAGAUUUUUCCUUGAUGAAAACCACUUGUCAGAUCCUUCUGCUCCUCGUUGGGUUCGACACUCUUAAUUAUCGAAAGACUACGAUUGAUCCCCUAUACUUGUGGGUCAUCGUGUGGGCAGAAGGGUCAUUAUGCCAACAAGUGCACUUCUCAGCUCCGUCUGCCGCCUCCUCCUCCAGGAAAACCUCCAAGUAAUGCUCUUGUCAAGUUCAACCCCAAGUCAGCUCGAGUCAACAUGGUGAAUGCAGUUGAGGCAGAAAACUCGUCAGAUGUGAUCAUGGGUAACCUCCUCGUUAAUGAUAUUCCUGCUAAAGUGUUAUUUGAUUCUGGUGCAUCGCAUUCGUUUAUCUCAAGGCCAUUUUCAUUUAAGCAUGGAUUCUCUACUCGUGAUUUGCCUAAGCCUCUAUCGAUUGUGUCUCCUGGCAAGAUCAUGAAUUCCCACAUGGUGGUUCUGAAUGUUUCUGUCAAGUUGGGUAACUAUUCUUUUCUGGCAUCUCCUAUUGUCUUGGGAAAUUCCGACAUUGACUUGAUCCUUCCUAUGGACUGGCUGGCCAUGAACAAGGCAUCGAUUGAUUGUGAAGCUAAAGAAGUGAAGCUUACCCACUCUUCGGAGGACGUGAUUAUAUUCGUGGCGCGCGAUGAUACAAUCCGUCUGUUCUCUUUGAAUGAAAAGGGUGAGAUUAAUCAUAUUUCGCAAGUCCCACUGGUCUGCGAAUAUGAAGAUGUGUUUCCAGAAGAGCUGCCAGGCAUGCCUCCGCAUCGAGAAGUUAAAUUUGUGAUUGAGCUUGAGCCAGGUACCGAGCCCGUCUGCAAAACGGCCGUACAUAUUGGGUCCAGAAGAAUUGAAGGAACUUAAGAGGCAACUCGAUGAGAAGGAGCGUUUGGGUUUGAUCAGACCGAGCUCGUCUCCGUGGGGCUGUGGUGUUCUGUUUGUCAAGAAGAAGGAUGGCACGGACCGACUGUGUGUCGAUUACCGUCCAUUGAACAAGAAGAAAAUCAGGAACAAAUAUCCACUUCCGAGCAUAACUGAGUUGUUCGAACAGUUGAAAGGUGCUAAGGUCUUCUCCAAGCUCGAUCUCAGAAUGCGCUAUCAUCAAAUUCGCAUUCGCGAAGAAGAUAUUCCGAAGACUGCCUUCAGGACUAGUUUUGGCUCGUAUGAGUAUGCGGUCAUGUCUUUUGGUCUGGAAAAUGCUCGUCCAACAUUCUAUCGAUUAAUGAACUACAUAUUCUCUCCGUUCAAGAAUGACUUUGUCUUGCUCUAUCUCGACGACAUUCUGGUCUUUUCUGAAACUGAGGAAGAAAAUGAAGAACAUCUCAGAUUGGUGCUUGAUAAGCUGAGGGAGUACAAAUUGUAUGCCAAGUUUUCCAAGUGUGAGUUAUGGCUGAAAGAAGUCGUCUAUCUUGGUCACAUUAUCUCUGCCGAGGGCAUUAAAGUUGAUCCGUCCAAGGUUCAAGCCAUUGUUGAAUGGGAGCCUCCGCAGAAUGUGAAGCAGCUUCGAAGCUUUCUCGGGAUCGCAAGCUAUUGCAGAAGGUUCAUUGAGAACUUCUCCAAGAUUGUGAAGCUGCUCUCAAGUAUUCUUCAGAAGGGUGUUAAGUAUGCUUGGUCUCCAGAGUGUCAGUUGGCCUUCGACACACUCAAAGAGAAGCUUACCUCCACCCCAGUCUUGGUUCCUCCGGAUGAUUCCAAGCCUUACGAGGUGUUCUGUGACGCUUCUCUCCAGGGUCUUGGUGCAGUCCUGAUGCAAGAGAAGAAGGUGGUUGCUUAUACCUCCAGGCAGUUGAAGCCAGCGGAGAAGAACUAUCAUGUGCAUGAUCAUGAGCUAGCAGCUGUGGUACACGCUCUGAUGACUUGGAGACACCUCUUGUUGGAACGAAAGGUUGGAGUUUUCACCGAUCACAAGAGUCUCAAGUACAUCUUCACUCAGCCUAACCUGAAUCUUCGGCAAACACGUUGGGUGGAAAUGCUCCAAGAUUUUAAUCCGAGUGUUGAGUACACGCCAGGCAAAGCUAAUGUCGUGGCAGAUGCCUUGAGCAGGAAGGCGUACUGCAACAGUCUGAUUCUGCAACCUCUCCAGCCUGGUCUUUGUGAGUCUUUCAGGAAGCUCAACCUUCAGUUAGUACCUCAGGGAUACCUUGCAAACCUUCAGAUCUCUCCUACCUUGGAAGAUCAGGUCCGAGCAGCACAGCUUCUUGACGCUAUGGUGAAGAAAGUCAAGAUUGGCGUGGCAAAGAGUCUUCCCAAGUAUAAGUGCUUCACUGUUGAUGCCAGGGACACGUUGUUCUUCGAGGAUCGUCUUGUCGUCCCGAAAGUUGAUCUCAAAAAGGUAAUCAUGGAAGAAGCUCAUAGCUCUCUGCUCUCUAUUCAUCCUGGAAGCUCCAAGAUGUACCAGGACUUGAAACAGACCUUCUGGUGGACUCGUAUGAAGCUUGAGAUUGCUCAGUUCGUAAAUGAAUGUGAUGUAUGUCGAAGGGUGAAAGCAGAGCAUCAACGUCCAGCAGGUCUUUUGCAUCCUUUGCCCAUUCCCGAGUGGAAGUUCGAUCACAUUGAGAUGGAUUUCGUCACCGGGUUUCCGAAGUCCAAGAAGGGUAAUGAUGCCAUCUUCGUCAUCAUCGACAAGUUGAGUAAAGUGGCUCAUUUUCUUCCAGUCAAGGAAUCCAUUUCGGCAGCUCAGCUUGCAGAGUUGUACACCUUCAGGAUUGUGUCUUUGCACGGCGUGCCUAUGAUGAUCUCUUCGGAUCGCAGAAGUAUCUUCACUUCCAAGUUCUGGGAAUCUUUUCAGUCUGCUAUGGGCACGAAGAUCCGCUUCAGCACAGCUUUUCAUCCUCAGACUAGUGGUCAAGUGGAGCGAGUCAAUCAAGUACUUGAGGAUAUGCUGAGAGUCUGUGUUAUCUCUUUUGGUAUGAAAUGGGAGGAUUGUCUGCCUUUUGCGGAGUUCUCCUAUAACAACAGUUAUCAAGCUAGCUUUGGCAAGGCUCCGUUUCAAAUUCUCUAUGGCAGGAAAUGUCGUACCCCGCUCAACUGGUCCGAGACCGGCGAGCGUCAGAUCCUUGGGAAUGAUUUGAUAGAAGAAGCUGAGGAGAUGUGUCGGGUCAUUCGCGACAACCUCAGAACAGCUCAGUCUCGUCAGAAGAGCUAUUAUGAUAGCAAGCAUCGUGACAUGUCUUAUGAGCUUGAUGACUUCGUCUAUCUCAAGGUGUCGCCUAUGAAGGGUAUGCAACGCUUUGGCAUCAAAGGCAAGCUUGUGCCUCGUUUCGUUAGUCCGUUCAGAGUGGUUGGCAAGAGAGGCGACCUUGCAUACCAGCUUGAGCUCCCGUCAAACUUUGCAAAUGUCCAUGAUGUGUUCCAUGUUUCUCAGCUCCGGAGGUGCUUCAAGACCCCCGAGCGCACUGUUCAUCUUCAAGACAUCGACCUUCAGCCUGACCUAUCUUAUCGUGAGCAUCCAGUUGCGGUUCUCGAGACGACUGAGCGCAAGACCCGCAACAAGACUGUCAAAAUUCUCAAAGUGCAAUGGUCACACCAUUCCGAUAAAGAGGCUACUUGGGAACGCGAAGAUCACCUCCAUUCUGAAUUUCCGGAGUUCUUUCAGGCGUAGAUCUCGGGGUGAGAUCUUUUUGUAGUGUGGGAGAGUUUGAAAUGCCCCAAGUGUGUAACCUUCCCUAUUUGGAACCUUCCCAUGUGGGUCCACCUUGUCAAUGACAUGAGAGAGUUCAAUGCUUAUGAUUUCAUGUGUUGUCACCUUAUUAUUUCUUCCCUUGCAUGCAUGCAUUCCAUAUCAUGCUAUGUCUUGGUUUGAGUCUUAUGAAUUCAUGUGUUGUUGAUGUGAUGUGAGUUGUGUGAAUGGUGUGGGGUAGAUGAUAGUAGGGAGUGCCUUGUGGUUGUAUAGGUUUCCAAACCAUCUUCCCCCUCUCUAUUUCAUCUCAAGGUCAAGUUUCACUUGNNNNNNNNNNNNNNNNNNNNNNNNNNNNNNNNNNNNNNNNNNNNNNNNNNNNNNNNNNNNNNNNNNNNNNNNNNNNNNNNNNNNNNNNNNNNNNNNNNNNNNNNNNNNNNNNNNNNNNNNNNNNNNNNNNNNNNNNNNNNNNNNNNNNNNNNNNNNNNNNNNNNNNNNNNNNNNNNNNNNNNNNNNNNNNNNNUUGUUUUCUAAAUAGUUAUUUUCCCCAAACAUUUCUUUUCCAUUUAAUUCAAAUAGGUCAUAAUUCCUUAUGACCAGGGGUGUUUUUAUCUUUAUUUUUGAGCCAACAGUUUGGCCUGUGUUUUAUUUUCUUUUCCUUUUUUAUUUUUAAUAGGAAAGCUAGGGGAUUUCUUUCUCCUCUAUCUGGCGCCACCCUGUGGGCUUCCCCCCACAGGCCGGCCCACUUCCUCCUCUCUCUCGCGCCGGAGCCCGCAGCGCGUCCCUCUUCUUCCUCCUUUCCAGCUCGACACCCUGGGCCACUGUCAGCGUCCCAGCCCGUUCCUCUCUGCUUUCCACUGGAGCUCCUCACGCACAUGGCCGCGCCGCGUCCCUCUCCUCUCCUUCCCCUAUUUAAUCCCCCUUGGCGUCCGUGCCAAAGCUAGGUUUCCUCCUCCUCCGCCGCCACUUCUUCCCCAUCUCCCUCUCUCUCUAUCGACGACCUCAGGUAAGAAAUAGUGGUGCUUCCGCCAUGGCCAGAUCAUGAAGAAGCUCGCCGCCGUUGGUGAUGUGCCUCUACUUCCUCUCCAAGGCGUCAUCGAGCUCGCGGGAUCUCUAGGGAAUCCAUUCCUACGGCUAGGACGAUGGCAUCUCCUCUUCUUCCCCUGCAUCGACGACGACCCCUUCCGCUCCGACAAGCUUCCCCGACGCGGCUCCUUCCUCUCCAUCCUCUGCUUCCUCUCUGGCCGGCUCGGUCCCUUCGGCUAUGGGGUGAGCAGAUCCUUCCUUCCCCCUUCCCUAUCUUAGAUCGAGCGUAGGAGUCGUAGGUUCGCCGUCGUGCCGUUCCCUGUCGCCGGUGCCGCCGCGCGUCGUAGAGGCGUAGCAGUAGUGCCUCUCGAAUGGAUUUAACUAGGUAAAUGGAACCGUGGAUGCCAGGGCAUCCUUCCAUCAACGCGCCGGAUUGUAAUUUAGCUUGUGUCGCUGGCAAGGUGGCUCCCCUGUUCCGGCCACCGUGGGUCAUCAGUGGAUCCCGAAGGGAAUGCUCAAAAGAGCAGAGACCCCUUCUCUAUCAGACUUCGAUGCAUAGCGUAGUGGUAGUGUGUUGUUGUUGCCUGUUGGAGGUUGCGGAUUCGAUCCCCCCUCGGCACCCUUUUGGUUUUAUUUCCUUCGGCACAGUAGUUUAGUGUAGCAGGUAGUUUAACUUGCUAGGCUGUUGUGUUCUGUCGAGCGCAAGGCCAGUAGCAGAGUGGUUUGUAUCUGUGGGCAGUACGAGAGGGGUACAGGGUUCGAUCCCUCCUUCCCCACCUUUUAUUUUUUUUUUGUGCUUUAUUUUUUUCCUUGUGCUGUUCACCUUUGGCUUGUGUAGAUGUGGCUUGGUGUGCCUCACACCAUGGGGGNNNNNNNNNNNNNNNNNNNNNNNNNNNNNNNNNNNNNNNNNNNNNNNNNNNNNNNNNNNNNNNNNNNNNNNNNNNNNNNNNNNNNNNNNNNNNNNNNNNNUUCAACAUCCCUAACAAUUCCCACAAGGCAGAUAGUAUCUCUAUUGGCAAGCUGAAUAGUGACAUCAAUAGGCUCUAUCUCAACAGGUGCAAUCUCAUCUUUGAUUUCAUCGUAUAAGGAUUGAGGUAUUGCACUAACACUAGCACCCAAGUCACAUAAACCAUGAUAACAAUGAUCUCCUAUCUUAACAGAAACCACAGGCAUGCCAACAACAGGCCUAUGUUUGUCUCUAACGUGAGGUUUAGCAAUUCUAGCAGCAUCUUCACAGAACUGAAUAUUAUGUCCCUCAACUUCUUCAGACAGAAGAUCUUUGAUAAUAGCAAUGCUAGGUUCAACUCUAAUUUGCACAGGGGGUGUAGGUGUUCUAAUAUAGCCUCUACGUAUCACAGUUGAAGCUUUAGAAUGAUCCUUUAUCCUAACAGGGAAAGGUGGUUUCUCAAUGUAAGCACUGGGUACCACAAGAUCAUUAUAGGCAAUGACUUUCUCUUCAACUGGAGUGGGUUUAACUACGUUGACUUCUAAAGGAGGAUGAAAUUUAAACCACUUCUCUUUGGGGAGAUCAACAUGAGCGGCAAAAGAUCACACAAUGAAGCUACUAUCUCAGAGUCAAGUCCAUACUUAACUCCAAAAUCACAAAAAGUAUUUGUCUCAACAAAGGAUUUAACGCAAUCAAAAGUGAAAUUCAUACCUGACUCCUUACCUGCUUCAAGCUCCCAAUCUUCAGAGUUGCGUUUAAUUCUCUCCAAUAAAUUCCACUUGAAGUCAAUAUCUCUCUUCAUAAAAGAACCGGUACAAGAAGUGUCAAGCAUGGUGCGAUCAUCAUGAGAAAGCCGAGCAUAGAAGUUCUGAAUGAUAAUUUCUCUCGAGAGCUCAUGAUUGGGGCAUGAAUAUAGCAUUGAUUUAAGCCUCCCCCAAGCUUGAGCGAUGCUUUCUCUCUCACGAGGCCAAAAAUUAUAAAUAUAAUUCCGAUCACGAUGUACUAAAUGCAUAGGAUAAAACUUUUGAUGAAAUUCCAAUUUCAACCGAUUGUAGUCCCAUGAUCCAGUAUCAUCACAUAGCCUAUACCAUGUCAACACCUUAUCCUUCAAAGAUAAAGGAAAUACCUUCUUCUUCACCUCAUCCUCGGGCACACCUGCAAGCUUAAAUAAACCACACACCUCAUCUACAUAGAUCACAUGCAAGUCUAUAUGAGAUGUUCCAUCUCCUGUAAAAGGAUUAGCCAGCAGUUUCUCAAGCAUACCCGAGGGAAAUUCAAAGAAAAUAUUUUCAGUAGGUGCAACAACUUGAGGAGAAACUCUUUGUGCUUCCGUUCGAGGUGAAGAUACCCCGAACAAGCCCCUCAAAGGAUUAGUAUCCAUAGUGACAAGCGACAAGAAAUUUCAGCACACUAUAUGAAUGUUUCCUUACCAAGUUCCACUUACCAAAGGCGUUUCACUCCCCGGCAACGGCGCCAGAAAAGAGUCUUGAUGACCCACAAGUACAGGGGAUCAAUUGUAGUCCUUUAGAUAAGUAAGAGUGUCGAACCCAACGAGGAACAGAAGGAUAUGACAAGUGGUUUUCAGCAAGGAAAAAUCUGCAAGCACUGAAAUUGUCGGUAACAAGUGAUUGUGUGGUGAGAUGAUUCAUAGAAAGAAACAAGUAACAAAAGUAGCAACGGUACAUCAAGGUGGCCCAAUCCCUUUUGUAGCAAGGGACAAGCCUGAACAAAGUCUUAUAAGAGGAAAAACCCUCCCGAGGACACACGGGAAUUUCUAUCAUGCUAGUUUCAUCAUGUUCAUAUGAUUCGCGUUCGUUACUUUGAUAGUUUGAUAUGUGGGUGGACCGGCGCUUGUGUACUGCCCUUACUUGGACAAACAUCCCACUUAUAAUUAACCCCUCUCGUAAGCAUCCGCAACUACGAAAGAAGAAUUAAGACAAAGUCUAACCAUAGCAUUAAACUAGUGGCUCCAAAUCAGCCCCGUACGAAGUAACGCAGAAACUAGGGUUUAUGCUUCUGUCACUCUAGCAACCCAUCAUCUACUUACUACUUCCCAAUGCCUUCCUCUAGGCCCAAAUAAUGGUGAAGUGUUAUGUAGUCGAUGUUCACAUAACACCACUAGAGGAAAAACAACAUACAACAUAUCAAAAUACCGAACGAAUACCAAAUUCACAUGACUAUUAUUAGCAUGACUUAUCCCAUAUCCUCAGGAACAAAAGUAACUACUCACAAAGCAUAAUCGUAAUCAUGAUCAGAGGUGUAAUGAGUAGCAGCAAGGAUCUGAACAUAAACUCUUCCACCAAGUAAUCCAACUAGCAUCAACUACAAAGAGUAAUCAACACUACUAGCAACCUUACAAGUACCAAUCGGAGUCGCGAGACGGAGAUUGGUUACAAGUGAUGAACUAGGGUUUGGAGAUGAGAUGGUGAUGAUGAAGAUGUUGAUGGUGACGAUUCCCCUCCGAUGAGAGGAGUGUUGGUGAUGACGAUGUCGACGAUUUCCCCCUCCGGGAGGGAAUUUCCCCGGUAGGAUCGUCCUGCCGGAGCUCUAGAUUGGUUCUGCUCAAGUUCCGCCUCGUGGCGGCGGCGAAACCACGGAAAUGCUCCCUUCUGAUUUUUUUUUCUGGACGAAACCCUCCAUAUAGCAAAAGAGGGGGGCAAGUGGGCCAACAGGGUGCCCACAAGCCCCCAUGGCGCGACCUGGGGGGGGUGGCCGCGUCGUGCAGGCUUGUGGCCACCCCCUGGCCCUCCUCUGGUACUUCUUCGGUCCAGUAUUUUUUAUAUAUUGGGAAAAAAAUCUCCGUUGAUUUUCACGGCAUUUGGAGUUCCGCAGAAUAGGUAUCUCAACUUUGCUCCACUUUCAGGCCAGAAUUCCAGUUGUCGGUAUUCUCCCUCUUCAUGUAAACCUUGCAAAAUAAGAGAGAAAAGGCAUAAGAAUAGUACUGUGAAGUGAAAUAACAGCCAAAGAAGCGAUAAAUAUCAACAUGAAAACAUGAUGCAAAAUGGACGUAUCACCACACUUGUGACAAGUAACCUCUACUGGUUGCCGGUACUGAGUCUGAGGAGGCCCUUGCUUAUGAUGCUGGAAUCUCUGCUGAAAGACAGGGUUGGGUGGGUGGGAAGAACCACGGCCACCAGAGUGCUUGAGCUGCUGCGAGUGCCGUGGAGGAGGAGGAGACACCCUAAACUUCUGUUGCUUCUGAACCACGUGAGUAGAGGAAGAGCUGGAAUCUCUGAAGCGCUUCUUAGAAUUCUCCACCCUGAGCAAGGCUGCCUCUGCCCUGAGAGCUAAGUUGUAGAACAUGUCGAAUUCCUCGGGAUCGUGCAAAGCAAGAGCUAACUGCAAAUCUUCUUUCAAGCCACCUCUGAACUGAUAAUUCUUGGUUUUCUGAUCAGGGAUAUCCUGCAAAGCGUAUCGGGCUAGCUCGUGGAACUCAACGUUGUACUUAUACACGGAAUUACCACCCUGCUUCAAGCGCCUGAACUUCUCACACAUCUCCUCCACAAAGCUGGACGGAAUGUAGUGGGACCUGAAGUCACGACAGAACUCAUCCCAAGAGAUCACUCUAGCACCUCUGGACUCCUUCAACUGUUGCCACCAGAUAGAAGCCUGCCCCUUCAACUGGAAUGUUGCAAAUUUGACAAAAUCCUUAGGACGAACAUUGCUACACUCAAAAUGCUUGUUCACAUCACGGAUCCAACCCUCGGCAUCAAAUGGCUGGUCACAGGAAGUGAAAGUCUUUGGCUGAUUCGACAGGAAUUGACUCAGAUUAGCAAACUGAUUGCCACCAUGCUGGAAAUUGCCUUACUACUGGUUAGCCCUCUCUUGCAACAACUGUAGCAGCAUCUGAGUAUUUGCAUUUGUAGCAUCCAUCACCGCUUGCCACACCUCUGCAGGAGAGGCGGCGGCGGCGGAGGAUCCUCCAGAGGAGGAGGUGGUGGCGGCACAUCCUCACGCCCUGGGUUCUGACCCUUUGGUGGAGCCAUCCUGAAGACGGACAACACAUUAGCCCACAGAAUAAAUUGAAGAUAUAGCUGAAUCAAAAUGAUAGGAAUAUCUGAACAGGAAUAUAGAAAUUGCACUCGAACAAAAUAGUAAGAAUGCUUCCUCAAAGUGACAGUCGACAGAAUUCUGAUUAAGACCACUGCAAACAAGUAUGAGCUAAAACUGCUCAGAACAAACAUAUGAUCGAGAUUUCACCCGAUAUCUUCGUGGAUAAGAUCGCACGGGCUCGAAUUUACAGUAGCCAUCCUGUGCAAGGUAGUGCACACGACAUACGAAGUUGUCACGCCCAAGAUGCGACCCUAUCCUCAAUUUGGCACGAAGGCCUCGUCAGGGAUAGAAGCGCAUCUCGUUGUGUCGCAAGAAUGGAUAUCGUUACAAGUACAUAUACUGAAAAGAAGAGAUAGAUAUACAGAGUUGGCUUACACUCGCCACAAGCUACAUUAGAGUCACAUCAGUACAUUACAUAACCAUCAAGAGUAAGAGCAGGGUCCGACUACGGACGAAAACAAACGACAAAAGAAGAACGACGUCCAUCCUUGCUAUCCCAGGCUGCCGGCCUGGAACCCAUCCUAGAUCGAUGGAGAAGAAGAAGAAGAAGUAACUCCAAAAGAACAAUCAACGCGCUCGCGUCAAGUACCCUUUACCUGUACCUGCAACUGGUGUUGUAGUAAUCUGUGAGCCACAGGGGACUCAGCAAUCUCAUUUCCAAAGGUAUCAAGACUAGCAAAGCUUUAUGGGUGAGGUAAGGUUAAGUGGUGAGGUUGCAGCAGUGGCUAAGCAUAUAUUUGGUGGCUAACUUACGAGUACAAGAAGUAAGAGGGGGAAGAUCUACGCAUAGCGGACGUGAACUACAAAUGAUCAAAUGAAUGAUCCUGAACACCUACCUACGUCAGACAUAACCCCACCGUGUCCUCGAUCGGAGAAGGAACUCACGAAAGAGAUAAUCACGGUUACGCACACGGUAGGCAUGUUUUAAUUAGUUAACUUCGAGUUAUCUAGAACCAAUGUUAAACAAAGUAUCCACGUUGCCACAUAACCGCGGGCACGGCUUUCCGAAAGAUUUAACCCUGCAGGGGUGCUCCAACUAGUCCAUCACAAAUUACCACAAGCCGCAUGGAAAUCCUCAAUCACGAAGCUCGCGAUCUCGUCGGAUUCCCUAAUGGAAAACCUCAACUCUGAGAUUACCCAAAGCAUCACCGGAAUCCCGAUGCACAAGAUAUCUCGUCAAAGGUAAAACUAAUCCAGCAAGGCCGCCCGACGUGUCGACGUACCCGAUAGGAGCCGCGUAUCUCGUUCUCAGGACACGACGGAUGGAACUAGCUACAGGUGCCAAACCUCGACUUUCCUCGCGGUGGCCCUGCAGGCAGACCGUUUGGGACAAACACCAUCAGCACUGGCCCCCCCUGUUUAUGUAAAAAAUUACUCCUCGGGUAGCGCUAACUCCCUAUGCAUUUCAAUUUAACAGAAUUAUUAUGUUGGGCAAAUGUAGAACCAAAGUUGGGCCUUGCCAGACCAGCUUUAAUCUAAAACGAAUUAUCAAGGGGGUCCCCAUAACAACCCCGAUCGUGUUAGGAGCGCUCGUUUAUGGAACAUAACACCGGCAGCCGAAAACUAAGGGGGCAAAGGUGGAACAAAACACCAGGCUAGAAAGGCCAAGCCUUCCACCUUUUACCAGGUAUAUAGGUGCAUUAAAUUAAAUAGCAUUAAUAUAUGGUGAUAUGACAAGGAACCCAUGUUAUCACAUGGAAGCAUCUACACCUGCAACUAGCAACGCUAUCAACAGGGUUAAGCAAGCAGUAACAUGGCCAAUCAGUGGUUUGCUAGGUUGAACAGGUUGAAGGUUUCAUGGCAUUGUUGAGAGGCUGAUAUUUAACAGGUGGUAGGCAACGAGACAUAAACGGUAGAUACGGCAAAAGUAGCAUGGCAAUGAUAGUAAUGGUAUCUGGGGAAAUGAUCAUCUUGCCUGAGAUCCCGCUUGGAAGAAGAAUGCCUCCGUGAAGCAGACGAACCGACGUAGUCGAACGGGUCCUCACAAUCCGGCAAGCGUGCGGAGCUCUAUCGAGACGAAGCAAACCGAAAACACAAAUCAUCACACGGAAUUCACCACACGAUGCACAACACAAAUGAUGCAUGAGCAGCUGGAUACAUGCAAGUCACGGCAUGACAAUUCACACAAUCAGACACUACACAUUAAGUGAAAUUCAAUAUGCAACGAGUAGCAUAUUGAUGAAACUCCACGUUAAUUAUUUAGUUCUAUCCCGAUUAGAUACACGGCAAUAUUAAAUGUGGUUAAACAAGGCACGGGGUGAAGCACAAAUUAAACUACAUAUCUAGGCAUUUUAAAUGAGGCCGGAAAUGACAUAUAGCAUCUCUGAAAUGACCCCACGUGUUAAAUUCUAAUUUUGUCCAGAUUUGUCCUCAUCACAUUUUAAAUUUGUUGAGCGUCGAAACAAAGUGGUUCACGUGAAACUACAUGUCGUUCUAGCCCAUUUACAUAUAUGGCUCAUCUCCAACGGAACUACGGAUAAAUAGCUAUGACCUAAACCGUUUUCAACACCUCGACACGCAAACCGAUGCAAACAACACGCUAACAGUUUUAAACGUGCAUGAGAGUUGAAAAAAAUAUUGAUCUACGUGAAAUUCUAUACGCUUUACAUAUCUAACUUAUUCCAAUCCGAAGCAUGGUUUGAAAUCUACGGGGGUUUGAAAACAAUACGCAAUUUUUCUGAAAUCUAGCAAAAUCCUAAUGCAGCAAAAAAAGACAGGGGAAACAAUUAUGGGGCAAAGCUGGGAUCCAAACCCCAGACCCCUGCGUUGAAUCCAGGGCACUAACCAGUUGGUCUGGCUCCUGUUGUGUGAACUAACAGGGCCUCGAAGUUAAGUGAACCGAGGCAGAAACUAAUCCUAUGCAAAGGGUAAAAUUCAUGAAAAAUAGAAAUGAAUCCACGGGGACUUGAACCCACGAUCUCCUGGUCGAUUAGAGCAGCGCUACCCAACUCGGCUAUGCAUGUGCACGUGACACGAGUGCAGGGGAGAACAACAUAUACUAAAGAGGCGGAGGGACUCCUUCUGCACGAACACACACGGCCAGGCAGAAGCGUACAUGGCGGAUCUGGUGAGUCCUCACCUGCGGCUUCGGCGGCUGAACCUGGCGAGGCUUGAUGGGACUCCGGCGAGCAUCCAGGACGAGGGGAAAGGGGGAAUUUGAGCAUGGGAAUCCAUUCCCGGCGUCAGGAGCUUGAUUCGGUGGAGGAAACGCCGGUUCACAAGCUGCAAGCUCCAUGGCACAGCUUCCCUUGACAGAGGCGUAGAUGCUCGUGUGGACAGAGAGAGAGAGAGACGAGGUGAGAGAGGGAAGAAGGAAGGGAGAAGGAGCAGGGGCGACCUGGGUGCCUGCCCGUCGGUGAAGCUCGCCGGCGGCUCACGGCGCGGCCCCCUGGGAGGCACGGGGGAGGGAGCUCGAGGACGAGGCCAUGCCCGCUCGUGCGCUCCAUUGACUAGUUGGGGACGGCCUCCUCGUGCGGCAUGCGGGCGACGGAUGCGUCCGGUGGCUCGCCUCGCAUGGAAGACGGGGUCGAGGCGCAGGGAGCUCUGGAUCGAGCUGCUUACGGGGUUGGCUGCAGACUGAAUCUGGGGAUCCCGAGGGGAAUUUUUUCCACUGGGUGGUGGCGGCUAUUGGACAGGGAGAGGAUUUCUAGGGAUUGGUCUAGGGUUAGACUAGGUGAUCCAUAUAUAUAAUAGGUGGGUUAGAUUAGGGGUUAUUUGGACCCUCCGAUUGAAAUGGGACGGUCGAAAAUUUUAGGUUAGAGAGUCCAAUGAACAAACCGAUGAUAGUUUGCGGUAAAACGGGGUUGAUCCGGACCCAACGGUCACGAUCGUCCGGUUCGGGUACCGGGAGGUUUUCGUACUGGGCCACGCGCAGGGUCGACGCAUUGUGCAGAGGGGCUUGGCAAAGAUGAGAGGGAAAACGGGCGACCCGACAACGUAUUUAAAAACAUCGACACACGUCCGACGGUAGACUGAAUAUGGUGCCGCUACGGUCGACCGUUCGGGUACCAGACGGACUCCGAUUGCGACGAAAUUCGACAGGAGGCCUAGCUAUAACUACUUACGACCGCAUACCAAGUUUCACCCCGAUCAGAGAAAGUUUUGCGCACAAUUUUAAAACAGGGUUCGAAUGAUGCCGCGGGCGUGUGCGUGUGCGGUCGGGCUCAGAACGGACAACGACGGGAACCGGCAACUAACAACGGAUGCAAGUUUUGAAAACUGGCGGCAACGGAGAUGCCGAUGCAAUGCAGAUGAUGCGCAUAAUGCGAUGAUGAUGCGACAAAUAAAAAUAGACACACGACGAAAAUGGAAAGAGAGGGGAAUCUUCUGGAACGCCGGCAUCGGGCUGUCACAACUCUCCUACACUAAAAGAGGAUCUCGCCCCGAGAUCCAAGAAUGAAAGGGGGAGAGGAUGAGAAAGAACAAGAGGUAACAACUUAGUCGCUUCUUUGACAAAUGAGUGACACCAACAAAGGUUGCAAAGAGAUGAGGACUGAUAUGAGGAAGAAGCAAGAAUUCACGGAAAAUUUCGGCAGCACUUCGGUAGGAAAAUGGGACAAAUUUUUUGAAAAGGUAGGAGAAAUAGACAAUAUUUAUAACAAACAACUAAGUAGAGCAAGGGAACACCAUGAUCUUGAUAGAACAACAAGAUUGACCCAAAAGAGCAACAUCACAAUGCCUUCAGAACAAUAGAAUAGGAACUAGCUCAUACGGAAGAAGAGAAUGAAGAGAAACAUGACAAAUACUAUCUACAAUGAACUUGGCAAGCAGCCUUGCACGAAGAAUUGAACGGAGUUGUUGGAAAAAACAACAACGAAAAGAACAAGAUAGUAGUGGGCUUAUGAACACCUUUCAAACUAAUGAAGUGACAACCAGCCACUAAUAGAAACAAGAUUGGUUGAAAGCAAGAUAUGAAAGCUUCUUACACCAAGACGAUACAUUGAGUACUUGGAUUAAUGACAAGCACCAUGAUAGCACAAUCCAUAGGAAAAGCUUUAGGUGAAAUCCAAACCAAGAUAGCUCAAUGAAGAAAUCAUGGGUUAAGAAUAAUCUCAUGAUCAAAGGAUUGGUGGAUUUAAUUAUCUCAUUCUUGAAAGGAAUUCUCUUCGAGACUCCUACACUAACAAGAAUGCUAUAAUACCACCUCAAAGGAUAAAGGAAGAACAAUUGCACAUAUAAAUGCAAGAGGAAGGAUACUUGAGGUUCUCCAACAAGAAUCUUGAAGAACACUUUGAGAAUGAAUUGAAACCUUGAAGAACCACCAUGAAGGACCUCCGUAUGAAUGAUGCAACGAUAUGAAGGUAGAAAAGAAUAAGAUUAUGACCUUGCCAAGAUUUAGAUGAAGCAUCACAAAGAGAUACUUAAAAGAACUUAGAACUCCGGAAAAGAAAGAUAAGCACCUGAGAAAGGAAUCGAUAUCAAGAGCCACUCCGGAAGAAGAAUUCAGAUUACUAUGAACAGGAAUAAGAAUUAUGUUAUGCUUAUCCUUCAUCAAGUUUUAUUGAUGACAAGCAAAGGAUUUAGCAUACAACUUAUUCCGCUUGAAAGAAUCUUAAAAGAGAUAGAGAGAUAAGCACCACUUGAAGCAUAAUUGAAGGAAGCACCGGUAAGAAUUCACAUUUGAAUGGGGAUACCAAGAAUGAAUGGAGAUACAUGAGAUUGAAGAGAUCAUGAUCCACCAGAAAUAAAACUUGAACAAGGCACCGGAUAAUCGAGAGACGAACGAAGAGACAAUAAUUGAGAAGAAUUGAGGAUGAAAGCUGAAAGCUGAGAACGAAGAAUCUUCUAAAAUGAUGGCCUUCGGAGGAAUGAGAAAUAAAAACAACUCAGAGAAGCACCGGAUAGCACGAAAGGGAUUACUCAUGAUUGACAACAAAUGAGAGGAUACACGAAGCUGAGAUGACAGUCUUCACAAGAAUGGAACAAGACUGAGAGAAACACUCCUUAGAAUUUGCAAGCUGAGAAUGAUGACGAGAACAACACCAAGAAUUAAUGAGACACUCCGGAAUAAGAACAAAGAAAAAUUUAACCAAUGACGACAAAUAAAUUAAAAGCAAUCUUGAAGAAGGAAUAUGACUGAUGAAAUUCAUACUUACGUCAUAGUUGAAAUGAAUUAAUGAUCUUUGGGAAAAGAUUAAAAGAGCCAGGAAAGAUCCUGGGAAGGAACCUAUGGGUUAUGGGCCCACUCAAAGAAACCAUCGUUGAAAAGAUUGCUAGAACGAGAGAUAUUGCACCAGUAUGAAGAGAACUAUAUGAGGUUAGCACCUCGAAAUAAUUAUAGAAUUGAGAACAAGAAACUUCUGGGAUAACUUCAACACUCCGGGUAGAAUAGAGAGAAAUGACAACAAGACGAUAAACUGAUAAAAAUUUCCAACAUAGGAAAGAAUUACAAGGACGAAUAGGAUACAAUGAACACGGAUAAUUGCAUUGAAUUCACCGGAAAGGAUAACACGACUGAAUAAGGAUGAACACGAAGCUCCUGAGAAUCUUCACAAUGAAUCACCGGGUAAGAGAGAAAAGAACAGACAACGGAAGCACCAUGAAAAGAAAACUCUUGGAUGAAAUCCAAUCACUGAAGAAAAGGGUGGGAGGGCGGGGAAAAACAAAGACGACUUAAGACAGAUGAGAUAACUCCGGAAUAAAAUGAGAGAAUGCUCUUGCAAAAAAAUGGAGAGGAUUGAAUCCACCUGUAGAGAAACACACCGGUUGGAAAAGAAUUAACAUGACGACUCCGGUUGACAAGAAUGAUAAGACAAUUGAUUAAGCAAAAGUAUUAGCAUUCACAUAAAAAUAUGAGAACACCUCUUGGAAAGGUCUGAAAUCACCACUUGACAUCGAAGCAACUCGAAUUACCAUAGUUCAACAAAACAAAGGGUGAGGAUUUGUUGGAAGAUUCUCCUAUAAGCAACUACUUGAAUUCCCACCUAAGAAUUCCCCAAAUAUCUGGUCAUGCAAUCUGGUACACGGAUACAAGGAGUAAUAAUCACACAACUCCUAUACUAACCCGUCACCUGUAUCACAUCCGUCAACACACAACCAGAAUCUCGGACCUUCAUCUACUACAGACCCUCGUGAUCACAACGAUACAAAGUAUGGCAGUACUCCCGAACAAUCUGCACCAGUACUGGGGACAUCGGGGUUAUCUCGCCACUACUAGUAUUGAAGCAAUUACGAACAUCCUUCGUUCUGAGAUACUAUGAAAUCAGAAUGAUAACGAUGUGCUCAAGAAUCCCCUGGAGCUCAACUCCCCAGAAGAAAAUCAAGUCAGACAGGAGGCACCAAGACAGAACUCCGUCACAUCGGCAUCAUAUAGAUCUCAAAAAUAUCCACGUGAUCCUAAAAAUUUUUGAGUGAGAAGAGGAGUAGAAUUAAAUUAUUACGUCAAGAUUCCUCACCAGAGCAUAGAAGAGGAGAAAAAAGAAUCCUACUCUCCGAUAUAUAACUAGACUCAAAGUAGUUUUUCACUAGACUCGACUCGGCCAAGUUCGAUCAAUCAAGGGGGCUCCUAGGUCGGUACUGCUCUGAUACCAACUUGUCACGCUCAAGAUGCGACCCUAUCCUCAAUUUGGCACGAAGGCCUAGUCAGGGAUAGAAGCGCAUCUCGUCGUGUCGCAAGAAUGGAUAUCGUUACAAGUAGAUGUACUGAAAAGAAGAGAUAUAUUUAGAAUUGGCUUACACUCGCCACAAGCUACAUCAGAGUCACAUCAGUACAUUACAUAAACAUCAAGAGUAAGAGCAGGGUCCAACUACGGACGAAAACAAACAAGAAAAAUAAGAACGACGUCCAUCCUUGCUAUCCCAGGCUGCCGGCCUGGAACCUAUCCUAGAUCGAUGAAGAAGAAGAAGACGAAGCAACUCCAAAUGAACAAUCAACGCGCUCGCGUCAAGGAACAUUUACCUGUACCUGCAACUGGUGUUGUAGUAAUCCGUGAGCCACAGGGGACUCAGCAAUCUCAUUUCCAAAGGUAUCAAGACUAUCAAAGCUUAAUGGGUGAGGUAUGGUUAAGUGGUGAGGUUGCAGCAGCGGCUAACCACAUAUUUGGUGGCUAAACUUACGAGUACAAGAAAUAAGAGGGGGAAGCUCUACGCGUAACUGACGUGAACUACUGAUGAUCAAAUGAAUGAUCCUGAACACCUACCUACGUCAGACAUAACCCCACCGUGUCCUCGAUCGGAGAAAAGAACUCACGAAAGAGACAGUCACGGUUACGCACACAGUUGGCAUCUUUUAAUUAAGUUAACUUCAAGUUAUCUAGAACCAGUGUUAAACAAAGCUUCCCCGUUGCCACAUAACCGCGGGCACGGCUUUCCGAAAGAUUUAACACUGCAGGGGUGCUCCAACUAGUCCAUCACAAAUUACCACAAGCCGCAUAGAAAUCCUCAAUCACGAAGCUCGCGAUCUCGUCGGAUUCCCUAGUGGAAAACCUCAACUCUGAGAUUACCCAAAGCAUCACUGGAAUCCCGAUGCACAAGAUAUCUCGUCAAAGGUAAAAUUAAUCCAACAAGGCCGCCCGGCGUGUCGACGAUCCCGAUAGGAGCCGCGUAUCUCGUUCUCAGGACACGACAGAUGGAACUAGCUACGGGUGCCAAACCUUGAGUUUCCCCGUGGUGGCCCCGCAGGCAGACCGUUUGGGACCAACACCAUCAGCACUGGCCCCCCUGUUUAUGUAAAAUUACUCCUCGGAUUCAUGACGCCCUAUGCAUUUCAGUGUUAACAAAUUAUUAUGUUGGACAAAUGUAGAACCAAUGUUGGGCCUUGCCGGACCAUCUUUAAUCUAAAAAGAAUUAUCAAGGGGGUCCCCAUAACAACCCCGAUCGUGUUAGGAGCGCUCAUUUAUGGAACGUAACCCCGGUAGCCGAAACUAAGGGGGCAAAGGUGGAACAAAACACCAGGCUAGAAAGGCCGAGCCUUCCACCUUUUACCAAGUAUAUAGGUGCAUUAAAUUAAAUAGAAUUAAAUAUGGUGAUAUAACAAGAACCCAUGUUAUCACAUGGAAGCAACUACACGUGCAACUAGCAACGCUAACACAGGGUUAAGCAAGCGGUAACAUAGCCAAUCAGUGGUUUGCUAGGUCGAACAGGUUGAAGGUAAUCAUGGCAUUGUUGAGAGGCUGAUAUUUAACAGGUGGUAGGCAACGAGACAUAAACGAUAGAAGCGAUAAAACUAGCAUGGCAAUGAUAGUAAUGGUAUCUGGGGAAAUGAUCAUCUUGCCUGAGAUCCCGCUUGGAAGAAGAAUGCCUCCAUGAAGCAGACGAACCGACGUAGUCGAACGGGUCCUCACAAUCCGGCAAGCGUGCGGAGCUCUAUCGAGACGAAGCAAACCGAAAACACAAAUCAUCACACGGAAUUCACCACACGAUGCACAACACAAAUGAUGCAUGAGCAGCUGGAUACAUGCAAGUCACGGCAUGACAAUUCACACAAUCAGACACUACACAUUAAGUGAAAUUCAAUAUGCAACGAGUAGCAUAUUGAUGAAACUCCACGUUAAUUAUUUAGUUCUAUCCCGAUUAGAUACACGGCAAUAUUAAAUGUGGUUAAACAAGGCACGGGGUGAAGCACAAAUUAAACUACCUAUCUAGGCAUUUUAAAUGAGGCCGGAAAUGACAUAUAGCAUCUCCGAAAUGAGCCCACGUGUUAAAUUCUAAUUCUGUCCAGAUUUGUCCUAAUCACAUUUUAAAUUUGUUAAACGUCGAAACAAAGUGGUUCACGUGAAACUACAUGUCGUUCUAGCCCAUUUACAUAUAUGGCUCAUCUCCAACGGAGCUACGGAUAAAUAGCUAUGACCUAAACCGUUUUCAACACGUCGACACGCAAACCGAUGCAAACAACACGCUAACAGUUUUAAACGUGCAUGAGUGUUAAAAAAAUAUUAAUCUAUGUGAAAUUCGAUACGCUUUACAUAUCUAACUUAUUCCGAUCCGCCGCAUGGUUUGAAAUCUACGGGGGUUUGAAAACAAUACGCAAUUUUUCUGAAAUCUAGCAAAAUCCUAAUGCAGCAAAAAAAAGACAGGGGAAACAAUUAUGGGGCAAAGCUGGGAUUCGAACCCCAGACCCCUGCGUUGAAUCCAGGGCACUAACCAGUUGGUCUGGCUCCUGUUGUGUGAACUAACAGGGCCUCGAAGUUAAGUGAACCGAGGCAGAAACUAAUCCUAUGCAAAGGGUAAAAUUCGUGAAAAAUAGAAAUGAAUCCACAGGGACUUGAACCCACGAUCUCCUGGUCGAUUAGAGCAGCGCUACCCAAUUCGGCUAUGCAUGUGCACGUGACAUGAGUUCAGGGGAGAACAACAUAUACUAAAGAGGCGGCGGGACUCCUUCUGCACGAACACACACGGCCAGGCAGAAGCGCACAUGGCGUAUCUGGUGAGUCCUCACCUGCGCCUUCAGCGGCUGAACCUGGUGAGGCUUGAUGGGACUCCGGCGAGCAUCCAGGACGAGGGGGAAAGGGGGGAUCUGAGCAUGGGAAUCCAUUCCCGGCGUCGGGAGCUUGAUUCGGUGGAGGAAACGCCGGUUCACAAGCUGCAAGCUCCAUGGCACAGCUUCCCUUGACAGAGGCGUAGAUGCUCGUGUGGACAGAGAGAGAGAGAUGAGGUGAGAGAGGGAAGAAGGAAGGGAGAAGGAGCAAGGCGACUUGGGUGCCUGCCCGUCGGUGAAGCUCGCCGGCAGCUCACGGCGCGGCCCCCUAGGAGGCACGGGGAAGGGAGCUCAGGGACGAGGCCAUGCCCGCUCCUGCGCUCCAUUGACUAGUUGGGGACGGCCUCCUCGUUCGGCAUGCGGGCGACGGAUGCGUCCGGCGGCUCGGCUCACGUGGAAGACGGGGUCAAGGCGCAGGGAGCUCUGGAUCGAGCUGCUUACGGGGUUGGCUGCAGACUGAAUCUGGGGAUCCCGAGGGGAAUUUUUUCCACUGGGUGGUGGUGGCUAUUGGACAGGGAGAGGAUUUCUAGGGAUUUGUCUAGGGUUAGACUAGGUGAUCUAUAUAUAUAAUAGGUGGGUUAGAUUAGGGGUUAUUUGGACCCUCCGAUUGAAAUCGGACGGUCGAAAAUAUUAGGUUAGAGAGUCCAAUGAACAAACCGAUGAUAGUUUGCGGUAAAACGGGGUUGAUCCGGACCCAACGGUCACGGNNNNNNNNNNNNNNNNNNNNNNNNNNNNNNNNNNNNNNNNNNNNNNNNNNNNNNNNNNNNNNNNNNNNNNNNNNNNNNNNNNNNNNNNNNNNNNNNNNNNGAAUUAGAACCCGAUUCUUGAUGAAGACUGUUGUUGAUGACCCAGUUUCAACUGAUGUGACAGUUGUACAUCUGGUUUGGAGCGGCUUGGUAUUGAAACCAAAGGACACCCAGUCCCGGGACACACAGUCCCUACCGUAUUCUCCUUGAGCUAAGGACACACAGUCCUCGCCCAACACUCGUGGUAAGUCUUCAGGGCAGACUUCCAAACCCUCACAAACUCGGUCACCCGGCGAUCCACAAUUAACUACUGGAUUGCUCUAGAUCAUGACGCCUAACCGUCUGGAGGAUGCAGAGUCCUCAAAGGUAAAAGGCUUCAGUCCCACACAAGAACAACUUCUUCAGUGAUGCUCAAUCACUAGGUUUGCUUUGUGGUUUCGGUGGGUGGUGUAUUUCCUCACAGAUGAUUUACUCUCAAAGGCUCUGAGGAAUUUGGGUUGCUCUUAUGACAAGUGUCAUUUUAUAACGGAGCAGCCAACCAGCUAGUGGUUGUGGCGGGCGGCUAUUUAUAGCCUGGGAGCAUCCCGACAUGAUUUGACAUUAAUGCCCUUAAAUAAUAUGACCGUUGGAGUGGAUAAGACCAGUGACUUGGCGUGGCUUAUCGAAACGGUCGGGACCCUCAACUGUGAGAGUCCUCAUGUCACUCAUAUUCCUCACUUGAGGCUUUUGGUAGGAUUUGGCUUGGGUUGAGCAUCAUGAGGAAAUUUCUUCCAUAGUGUUACUUUGACCCCCUUUAACAGUACGGUGUUCCUAUUCAUCAAAUGCGAAGAAAGUAAAACAGAAAACGUAAAUCUUCACGCUUCAAUUUCUUCAAAAUGAUUUUCUUCAGGAACCACCGAUCUUCUCAAUAUCAAUAUCUUCAUGAGGAAUAUCAAUUUCAUCGCAGAUUCCUCGUGAUUCAUUUCUUCACCUUCAGACCAAUUUCUUCAACUGAAGAUAUACAUUUUUAGGGGUCGAUAUUCUUCAAAUAUCUCAAACUCCUCAAUGACUUAUAGAUCCUGUGUACACUUAUAAACACAUUAGAUACUUAACCUAUAAGUCUUCAAACCACCAAAAUCACUAAGGGGCACUAGAUGCACUUACAGGAAGGAUGCACAUCCACCACUAAGUCCUUGCUUCUGGUCAUAUGAUUUGUUGCUCCACUAUCGAGCAACCAUGACACCCCACCGGAAGCAAACUCCUGCAAUAGAUCAAGGCUUGGUUUUAGGUACCCAUUUUUGAAUGGGUUCUUUAAUGUUAGAGACAAGGGUCUUAGGAACCCAAAUAGCCCAUUCAAUGGACUCAUAGUAAGAACCAACAAAUCUGGCAUAAACAUGCCCAUCACCAGCACGACAUAAAACAUAGGAUGGAUUGAGUUUGCCGACUGUGUUGGUAGGAAUGGUUUUGCCCUUCUUGAUGCUACCAUUCUCCACCUUGUUCCUCUUCUCCUUCGGAGUCCCUACGCCCUCUUUGACAAAGAUGUCCAUGAGGGUAGGGGAUCAUUUGUUCCUGUUCUUCCUUUUUCUUUUCGACUUGGAUGUAAGUCGAAGUCCCUCCUUUCCUACAAAACCCUUUUGAUUGCUCAAGAGGUUGUUUAGGUUCUUCUUGCCUUGGAUGCAUGACACAAGGCCCUUCUCAAGUUGAUCCUUCAACUUGGCAUUUUCCUCCACUAGAUGUACAUGCUCACAACAAGGGUUAGUUGUACAAGCAUUAUCAAUUAUAACGAGAGGAGGACAGGUAGAGAUCUCCUUGGUAAGUUUUGCUUGGAGUUGAUCAUGAGACUCUUUCAGGGAGAAAUGAGAACCUUUAAAGACCUUGUGAGCCUUGUCAAGUGUGUCAAACUCCACUUUGAGUCUGUCAUGGCCAACCCCAAGUGUAGCCUUUUCAGACUUAAGCACACGAGUAAGAACAAUAGCAUGAUCUGGUUCCUUUUGCAAUUUAGCGCAGUCAUCGUUGUAUGACUCCUCAAGAGCCAACUGAAGAGUUCGCUCCUUUUCUAGUGCAAUAGAUAAUUUAGCAAUCUCAUCGGCAUAGUCACGACUAUGUCCUUGCAGCUCGGAGAUAGUAUCCUCAUGAGACUUGAUGAGGUCAUUAGCCUUACCCAGUUGUUCCAAAAGAGCAACAAAGUGCUUCUUGGGUUCUCCUUUGAUCAUACACAGAAAUUUGUCAAGAUCAUGCUCAUUAAGUUCCACAACAUCACUAUCAUCAACACAAUUCAACAAUGAAGGAGCAGUAGUGAUGGUGGUCUUAAUGCUGGGUGUUACCUGAUCGAUACAUUUGGCCAUGAGGCACUUGGCGAUGUGGUUAUCGUUGGGGGCGUUGAAGAGAGACAUAUUCUUCGGAGAAGGGGUGGCAAUGGCGACAGUCGCAGUUGCCACCAUAUCGUCAUCGUCAUCAUCAUCGGAGGGGUACUUUUCAAGUGCCACCAUACCCUUUGGGUGGGGUUUCUUGACAAAGUUGUUCUUGUUUGGGAAUGACUUGGUUUUGUCUUUGCGAAUGAGCUUGCCCCUGUUGUCUUCCCUCUUCUCAUAGGGACAUUCUGCCAUGAAGUGACUCACAUUGCCGCAGUUAUAGCAUGUCCUCACACGUUGCUUGGACUUGAACCCACUUGAGUUAUUCUUGGAGAAGUUGGGCCUUGAGUUCCUCUUGUUGCCCCAGAAUUGCCUUGACGCAAGAACCAUGUGCUCGUGAGAAGCAUACUUAGUGUCUUCAGGGCAGCUCUCCUCUUCCUCAUCCUCUUCUUCUUCUUCAAAAGCAGCCUUUGCCUUUAAAGCAAGGUUGGGUGAAGCUAUCUUUGACCGAACGCGAGCAAGUGCAUUAUCAGCGGUCUUGUUCAUGAUUGACAUUGCAAUGAAUUCAUCCAACACCUCACUGGAAGACAAGGAGUGGAAAUCUGGUCGUUGGUGAAUGACGGAUGACAUAGCUUUGUUAAAUGGCAUGAUGGCCUUGAGAAACUUGCACUUGAUCCAUGUGUCAUCCACAUCCUUGCUCUGAUGAUCCUUGAGAGCAACAGCAAUAGCAGUCACCCUUCGAUAGAGAUCAUGAGGUUCCUCAUCUUCCUUCAUCACAAACUCAUCGGCCUCAUCAAGCACCACUUCAUAGUUGGACCGUAGAAUUCUUGAGCUUCCCUUGUACAGCACCAUAAUGUGCUCCCAACAGUCCUUAGCCAGAGUGAAGGGGCGCAAGUGAGGAAGAUCUUAAGGAGGCACUGCGGACAGGAGAAUAAAUAAUGCAGAGUGAUUACACUGAUUGUCCGCUUCUUCUCUUGGAGUGGGGUUGCUUGGGUCAUGAGGAUAGUAGCCUUGCUCGAUGGUUCUCCAUAAACUUGUUGAGCUGUGAUUCAAAUGAGACUUAAUAGAAAACACCCAGUUAGCAAAAUCACCCUUAAGAAGCUUAGGAGGAGGACCAACAGGAUUAAUACGCGGUGUAGGAACCGGUCCUCCAUAGACCAUGGGAGGUGGAACUGAGGCAUAGGUUCCAGUCCCAUUAUUUUCGAGAGGGGAAGAAGGUCGCAUACCUUUAGCCGCUUCCCUAGAGGAAUUGGCCUCCGAAUCCGUGUUGGCGGGUUUAACCACCAACGCUGGUCCGGGAGAACUUUUAAUUGCCUCAAUUAACUCUUUAAGCAUGGUCUUGACUUCGUUCGUCAAGGACGUCCUCAGGUUGGCCAUAGCCGCAUUCAAGUCAUCCCUUGUGUCCGAAGUCAAGGCCAUGGCCUCGGGUUGCCCAUGGGCUCCUCCCUCAUCAUCCUCCAUACUCUUCGGGUGGUGAAACCCUUAAUAAAGAGACGUGGCUCGCAUACCAAUUGAAAGGAUCGAUAUGGUUGACUAGAGGGGGGUUGAAUAGGCAACUACCACUUUUUCACUAUUCUUAACAAGUUAGGGUUAGCAACAUAAAGAUUCUCUAAAAUGACAACUAGGAAUAACUUAUAUGAUGCUACCAACUAUAAUCGCUAAGGAAAGUAAGAAAUAGUCUACAAAAAUAACAUACACAAUGUAAACAUUAGAGAUAACCACAAGUGGAACCAAUGAAGACGAGGAUGUGUUACCGAAGUUCCUUCCCUUUGACAGGAAGUACGUCUCCGUUGGAGCGGUGUGGAGGCACAAUGCUCCCCAAUAAGACACUAGGGCUACCGUAUUCUCCUCACGCCCUCACACAAUGCAAGGUGCCGUAAUUCCACUAUGGGUGCUCUUGAAGGCGGCGACCGAACUUUACAAACAAGGUUGGGGCUAACUCCACACAAAGCUUGGAGGCUCCCAACAAGACCACGGAGCUUCACCAUAAUGCAAUGUGGCUCCAAGGUGACCUCAACCGUCUAGGGUGCUCAAACACCCAAGAGUAACAAGAUCCGCAAGGGAUUAGUGGGGGAAUCAAUUUUCUCUUGCUGGAAGUGUAGAUCUAGGCCUUCUCAACCAAUCCCUAGGAAAUCAACAAGUUUGAUUGGCUAGGGAGAGAGAUCAGGCACUUUUGAGCUUAGGGAGCAACAAUGGAGCUUGGGAGGGUCAAAGGUAGGGUCCUUGAGAAAGAAGAACCCUUUAUAUAGUGGGGGAAAGAAUCCAACCGUUUUCCUCACUCACAGCACGAGCCCAGCGGUACUACCGCUGGCUGCAGCGGUACUACCGCUGACCCUCCAGCGGUACUACCGCUGGCCGUAGCGGUACUACCGCUGGCCCAUGGUAACGCAAAGAUACUACCGGUCCAACCAACGCCAAGAAAGUCUUUGCAAAAAGUCUGACGUAGUACAGCCGCAAGGAUGACGGUGCCAAAGUCGUGGAGCGGUACUACCGUUGACCAUGGGCGGUACUACCGCUGGGCCAGCGGUACUACCGCUAGGCCAGCGGUACUACCGUCAGCUCCAGCGGUACUACCGCUAGGGCCAGCGGUAAUACCGCUAGGUCCAGUGGUACUACCGCCAGAGGACAUUUUUGCAAGAAGAGAAAGACCAGAGAGGGGAAAAGCUCCAUAGUUGCAAGGGAAAGGAGAUGGAGAAAAAGUGUGUGCGUGCAAGAUUGAUUCCACCCAAACCUUCCCAAUAUGGAUUUCCUCUUAAUAGUACGGCGUUCCUACGACUCAAAACCACCAAAGAGAAUCGUAGAAGACACCGUGCUUCUAUUCCAUGGAGGGUGUCGAAUCAUCUUGUGCCUUUGUCAUGUAUUAUCUGAAAUGCUCAAUGCACAUGAUUAGUCCACUAAGGUAAUGUCAUCAAUCACCAAAAUUACUUAGGCAUAAAUGUGCCCUAACACUUCGAAUAUAAUUUAAGGCAACCAUUAGUCCAUAGGGAUUGUCAUCAAUUACCAAAACCACAUACGGAGAAAUAUGCUCUAACACAUAUGGCAUGCUGUGUAUUUUAGGUGAACCAACCAGAUUGAGUGAUGCACUUGGAGAUCCUAAGUGGUGAAAGGCUAUGGAUGAAGAGUACGGUGCACUCAUGAAGAAUAAAACAUGGCGUGUGGUACCAAGUCAGAAAGGUAAAAAUAUUAUUGACUGCAAGUGGGUCUAUAGAAUCAAAAGAAAGGCAGAUGGCCCCAUUGAUAGAUAUAAAGCACGUCUAGUUGCAAAAGGGUUCAAGAAAUGAUAUGGUAUUGACUAUGAGGAUACAUUUCGUAAUGCCCCAAGUGUGUAAACUUCCCUAUUUGGAACAUUCCCAUGUGGAUCCACCUUGUCAAUGACAUGAGAGAGUUCAAUGCUUAUGAUUUCAUGUGUUGUCACCUUAUUAUUUCUUCCCUUGCAUGCAUGCAUUCCAUAUCAUGCUAUGUCUUGGUUUGAGUCUUGUGAAUUCAUGUGUUGUUGAUGUGAUGUGGGUUGUGUGAAUGGUGUGGGGGUAGAUGAUAGUAGGGAGUGCCUUGUGGUUGUAUAGGUUUCAAAACCAUCUUCCCCCUCUCUAUUUCAUCUCAAGGUCAAGUUUCACUUGAACCUUAUCUGUUUUAAAAAUGUCCCUGUUUUAGCUCUUGUUUGUGGUGUAUUUCUGAUGUGAAAUUGCUAUUUUGAAAACAUGUUUUAAAGGUGCAAAUAAUUACAAAACAGAUCAAGCAAAUGCUGUUUUGUAAAUAUUUAUUUGCCCCAAACAUUUCUUUUCCAUUUAAUUCAAAUAGGUCAUAGUUCCUUAUGACCAGGGGUGAUUUUAUCUUUAUUUUUGAGCCAACAGUUUGGCCGGCCCACUUCCUCCUCUCUCUCUCGCGCAGGAGCCCGCAGCGUGUCCCUCUUCUUCCUCCUUUCCAGCUCGACUCCCGGGGCCACUGUCAGCGUCCCGGCCCGUUCCUCUCUGCUUUCCACCGGAGCUCCUCACGCACAUGGCCGCGCCGCGUCCCUCUCCUCUCCUUCCCCUAUUUAACCCCCCUUGGCAUCCGUGCCAAAGCUAGGUUUCCUCCUCCGCCACCGCCACUUCUUCCCCAUCUCCCUCUCUCUCUGUCGACGACCUGAGGUAAGAAAUAGUGGUGCUUCUGCCAUGGCCGGAUCGUGAAGAAGCUCGUCGCCGUUGGUGUUGUGCCUCUGCUUCCUCUCCAAGGCGUCGUCGAGCUUGCAGGAUCUCCAGGGAAUCCAUUCCCGCGGCAAGGACGGCGGCAUCUCCUCUUCUUCCCCUCCAUCGACGACGACCCCUUCCGCUCCGACAAGCUUCCUCGACACGGAUCCUUCCUCUCCGUCCCCUGCUUCCUCUCCGGCCGGCUCGGUCUCUUCAGCUGUGGGGUGAGCAGAUUCUUCCUUCCCCCUUCCCUAUCUUAGAUCGAGCGUAGGUGUCGUAGGUUCGCCGUCGUGCUGUUCCCUGUCGCCGGCGUCGCCGCGCGUCGUAGAGGCGUAGCAGUAGUGCCUCUCGAAUGGAUUUAACUAGGGAAAUGGAACUGUGGAUGCCAGGGCAUCCUUCCAUCAACGCGCCGGAGUGUAAUUUAUCUUCUGUCGCUGGCGAGGUAGCUCCCUUGUUCCGGCCACUGUGGGUCAUCAGUGGAUCCUGAAGGGAAUGCUCAAAAGAGCAGAGACCCCUUCUCUGUCAGACUUCGAUGCGUAGCGUAGUGGUAGUGUGUUGUUGCCUGUUGGAGGUUGCGGGUUCGAUCCCCCCCUUGGCACCCUUUUGGUUUUAUUUCCUUCGGUACAGUAGUUUAGCAUAGCAGGUAGUUUAACUUGCUAGGCUGCUCUCUUCUGUCGAGCGCAAGGCCACUAGCAGAGUGGUUUGUAUCUGUGGGCAGUACCAGAGGGGUACAGGGUUUGAUCCCUCCUUCCCCACCUUUUAUUUUUUUGCUGUGCUUUAUUUUUUCCUUUUGUUGUUUACCUUUGGCUUGUGUAGAUGUGGCUUGGUGUGCCUCACACCAUGGGGGGAGAUUUAUCCUCUCCUUAAAACAGCAUGUAUGAGGUGUAUGUGUUGCUAACAAGGGUGUAUGCAUGGUAGUUGUUGUUGUCAUGUGAUGCUUGUGCCUUUGGUGCAAGUGAGUGUGUGUGUGUGUGUGAAGGGUUUUCCCCUCCCACACACCUUGUAUAUAUGUUGGUGUAAGUUGCUUGCAGGAGCAUAUGCAUGUGGUUCAAGUCAUAUGCAUGUGGUGUGUUUUCACUAGGAGAGCAUGUGUAGUAUUAUCAUGUAUAGGACUGCAUUGUUGUUAUGAGUGCAUGUAUAUAUAGAUUGGAUAGAUCCUAUGUGAGUGUGUGGGUGCUCAUGUGAGUAUGUCACACACAUAUCAUGGCAAGUUAUGCCUUGAUGGGCAUAUGUGCAAGAUUUCAUGUGUAAGUGUUGUUAUUAUGUUGUGCUUGUUGCUUGUGAUGGUGUGGUGAUGUGCCAACGCACAUAGGCAUGAGGUCUACCCCUCAUGUACCCCCAUUGAUGUUGUGGUCAUGUGCAAGAGCUUGUGUAGGAGUUGUUCUAGUGAUUUUGUACAUGUGAUGAUGCACUAUUCACUACAUACGAUUCCAUGUAGAAUUUCUUUCCUAGUUUGUGCCCACUUGUUCCAAGCAAGUGCAUAAGUUUUAUAUAUGUUUCUGGGGUAGAAUCAUCCCAGGAAUCCAUUGGUGAGAUCAGAUUUGCAAUUGGAACACUUUCUGAAAAUGACAUAUUUUAGAUUUGUUCUAUGUUUAGAGCUUGGUUCCAUGAGAUGUGGUGUGCCCAAGUGUUUGAUUCUUGGUUGUGGUAGUUAAGGGUGACCCCCUCUACCACUUGUUGCUUUUGUUUCAUGUUUAGGAUGCAUAUGUGCAAGUUGUUCCCAAUCAAAGUAGGCAUGUGGCUGAAAUUCCAGAUUAGUGAAAAUCACUAAGUCUGAGAAUCUGUUUAUAUUUUCUUCUCCUGUUGAUGAGCUUGUGCAGGUCAAUGUAUUGUGAUUCAGCCUUAGCUUUCAACUGGAAAGUUGAAGCUUAUAUGUUUGUCUAGCUCCCUGUAAAUUUUCAUUUCAUUUGGAGUCCUGUAGAUAUUGUGUUGGCUGCAGUCAAAAUGCUUCAGAGCAUAAACAGAUAGUGAGAAUAUGGAAUUUUCACUAAGUCCCUGAAAUCUGAUGUUUUUGGGCAAGUUUGCAGCUGUGUAACUUUCUGUGUUUAACUCCUUUGUGUGAUAUUUUUGCUUGUGCUUGUAGUACUCUUGGAUAGCUACUGCCACAUAUCUUAUUUGGCAUGUUUAGGUGGCUCUAGGUGCUUUGCAUGUAGCUCACAAAGUGCUAUGAUGUUGUUUAUGGCAGAUUAUGAGUUUUGAUGUUUUGAUGAUUGUGAGUGCAUAGUUGAUGGUGUGGUGUUCUUCUUUGCUCCACCCCAUCCAUGUUGGUUUGUUUUAUGUCUUGGCUACCUGGAAAUACCAGAGUUGAGCCAUUGGAGUGUAUGGUGAUGAGUUUUUCACGUAGCCCUUCAUUUCUUGUUUCGUUGUUUCCCGUUGAUCCGUAGCUCCGUUUGUAAUGUUCUUUAUGUGCUUUUGCAUCGUUUUCACGAGACGCAUCUGAUCAUGACAUUCUCAUGCAUGUCAAGAUAGCUUAGGAUGCAGUUCUGUCCAGGAACAUGUAUUUACUUCUCAUGCUUGUGCUAGUGAUAGAAAUAGUGAUGCAUGUUCAUAUUGAUCUCAUGCAUCAUGUGGUUGUUGCAUCUUGAGGUCUGUUGUUCAUUGGAUGCUAUUCUUAUGUUGGGUAGCACCGGGAUCGGAGAACGAGUAUGUGGAUUCGGGAGAGUACGUGCAGGACGAACAAGAACAGUUCCAGGCUGAGGAUAUCACAGGCAAGAUGAUAUGACCUUGAUUCCAUCUCUAGACUUGUUAUGCUAGAUUACGUUUCUUCCAUCAUAUGCUCGCUACCUACCACUAAAAUAAUUGCCUCCUGAAUUGCCAUGAAACCCAAACACUUAUCCCUUCCUAGCAAAUCUUGAAUGGCUAAGUAGGGUUUGCUAAGCUUCUAAUGUUAGCUUGCUAGUUGUAGGUGCUUUGUCUCAUGUGAUAACAUGAGCUUGAUAUCAUUAUCUUAAUUCUAUUAUUUCAUUAAUGCACCUAUAUACUUGGUAAAUAACAGAAGGCCUAGCCUUUUUCCGGGUGUUUUGUUCCGUUAUUGCCGCCAUAGUUACCGGCUACCGGUGUUUGAUUCCAUAAUGAUCGCUCCUAACACGUUCGGGGUUGUUAUGGGGACCCCCUCGAUAAAUCGCGUAGUGUUAAGACUUGUCCGGCAAGACCCAACAUUGGUUUUAAUAUACUAAUCACUUAAUAAUAAUCUGCAUAGGGAAUAGCUACCCGAGGAAUUUAAUCAACAACCCGGGCAAGUGCUUCUCAUGAGUGUUCGUCCACCCACCUAGCAGUCGGCAAUACCACCCCAAGGAAACUUGAGGUUUGGUCCUUGUCCACUAUGCAUAGACGGUGUUGUCCUGAGACUGAGAUACGCGGUCUUAUCAGGGUCGUCGACACACCGGGAGGUCCAGCUAGUCUUGUCUUACCUUAACGAUAUAUCUUGCGUAUAGGAAUCUCGGUGAAGCUUUUUGGUUCUCCCCAGAGUUGAGGUUUUCCUCUAAGUAAUCCGACGAGAUCACGAGAUUCGUGAUAGAGGAUUACUUUGCGGCUCAUGUACGUUUGUGACGGACUAGUUGGAGCACCCCUGCAGGGUUUAAUCUUUUGGAAGCCGUGCUCGCGGUUAUGUGGCAACUUGGAAUAUUUGUUAACAUUCGCUAAUAGAUAACUUAAACAUAAGCUAAUAAAAAUUACCAACUGUCUGCGUAACCGUGAUUGUCCCAUUCGAAGAUCUCUCUUCGAUCGAGAACAUGGUGGGGUUCUGAUUGACGUAGGUAGGUGUUCAGGAUCACUUAGUGAUCAACUAUCAUCGAUCGCUAGAAAAGACCACCUUCAUACAUGUUCUACGUUAGUUAGCCACCAUAUAAAGCUUAGGUUGCUGCAACCUAAACACUUCCCCUUUCCAACCUAAUAACUUGACUAGUUAUGGCACCGAGGUCAUAGAUUGUUGAGUCCCUGUGACUCACAGAUUCCUUCACAACACCAACAGGUUCAGGUACCCCCGAGAUAGGUGAUCCCGACGGCACGCGGCUGGCGUGGCAGUACGAUGAGGAGAACGACCGCCUGUACGUAAACAAUCCAGAUGACUAAGGUGUGGUCGUGAUCAUGGGCAAGCAUGCAGGAUAGCAUUAUCAUUUCCCUUGUUUUGUUGUCCGUAGCGGAACUACCUUGUUUGAAUGCGUGAUGUAACUCUGAGAUAUUUAUGAGAUGACACUUGAAUCCCUUAUUGUCAUUCCUCUAUUAUUUAUGUAUGUGUUAUGUUACCAUGUUUGCAAAACGCUUAGAUGCGCUUCUUUCCAAUUCAGGGCCUCGUUCCCCAAAUCGGAAAGGACCGCAUCUUAGUCGUUACAAGUUGGUAUCAGAUCCUUACGACCAUAGGAGCCUUUGUGUGAUCGUACUUGGCCGAGUCGAGUCUAGUAAAAUGUUUUGAGUCUUAAUUAUAUCGGAGAGUAGGAUUCUUUUUUCUCCUCUUCCAUGCUCUGAUGAGGUUCCCGUCUUAGGAAAUCUUAAUUCUAGUCCUCUUCUCGCUCAAAAAAAAAUUAGGAUCACGCGGGUAUUUGUGAAAUCUAUAUGAUUUCGAUGUGACGGGGUUCUGUCUUGGUGCCUCAUGUCUGCCUUGAUUUCUUCUGGGGAGUUGAGCUCCAGGGGAUUCUUGCGCACAUCGCCAUCAUUCAGAUUUCUGAGUAUCUAAGAACGAAGGAUGUUCGUUAUUGCUUCAAUACGGGUAGUGGCGAGAUAACCCCGAUGUCCCCAGUACUGGUGCAGAUUGUUCGGAAGUACUGCCAUACUUGGUAUCGUUGUGAUCAUGAGGGUCUAUUGUAGAUGAAGGUCCGAGAUGUUGGUUGUGUGUUGACGGAUGUGAUACACGUGACGGGUUAGUAUAGGAGUUGUGUGAUAUUACUCCUUGUAUCCGUGUACCAGAUUGCAUGACCAGUUAUUUCGGGAAUUCAUAGGUAGGAUAUCAAGUAAUAUCUUAUAGGACUAUCUUCCUACAGAUGCAUGAUGGAGGUCGGGAUUCGAUGUUCAGUGGGUAUGUUUGUUCACGGCCGUCUUACAUCGGUUGUCGUUGUGUCUUAAAGAGUCCUUGUAGCUCGCUAUGACUCGGGGAUACUUCUGUGACAGCCCGGUGCCGACGUUCCAGAAGAUUCCCCUCUCUUUCCGUUUUCGUCAUGUGAUUUAUUUUAUUUGUCGCAUCAUCAUCGCAUCAUGCGCAUCAUCUGCAUUGCAUCGGCAUCUCCGUUGCCGCCCGUUUUCAAAACUUGCAUUCGUUAGUAGUUGCCGGUUCUCGUCGUCGUCCGUUCUGAGUCCGACCGCACACGCACGCGCCCGCGGCACCGUCGAAACCCUGUUUUUUAAUGUGUGUUUAAAACUUCCUCUGAUUGAGGUGAAACUUGGCACGCGGUCGCGAUUAGAUGUAGCUAGGCCGCCUGUCGAAUUUCGUCGCGAUCGAAGACCGUCUGGAACCCGAACGGUCGACCGUAGUGGCACCGUCUUCGGUUAUUCGUCGGACGUCUGUCGGUGUUUUAAAAGUCGAUGCCGCGCCGCACCACUUCCCUCUCAUCUUAGCCAACGCCACUCUACACACCUAACCCUAACCCGCCUCUCCGAUCGGACCGCGCGAACGCGUCCGGAGGGUCGAAAAACCCCCAGAUAACCUGCACCGUAGUCCCUUUUCCCUAUUUAAGCACCCCUCCCUGCCUAUUUUGGGCGCCCCCCUAAUCCUCCUCGGGAUCCGCGCCCUAAACCUAACCCUAGCCGCCCCCCACAGCCUCUCUCCUCCCCCACGRCCGCCGCGGGCCCCKCKAKGCCCAUCUUGGGCCCGGCCGAGCUNNNNNNNNNNNNNNNNNNNNNNNNNNNNNNNNNNNNNNNNNNNNNNNNNNNNNNNNNNNNNNNNNNNNNNNNNNNNNNNNNNNNNNNNNNNNNNNNNNNNUAGUACGUAAUCCAGGUUUAUCGCCUAUCUGAGAGUAACCCGUACGAAAGUCCGGCCGGGGUUUCCGUCACGGCCUCAAACGAUGUGCGCAGGGUUCCCAAGCCCACCAUCCGGGUGCCACUUGGUACACCGUGCCACUGACUACCGCAUCACGGCCCACCUCUCAGGUCAGCACCAUGCACGGCCUCCAGCAUGACUAUAAACACCAGAAACUACUUGCAACUCCUGGACCGAGUACUAAGCGAUUAAUAAGUCGAGAGGGUCAAUUAAGUAUCCCAACGUGUGGUAGUAUCUAGUMUUGGAUUACAUACACGGAACUCAGUUCCUAAGGACGGUUCCAAUGAAACAACYCGMCAUGUACUCCUACACAGCCUUUCACCGGUACCUUUACUAAAUCAGGUUCAACACACAACCUUUGCUUACCGAUCACAUUCUCACAAUUCUGUUCAUCUCCCAGAUGACAGACCAUACACAACUCUAAGCAUAGCAUGCAUAGCAGGAUAAGGCACAUCAUGGCUCAAGCAACUACCAGGUAUGCUAGGUUGCAAGGUUCGACUAUUUACUGUGACAAGGAUAGGUCAUGCAAAGGAAGUGGGUUCAACUAACGUGGCAAAAGCAGUUGAAGCAUUUGAUCCUCAUGCAAUAAGUAAGUGCAGGAGCAAGAACAUGGGAUUAUCGGGAUGAUCAAAAUGGUUGCUUGCCUUGUUGCUCGAUGNNNNNNNNNNNNNNNNNNNNNNNNNNNNNNNNNNNNNNNNNNNNNNNNNNNNNNNNNNNNNNNNNNNNNNNNNNNNNNNNNNNNNNNNNNNNNNNNNNNNUUCAACAUCCCUAACAAUUCCCACAAGGCAGAUAGUAUCUCUAUUGGCAAGCUGAAUAGUGACAUCAAUAGGCUCUAUCUCAACAGGUGCAAUCUCAUCUUUGAUUUCAUCGUAUAAGGAUUGAGGUAUUGCACUAACACUAGCACCCAAGUCACAUAAACCAUGAUAACAAUGAUCUCCUAUCUUAACAGAAACCACAGGCAUGCCAACAACAGGCCUAUGUUUGUCUCUAACGUGAGGUUUAGCAAUUCUAGCAGCAUCUUCACAGAACUGAAUAUUAUGUCCCUCAACUUCUUCAGACAGAAGAUCUUUGAUAAUAGCAAUGCUAGGUUCAACUCUAAUUUGCACAGGGGGUGUAGGUGUUCUAAUAUAGCCUCUACGUAUCACAGUUGAAGCUUUAGAAUGAUCCUUUAUCCUAACAGGGAAAGGUGGUUUCUCAAUGUAAGCACUGGGUACCACAAGAUCAUUAUAGGCAAUGACUUUCUCUUCAACUGGAGUGGGUUUAACUACGUUGACUUCUAAAGGAGGAUGAAAUUUAAACCACUUCUCUUUGGGGAGAUCAACAUGAGCGGCAAAAGAUCACACAAUGAAGCUACUAUCUCAGAGUCAAGUCCAUACUUAACUCCAAAAUCACAAAAAGUAUUUGUCUCAACAAAGGAUUUAACGCAAUCAAAAGUGAAAUUCAUACCUGACUCCUUACCUGCUUCAAGCUCCCAAUCUUCAGAGUUGCGUUUAAUUCUCUCCAAUAAAUUCCACUUGAAGUCAAUAUCUCUCUUCAUAAAAGAACCGGUACAAGAAGUGUCAAGCAUGGUGCGAUCAUCAUGAGAAAGCCGAGCAUAGAAGUUCUGAAUGAUAAUUUCUCUCGAGAGCUCAUGAUUGGGGCAUGAAUAUAGCAUUGAUUUAAGCCUCCCCCAAGCUUGAGCGAUGCUUUCUCUCUCACGAGGCCAAAAAUUAUAAAUAUAAUUCCGAUCACGAUGUACUAAAUGCAUAGGAUAAAACUUUUGAUGAAAUUCCAAUUUCAACCGAUUGUAGUCCCAUGAUCCAGUAUCAUCACAUAGCCUAUACCAUGUCAACACCUUAUCCUUCAAAGAUAAAGGAAAUACCUUCUUCUUCACCUCAUCCUCGGGCACACCUGCAAGCUUAAAUAAACCACACACCUCAUCUACAUAGAUCACAUGCAAGUCUAUAUGAGAUGUUCCAUCUCCUGUAAAAGGAUUAGCCAGCAGUUUCUCAAGCAUACCCGAGGGAAAUUCAAAGAAAAUAUUUUCAGUAGGUGCAACAACUUGAGGAGAAACUCUUUGUGCUUCCGUUCGAGGUGAAGAUACCCCGAACAAGCCCCUCAAAGGAUUAGUAUCCAUAGUGACAAGCGACAAGAAAUUUCAGCACACUAUAUGAAUGUUUCCUUACCAAGUUCCACUUACCAAAGGCGUUUCACUCCCCGGCAACGGCGCCAGAAAAGAGUCUUGAUGACCCACAAGUACAGGGGAUCAAUUGUAGUCCUUUAGAUAAGUAAGAGUGUCGAACCCAACGAGGAACAGAAGGAUAUGACAAGUGGUUUUCAGCAAGGAAAAAUCUGCAAGCACUGAAAUUGUCGGUAACAAGUGAUUGUGUGGUGAGAUGAUUCAUAGAAAGAAACAAGUAACAAAAGUAGCAACGGUACAUCAAGGUGGCCCAAUCCCUUUUGUAGCAAGGGACAAGCCUGAACAAAGUCUUAUAAGAGGAAAAACCCUCCCGAGGACACACGGGAAUUUCUAUCAUGCUAGUUUCAUCAUGUUCAUAUGAUUCGCGUUCGUUACUUUGAUAGUUUGAUAUGUGGGUGGACCGGCGCUUGUGUACUGCCCUUACUUGGACAAACAUCCCACUUAUAAUUAACCCCUCUCGUAAGCAUCCGCAACUACGAAAGAAGAAUUAAGACAAAGUCUAACCAUAGCAUUAAACUAGUGGCUCCAAAUCAGCCCCGUACGAAGUAACGCAGAAACUAGGGUUUAUGCUUCUGUCACUCUAGCAACCCAUCAUCUACUUACUACUUCCCAAUGCCUUCCUCUAGGCCCAAAUAAUGGUGAAGUGUUAUGUAGUCGAUGUUCACAUAACACCACUAGAGGAAAAACAACAUACAACAUAUCAAAAUACCGAACGAAUACCAAAUUCACAUGACUAUUAUUAGCAUGACUUAUCCCAUAUCCUCAGGAACAAAAGUAACUACUCACAAAGCAUAAUCGUAAUCAUGAUCAGAGGUGUAAUGAGUAGCAGCAAGGAUCUGAACAUAAACUCUUCCACCAAGUAAUCCAACUAGCAUCAACUACAAAGAGUAAUCAACACUACUAGCAACCUUACAAGUACCAAUCGGAGUCGCGAGACGGAGAUUGGUUACAAGUGAUGAACUAGGGUUUGGAGAUGAGAUGGUGAUGAUGAAGAUGUUGAUGGUGACGAUUCCCCUCCGAUGAGAGGAGUGUUGGUGAUGACGAUGUCGACGAUUUCCCCCUCCGGGAGGGAAUUUCCCCGGUAGGAUCGUCCUGCCGGAGCUCUAGAUUGGUUCUGCUCAAGUUCCGCCUCGUGGCGGCGGCGAAACCACGGAAAUGCUCCCUUCUGAUUUUUUUUUCUGGACGAAACCCUCCAUAUAGCAAAAGAGGGGGGCAAGUGGGCCAACAGGGUGCCCACAAGCCCCCAUGGCGCGACCUGGGGGGGGUGGCCGCGUCGUGCAGGCUUGUGGCCACCCCCUGGCCCUCCUCUGGUACUUCUUCGGUCCAGUAUUUUUNNNNNNNNNNNNNNNNNNNNNNNNNNNNNNNNNNNNNNNNNNNNNNNNNNNNNNNNNNNNNNNNNNNNNNNNNNNNNNNNNNNNNNNNNNNNNNNNNNNNGCAUAUCAUUAGGAUCCAAAGGAGCACUUCUACUAGCAACCAAAUUCAUUAACUCAUCCAUCUUAGCACUUAACGAGUUAGUUUCUUCUAUUGCAUGUACCUUCUUACUAGUAGGUGACCUUUCAGUGUGCCACUGAGAGUAGUUCGCCAUGAUGUUGUCUAAGAGCUUUCUGGCUUCUCCUAACAUGAUUUCCAUGAACGUUCCACCUGAGGCGGAGUCCAAGAUAUUUAUAGAAGUGAAAUUCAAGCCAGCGUAAAAGAUUUGAAUAAUCAUCCAAAGACUCAAGCCAUGAGCGGGACAAUUUCUAAUCAUUAAUUUCAUUCUCUCCCAAGCUGGUGCAACAUGUUCAUGAUCAAGUUGCUUGAAAUUCAUGAUAUCAUUACGGAGGGAGAUGAUCUUAGCCGGUGGAAAAUACUUGAUAUAUAAGCAUCUUUGCACUUAUCCCAAGAACAGAUACUAUUUUUGGGCAAAGAAGAAAACCAAGUUUUUGCGCGAUCUCGCAACGAGAAAGGAAAAAGGCUUCAAUUUAAUCACGUCAUUAUCCACAUCUUUUCUAUUUUGCAUAUCGCUAAGCUCAAUGAAGGUAUUGAGAUGGGAUGCGGCAUCUUCACUAGGAAGGCCAGAGAAUUGCUCUUUCAUAACAAGAUUCAGCAAAGCGGCAUUGAUUUCGUAUGACUCCGCACUAGUGGCGGGAGCAAUCGGAGUACUAAUAAAAUCAUUAUUAUUAGUGGGCGAGAAGUCACAAAGUUUGGUGUUUUCAUUCAUGGUGACUUCAGCAAGCAAGCAAGCACACGAGCAAACAAAAAGCGGGCGAGAAAAAGGGCGAACGAAAAGGCGAACGAAAGGCGAACUAAAAAGGCAAAUUGGUGAAGUGGGGGAGAGGAAAACGAGAGGCAACUGGCAAACAAAGUAAAUGCAAGAGAUGAGUUUGCGACACAUAAUUGGAUGAGGUCUUGACUUGAUCUUCCUCCCCGGCAACGGCGCCAGAAAUUCUUUUGCUGCGGUAACAAAAGUCCUUCGCUGGCGCUUAGGAAUUCUUCUUAUUACUUCUCUGGUUUGCGUCGGUUUUUCCCUUGAAGAGGAAAGGGUGAUGCAGCACAGGAGCAGUAAGUAUUUCCCUCAGUUUGAGAACCAAGGUAUCGAUCCAGAAGGAGGGCCUCGUCAAGUCCAAAGUACCUGCGCAAAAACAAACAAUCUUGCACCCAACGCUUCAAAGGGGUUGUCAAUCCCUUCAAGAUUGUUUGCAAAGUGAGAUCUGAAGGUGGAAAGUGCAACGAAGUAAAAAGUGUAAGGCUGAAAAUAUGGUGUGGAGUAGACCCUGGGGGCCAUAGUGUUCACUAGAGGCUUCUCUCAUAAUAGCAAAUAUCACGGUGGGUGAACAAAUUACUGUAGAGCAAUUGAUAGAACCGCACAAAGUCAUGACGAUAUCUAAGGAAAUGAUCUAGCAUAUAGGCAUCACGUCCGAGACAAGUAGACCGAUACUUUCUGCAUCUACUACUAUUACGCCACACACCGACCGCUAUCCAGCAUGCAUCUAGUGUAUUGAGUUCAUGACGAACAGAGUAACGCUUUAAGCAAGAUGACAUGAUGUAGAGGGAUAAUCUCAAACCAAUGAUGAAAACCCCAUCUUUUUACCCUUGAUGGCAACAACACGAUGUGUGCCUCACUACCCCUUCUGUCACUGGGUGAGGUCACCGCAUGGUAUGAACCCAAAAUCAGGCACUUCUCCCAUUGCAAGAAUCAUAGAUCUAGUUGGCCAGACAAAACCCACAACUCAAAGAGAAUUACAAGGAUAUGAAAUCAUGCAUAAGAGAGAUCAGAAGAAACUCAAAUCCACAAUUCAUCGGAUCUCGACAAACACACCGCAAAAGAAGAUUACAUCGGAUAGAUCUCCAUGAAGAUCAUGGAGAACUUUGUAUUGAAGAUCCAAGAGAGAGAAGAAGCCAUCUAGUUACUGGGUAUGGACCCGUAGGUCUAUGGUGAACUACUCACGCAUCAUCGGAGAGGUCAUGGUGUUGAUGAAGAAGCCCUCCGUGUCCGAAUCCCCCCUCCGGCAGGGCACCAAGACGUGCCCCAGAUGGGAUCUUGAGGAGACAGAAGCUUGCGGCGGCGGAAAAGUAAUUGCGAUCGUCUCUUGAUUUUUUUGGGAAUAUUUGGGAAUAUAUAGGCGCAAGAUCUAGGUCAGGGGACCUCCACGGGGCCCACAAGCCUGGAUGGCGCGCCCCCCUGGCCGCGGGGUGGGGGCUUGUGGGGCCCCUGGGGCUCUUCUGGCUUGGCUCCCAAGUUCUCCGAUCUUCUUCCGUUCCAGAAAAAAUCUUUUCUUGGAUUUUCUUCCGUUUGGACUCCGUUUCAAAAUCUCCUCUGAAAGCGGUCAAAAACAUGGAAAAAACAGGAACUGGCACUUGGCACUGAGUUAAUAAGUUAGUUCCAAAAAAGAAAAAAAGGCAUGCAAAACAUCCAAAGUUUGACAAGAUAAUAGCAUGAAACCAUAAAAAAUUAUAGAUACGUUGGAGACGUAUCAAGCAUCCCCAAGCUUAACUCCUGCUCAUCCUCGAGUAGGAAGUGAUAAAGAAUGAAUUUUUGAUGUGGAAUGCUACCUAGCAUAGUUGUCCUUUGCAACUUAUUUAACGUGGCAUGAAUGUUCAGAUCCGUAAGAUUCAAAACAAUAGUUUGCUAUUGACAUGAAAACAAUAAUACUUCAAGCAAACUAGCAAAGUAAUCAUGAACUUUCAAAAUAACAAGGCUAAAGAAAGUUAUCCCUACAAAAUCAUAUAGUCUGGCUAUGCUCCAUCAUCCUCACACAACUAAUGUAAAUCAUGCACAACCCUGGAAUUGGCCAAGUAAUUGUUUUCGCACUCUUACUUUCUCAACCUUUUUAUAACUAUCACGCAAUACAUGAGCGCGAGCCAUGGAUAUAGCACUAUAGGUGGAAUAGAGUGUGGUGGUGGUUGUGAGACAAAAAGGAGGAGAUGGUCACAUUGACUCGGCGUAUCAAUAGGCUAUGUAUAUGCCCAUUAAUAGAUAUCAAUGUGAAUGAGUAGGGAUUGCCAUACAAGAGAUGCACUAGAGCUAUAAGUAUGUGAAAGCUAAAAAGGAAAACUAGUGGGUGUGCAUCCAACUUGCUUGCUCACGAAGACCUAGGGCAAUUUUGAGGAAUACCAUCAUUGGAAUAUACAAGCCAAGUUAUAAAACGAAGAUUCCCACUAGCAUAUGGUAGUGACAAAGCAAGUAGCUAUCAAUCAUGAAGAACAUGGUGCUAACAUGAAGCACAAGUGUGGAAAAANNNNNNNNNNNNNNNNNNNNNNNNNNNNNNNNNNNNNNNNNNNNNNNNNNNNNNNNNNNNNNNNNNNNNNNNNNNNNNNNCUCUUUUUUUGUUUUUUUGGGCUCUUUGGCCUCCUUUUUUAUUUAUUUCCUCACAUGGGACAAUGCUCUAAUAAUGAUGAUCAUCACACUUUUUAGUUACUCAAAUCUCAAAGAUCACAAUGAUGAUGACUCCAUAGGAAAUGCCUCCGGCAGUGUACCGGGAUGUGCAACGAUCUAGUAUGAUCAUGCAAUGGCAAUAUGAGAGUGGCGGCACAAGUCAUGAGACGGAACGGUGGGAGUUGCAUGGCAAUAUAUCUCGCAAUGGCUAUGAAAAUGCCAUAGUAGGUAGGUAUGGUGGCUGUUUUGAGGAAGGAAUUUGGUGGGUUUGUGCACCGGCGAGAAUUGCGCGGCACUCGAGAGGCUAGCAAAGGUGGAAGGUGAAAGUGCAUCUAUACCAUGGGCUCACAUUAGUCAUGAAGAACUCACAUACUUAUUGCGAAAGUUUUUAUUAGUAAUCAAAACAAAGUGCUAAACGCAUACUCCGAGGGGAAGGGUUGCUAGGUGUAAACCAUCGCGCGAUCCCGACCUCAAGACAAAGGAUGACAAUCAAUAGAUCAAUUAUGCUCCGACUUCCUAACAUAGCAGUUCACCAUACCUGCAUGCUACGGGAAUCACUAACUCCAACGCAAGUAUUUCUAGAUUCACAACACCCUACUAACAUAACUCUCAAUAUUACCGAAUCCACGUCUCAAAACUAAUUGAGAGGAAUCAAAACUUCUCUUUCUAUUCAAUGCACAUGAAGAUGGAGGUUUUUGCAUCCUCUUUGGGUACCUAGCACAUUUGGGACUACUUUCAUAGCAUAAGCCAACUACCAAAUCAAGCACCGCCGUGCUCUCAAGAUAUAAGUGAAGCACAAGAGCAAAAAGUAUCUAGCUCAAAAGAUAUAAGUGAAGCACUAGAGCAAAAGUAUCUAGCUCAAAAGAUAUAAGUGAAGAACUAUGAGCAUUCUAGCAAAAUCACGAUGAGUGCAUGUCUCUCUCUCUCAAAAAGGUGUGCAGCAAGGAUGAUUGUGACACAAAAAAAAGACUCCUAAGAUACAAGACGCUCCAAGAAAAACACAUAUCAUGUGCUGAAUAAAAAUAUAGCUCCAAGUAAUGUUACCGAUGGAUUGAAGACGAAAGAGGGGAUGCCUUCCCGGGGCAUCCCCAAGCUUAGGCUUUUUUGGUGUCCUUGAAUUUGGCUUGGGAUGCCUUGGGAAUCCCCAAGCUUGAGCUCUUUCCACUCCUUAUCUCUUUGUCCAUGAGAACAUCACCCAUAACUUGAAAACUUCACAACACAAAACUUAAACAGAAAUUUGUGAUAACAUUAGUACAAGAAAACAAACUACCACUUCUUUUGGUACUAUAGGAAACUUGAAUUCCAUCUAUAUUGAUGAUGGGAUACUGUAUUCUCACUUUUCCAUGGCUAGUACCCCCCGAUACUAACCAUAGUUUCAUCAAAACAAGCAACCAACUCAAAAAAAAAACAGAAUCUGUCAAAAACAGACCAGUCUGUAGCAAUCUGUAUACUUCGUAUAAUUAUGGUACCUCAAAAAGUCUGAACAAUUACGACGGUAUGGGGAAAACGCAUAUCCAUCAGCAGCAAAAAGAAUAAACUCAAAACCUCUUUCUAAAUAAAAAUGAAAAAUCAUCUCGUGAGAGAAAAGUUUCUGUCUUUUUCCAGCAGGAUCAAACAACCAUUACCAAGACUAGUCAUAAAGGUUUUACUUGGCUCAAACACAAAAAGAAACACAAAAAACACAAUCACAACAGAAUUAUGAAAGUGUGGACGCAACAAAACAGAAAAAAAAAGAUAUAUUCAUUGGGUUGCCUCCGAACAAGCGAUUGUUUAACGCCCUUAGCUAGGCAUAGGAGCGAUAGAAUCACGGAUCGUCGUCUUUGGUGCUCAAACCAUAAGUAGCCCUCAUCAUGGAUUCAUAAGGCAAUCUUAUUUUCUUUCUAGGAAAGUGUUCCAUGCCUUUCCUUAAAGGAAAUUGAAAUCUAAUAUUCCCUUCCUUCAUAUCGAUGAUAGCACCAAUAGUCCUUAGGAAAGGUCUACCAAAAAUAAUAGGGCGUGUAGGAUUGCAAUCAAUGUCAAGCACAAUGAAAUCCACGGGUACAUAGUUCCUAUUUGCAAUAAUAAGAACAUCAUUGAUCCUUCCCAUGGGUUUCUUGAUAGUAGAAUAAGCAAGAUGCAAAUUAAGAGAAUACUCUUCAAUCUCAUUAAAACCCAGAAUAUCACAUAAAGACUUUGGAAUCGCAGAAACACUAGCACCCAAAUCACACAAAGCAUUGCACUCAUAGUUUUUGAUUUUGAUUUUGAUGGUAGGUUCCCACUCAUCAUGAAGCUUUCUAGGGAUAGAGAGUUCCAAUUCAAGUUUCUCUUCAAGAGAUUUUAUCAUAGCUUUGACGAUAUGAUCGGUAAAGGCUUUGUUUUGGCUAUAAGCGUGUGGAGAGUUCAACAUGGAUUGCAUCAAAGAAAUGCAUUCAAUCAAGGACCAACUAUAAUAAUGGAAUUCCUUGAAAUACACGGUAGUAAUUUCAUUACUACUCAAAGUUUUAACGUCUUCUACUCCACUUUUAAUGCUUUUAGCAUCAAGAUAGAUGGACUCUGAAUCAUUGGGGCACUUUUCAACCAAAGUGGAUCCAUAUCCAGCCCCAUAAUCAUUAGGUUUGACACAAGAAAACAAAGAUUCAAUAUGAGUCACACCAAGCACUUUAAGAUCUUCGUGAUUCUCAUCACGAGAACACGCCUUUUUAAGCCAUUCAUGUCUAGCCCAAAUUUGGGCGGUUCUUUCUUGGCUCUCAAUCAUGGAAACACGCAUAGAUUUCAAAGUUUCAUCCAUGUUGAUUUUGGGAGGAGCACAUCUAACUUUCAGAGCAUCAACAUCACAAGAAAUCCUAUCAACGCUCCUAGCCAAAUCGUCAAUUUUGAGUAGUUUUUCCUCUAUGGACGCAUUGAAAAUCUUUUGAGAGUUGAUGAACUCUUUGAUAUUACUCUCUAGAUCAGAGGGUAAUCUAUUGUAAUUUCCAUGGGUAUUGUUGUAGGAGUUGCCAAAGUUAUUAGAGGAGUUACUAGGAAAAGGCCUAGGAACAUAGUUUCCUCUCAAAGCGUUGUUGUUGCCAAAGUUAUACCUACGAACAAAAUUAACGUCCAAGCUAGCGUUGCUACUCUCAAUCAAAGAAGACAAAGGCAUAUCAUUAGGAUCCAAAGGAGCACUUCUACUAGCAACCAAAUUUAUUAACUCAUCCAUCUUAUCACUUAACGAGUUAAUUUCUUCUAUAGCGUGUACCUUCUUACUAGUAGGUGACCUUUCAGUGUGCCACUGAGAGUAGUUCGUCAUGAUGUUGUCUAAGAGCUCUGUGGCUUCUCCUAACGUGAUUUCCAUGAACGUUCCACCUGAGGCGGAGUCCAAGAUAUUUCCAGAAGCAAAAUUCAAGCCAGCGUAAAAGAUUCGAAUAAUCAUCCAAAGACUCAAGCCAUGAGCUGGACAAUUUCUAAUCAUUAAUUUCAUUCUCUCCCAAGCUGGUGCAACAUGUUCAUGAUCAAGUUGCUUGAAAUUCAUGAUAUCAUUACGGAGAGAGAUGAUCUUAGCCGGCGGAAAAUACUUGGAUAUAUAAGCAUCUUUGCACUUAUCCCAAGAAUCAAAGAAGAAAACCAAGUUUUUGCGCGAUCUCGCAACGAGAAAGGAAAAAGCUUCGAUUUAAUCACGUCAUUAUCCACAUCUUUUUUCUUUUGCAUAUCGCAAAGCUCAAUGAAGGUAUUGAGAUGGGAUGCAGCAUCUUCACUAGGAAGGCCAGAGAAUUGCUCUUUCAUAACAAGAUUCAGCAAAGCGGCAUUGAUUUCGUAUGACUCCGCACUAGUGGCGGGAGCAAUCGGAGUACUAAUAAAAUCAUUAUUAUUAGUCCCCGAGAAGUCACAAAGUUUGGUGUUUUCAUUCAUGGUGACUUCAGCAAGCAAGCAAGCACACGAGCAAACAGAAAGCGGACGAGAAAAAGGGCGAAUGAAAAAGCGAACGAAAAGGCGAACGAAAGGCGAACGAAAAAGGCAAAUUGGUGAAGUGGGGGAGAGGAAAACGAGAGGCAACCGGCAAACAAAGUAAAUGCAAGAUAUGAGUUUGCGACACCUACUUGGAUGAGUUCUUGACUUGAUCUUCCUCCACGGCAAUGGCGCCAGAAAUUCUUCUGCUGCAACAACAAAAGUCCUUCCCUAGCGCUUAGGAAUUCUUCUUGUUACUUCUCUAGUUUGCGUCGGUUUUUCCCUUGAAGAGGAAAGGGUGAUGCAGCACAGGAGCAGUAAGUAUUUCCCUCAAUUUGAGAACCAAGGUAUCGAUCCAGAAGGAGGGCCUCGUCAAGUCCAAAGUACCUGCGCAAACACAAACAAGCUUGCACCCAACGCUUCAAAGGGGUUGUCAAUCCCUUCAAGAUUGUUUGCAAAGUGAGAUCUAAAGGCGGAAACUGCAACGAAGUAAAAAGUGUAAGGCUGAAAAUAUGGUGUGGAGUAGACCCUGGGGGCCAUAGUGUUCACUAGAGGCUUCUCUCAUAAUAGCAAAUAUCACGGUGGGUGAACAAAUUACUGUCGAGCAAUUGAUAGAACCGCGCAAAGUCAUGACGAUAUCUAAGGCAAUGAUCUAGCAUAUAGGCAUCACGUCCGAGACAAGUAGACCGAUACUUUCUGCAUCUACUACUAUUACUCCACACAUCGACCACUAUCCAACAUGCAUCUAGUGUAUUGAGUUCAUGACGAACAGAGUAACACUUUAAGCAAGAUGACAUGAUGUAGAGGAAUAAUCUCAAACCAAUGAUGAAAACCCCAUCUUUUUACCCUUGAUGGCAACAACACGAUACGUGCCUCGCUACCCCUUAUGUCACAGGGUGAGGUCACCGCACGGUAUGAACCCAAAACCAAGCACUUAUCCCAUUGCAAGAAUCAUAGAUCUAGUUGGCCAAACAAAACCCACAACUCAAAGAGAAUUACAAGGAUAUGAAAUCAUGCAUAAGAGAGAUAAGAAGAAACUCGAAUAAGAUUCAUAGAUAAUCUGAUCAUAAAUCCACAAUUGAUCAGAUCUCAACAAACACACCGCAAAAGAAGAUUACAUCGGAUAGAUCUCCAUGAAGAUCAUGGAGAACUUUGUAUUGAAGAUCCAAGAGAGAGAAGAAGCCAUCUAGUUACUAGCUAUGGACCCGUAGGUCUAUGGUGAACUGAUACGUCCAUUUUGCAUCUUGUUUUCAUGUUGAUAUUUAUCGCUUCUUUGGCUGUUAUUUCACUUCACGGUACUAUUCUUAUGCCUUUUCUCUCUUAUUUUGCAAGGUUUACAUGAAGAGGGAGAAUACCGGCAACUGGAAUUCUGGCCUGAAAGUGGAGCAAAGUUGAGAUACCUAUUCUGCGCAACUCAAAACGCCGUGAAAAUCAACGGAGAUUUUUUUUCCCAAUUUAUCAAAAAUACUGGGCCGAAGAAGUGCCAGAGGGGCACCAGGGGGUCCCCACAAGCCUGUACGGCGCGACCACCCCCCAGGCCGCGCCAUGGGGGCUUGUGGGCAGCCCACUGGCCCACUUGCUCCCCUCUUUUUCUAUAUGGAGGGUUUCGUCCAGGAUGUCAUCGUCCGGGGUUCCCCCCUUUGCCGUCAGCCGUGGCAGACGGCAAUGUCUCAAAUUCCUGUAGAGAUAUAUAACAAUAAAAAAUAUGGAUAUCACAAAGUAAAGUGCAUAAGUAAAGGGCUCGGGUAAGGGAUAACCGAGGCACACAGAGACGGCGAUGUAUCCCGAAGUUCACACCCUUGCGGAUGCUAAUAUCCGUUUGGAGCGGUGUGGAGGCACAAUGCUCUCCAAGAUGCCACUAAGUCCACCGUAAUCUCCUCAUGCCAUCGCACAAUGCAAGAUGUCGUGAUUCCACUAAGGGACCAUUGAGGGCGGUCACCGAACUCGUACGAACAAGGUUGGGGCAAUCUCCACAACUUAAUUGGAGGCUCCCAAGGACACCACGAAGCUUCACCACAAAGGACUGUGGCUCCGUGAUGACUUCAAAUGCUCGGGGCAAUCUCAACAACUUAAUUGGAGACCCUGACGCUUGGCCGGAGCUUUACACCACAAUGAUUGAGCUCCGAGGCACCACCAAGCUUCUAGGAUGCCAAAGCAUCCACGAAAAACAAUUUCUAGGGUACCAAGUACCCAAGGGUAAUAAGAUUCUCAACUUCUCACUUCCAUGUAUCACCCUGGAGAACUCAAACCGAUGCAACUAAUGCAAGGGCAAGAACACACGAAGUGGUCAAGUCCCACACAAUCAAAUCCCUCCACAACAACAAAAUCUAUGGAGGAAUAUGAGAGGAAGAACAAGGAGCUCACAAAGAACUCCAAGAUCAAGAUCCAAGGGGUUCCCCUCACAUAGAGGAGAAAGUGAUUGGUGGAGACGUGGAUUUAGAUCUCCUCUCUCUUUUCCCUCAAGAACUAGCAAGAAUCAUUGGAGGGAUUGGGAGUUAGAAAGCUCUAAGAAGGUCAACAAUGGGGGGAAAACAUGAGCUGGAAGGAUGGGGAACCAUUGGGGAAGAAGACCCCCUUAAAUAGGCCCCCACAAAUCUAUCAGUUACAGCCAUUUUUACAUGGCAACGGUUCAACCGGUUGCGAGGGCGGUACAACCGGGGUGCAUAUUUUAGCGGCACAAUGAUACGACUCCAACGUAUCUAUAAUUUUUGAUGGUUUCAUGCUAUUAUCUUGUCAAACUUUGGAUGUUUUGGAUGCUUUUUAUUUAUUUUCUCGGACUAACUUAUUAACUCAGUGCCAAGUGCCAGUUCCUAAUUUUUCCAUGUUUUUUACCCCUUUCAGAGGAGAUUUUGAAACGGAGUCCAAACGGAAGAAAAUCCCCGAAAAGAUUUUUUUUUGGAACGAGAAGAUCGGAGAACUUGGGAGCCAAGACAGAGGAGCGCCAGGGGCCCCACAAGCCCCCACCCCGCGGCCCGGGGGGCCGCACCAUCCAGGCUUGUGGGCCCCAUGGAGGUCCCAUGACCUAGAUCUUGCGCCUAUAUAUUCCCAAGUAUUCCCAAAAAAAUCAAGAGACGAUCGCAAUCACUUUUCCGCCGCCGCAAGCUUCAGUCUCUGCAAGAUCCCAUCUGGGGCACGUCCUGGUGCCCUGCCGGAGGGGGGAUUCGGACACAGAGGGCCUCUUCAUCAACACCAUGACCUCUCUGAUGAUGCGUGAGUAGUUCAUGAUGACGCACAAGUAUAGGGGAUCAAUCAUAGUCCUUUCGAUAAGUAAGAGUGUCGAACCCAACGAGGAGCAGAAGGAUCUGACAAGUGGUUUUCAGCAAGGAGAAAUCUGCAAGCACUGAAAUUGUCGGUAACAAGUAAUUGUGUGGUGAGAUGAUUCAUAGCAAGCAACAAGUAACAAAAGUAGCAACGGUGCAGCAAAGUGGCUCAAUCCCUGUUGUAGCAAGGGACAAGCCUGGACAAAGUCUUAUAGGAGGAAAAACGCUCCCGAGGACACACGGGAAUUUCUGUCAUGCUAGUUUCAUCAUGUUCAUAUGAUUCGCGUUCGUUACUUUGAUAGUUUGAUAUGUGGGUGGAACGGCGCUUGGGUACUGCCCUUACUUGGACAAGCAUCCCACUUAUGAUUAACCCCUCUCGCAAGCAUCCGCAACUAUGAAAGAAGAAUUAAGACAAAGUCUAACCAUAGCAUUAAACUAGUGGAUCCAAAUCAGCCCCUUACGAAGCAACGCAUAAACUAGGGUUUAAGCUUCUGUCACUCUAGAAACCCAUCAUCUACUUACUACUUCCCAAUGCCUUCCUCUAGGCCCAAAUAAUGGUGAAGUGUUAUGUAGUCGACGUUCACAUAACACCACUAGAGGAAAAACAACAUACAACAUAUCAAAAUACCGAACGAAUACCAAAUUCGCAUGACUAUUAUUAGCAUGACUUAUCCCACGUCCUGAGGAACAAAAGUAACUACUCACAAAGCAUAAUCAUAAUCAUGAUCAGAGGUGUAAUGAGUAGCAUCAAGGAUCUGAACAUAAACUCUUCCACCAAGUAAUCCAACUAGCAUCAACUACAAAGAGUAAUCAACACUACUAGCAACCUUACAAGUACCAAUCGGAGAUUGGUUACAAGAGAUGAACUAGGGUUUGGAGAUGAGAUGGUGCUGAUGAAGAUGUUGAUGAUGACGAGUCCCCUCCGAUGAGAGGAGUGUUGGUGAUGACGAUGGCGACGAUUUCCCCCUCCGGGAGGGAAGUUUCCCCGGCAGGAUCGUCCUGCCGGAGCUCUAGAUUGGUUCCGCUCAAGUUCCGCCUCGUGGCGGCGGCGAAACCACGAAAAAGCUCCCUUCUGAUUUUUUUUCCUGGACGAAACCCUCCAUAUAGAAAAAGAGGGGAGCAAGUGGGCCAGUGGGCUGCCCACAAGCCCCAUGGUGCAGCCUAGGGGGUGGUCGCGCCGUGCAGGCUUGUGGGCACCCCGUGGUGCCCCUCUGGCACUUCUUUAGCCUAGUAUUUUUGAUAAAUUGGGAAAAAAAAUCUCAGUUGAUUUUCACGGCGUUUUGAGUUGUGCAGAAUAGGUAUCUCAACUUUGCUGCACUUUCAGGCCAGAAUUCCAGUUGCCGGUACUCUCCCUUAUCAUGUAAACCUUGCAAAAUAAGAGAGAAAAGGCAUAAGAAUAGUACCAUGAAGUGAAAUAAGAGCCAAAGAAGCGAUAAAUAUCAACAUGAAAACAAGAUGCAAAAUGGACGUAUCAAUUCACCAUAGACCUACGAGUCCAUAGCUAGUAACUAGAUGGCUUCUUCUCUCUCUUGGAUCUUCAAUACAAAGUCCUCCAUGAUCUUCAUGGAGAUCUAUCCGAUGUAAUCUUCUUUUGCGGUGUGUUUGUCGAGAUCCGAUGAAUUGUUGAUUUAUGAUCAAAUUAUCUAUGAAUCUUAUUUGAGUUUCUUCUGAUCUCUCUUAUGCAUGAUUUCAUAUCCUUGUAAUUCUCUUCGAGUUGUGCAUUUUGUCUGGCCAACUAGAUCUAUGAUUCUUGCAAUGGGAGAAGUGCUUGGUUUUGGGUUCAUACCGUGCGGUGACCUCACCCAGUGACAGAAGGGGUAGUGAGGCACGCAUCGUGUUGUUGCCAUCAAGGGUAAAAUAUUGGGGUUUUCAUCAUUGGUUUGAGAUUAUCCCUCUACAUCAUGUCAUCUUGCUUAAGGCGUUACUCUGUUCGUCAUGAACUCAAUAGACUAGAUGCAUGCUGGAUAGCGGUCGAUGUGUGGAGUAAUAGUAGUAGAUGCAGAAAGUAUCGGUCUACUUGUCUCGGACGUGAUGCCUAUAUGCAUGAUCAUUGCCUUAGAUAUCGUCAUGACUUUGCGCGGUUCUAUCAAUUGCUCGAUAGUAAUUUGUUCACCCACCGUGAUAUUUGCUAUUAUGAGAGAAGCCUCUAGUGAACACUAUGGCCCCCAGGGUCUACUCCACACCAUAUUUUCAGCCUUACACUUUUUACUUCGUUGCACUUUCCGCCUUCAGAUCUCACUUUGCAAACAAUCUUGAAGGGAUUGACAACCCCUUUGAAGCGUUGGGUGCAAGCUUGCUUGUGUUUGCGCAGGUACUUUGGACUUGACGAGGCCCUCCUUCUGGAUCGAUACCUUGGUUCUAAAACUGAGGGAAAUACUUACUGCUCCUGUGCUAUAUCACCUUUCCUCUUCAAGGGAAAAACCGACACAAACUAGAGAAGUAACAAGAAGAAUUCCUAAGCGCCAGGGAAGGACUUUUGUUGCCGUAGCAGAAGAAUUUACGGCGCCGUUGCCGGGGAGGAAGAUCUAGUCAAGGACUCAUCCAAGUAGGUGUCGCAAACUCAUCUCUUGCAUUUACUUUGUUUGCUAGUUGCCUGUCGUUUUCCUCUCCCCACUUCACCAAUUUGCCUUUUUCGUUCGCCCUUUUCGUUCGUCCUUUUUCUCGCCUGCUCUUUGUUUGCUCGUGUGCUUGCUUGCUUGCUGAAGUCACCAUGAACAAAAACACCAAACUUUGUGACUUCUCGAAUACUAAUAAUAAUGAUUUUAUUAGUACUCCGAUUGCUCCCGCCACUAGUGCGGAGUCAUACGAAAUUAAUGUCGCUUUGUUGAAUCUUGUUAUGAAAGAGCAAUUCUUUGGCCUUCCUAGUGAAGAUGCCGCAUCCCAUCUCAAUACCUUCAUUGAGCUUUGCGAUAUGCAAAAGAAAAAAGAUGUGCAUAAUGAUGUGAUUAAAUUGAAGCUUUUUCCUUUCUCGUUGCGAGAUCGCGUAAAAACUUGGUUUUCUUCUUUGCCCAAAAAUAGUAUCGAUUCUUGGGAUAAGUGCAAAGAUGCUUAUAUAUCCAAGUAUUUUCCGCCGGCUAAGAUCAUCUCUCUCCGUAAUGAUAUCAUGAAUUUCAAGAAACUUGAUCAUGAACAUGUUGCACAAGCUUGGGAGAGAAUGAAAUUAAUGAUUAGAAAUUGUCCCGCUCAUGGCUUGAGUCUUUGGAUGAUUAUCCAAAUCUUUUACGCUGGCUUGAAUUUCGCUUCUAGAAAUAUCUUGGACUCCGCCUCAGGUGGAACGUUCAUGGAAAUCACGUUAGGAGAAGCCACAAAGCACUUAGACAACAUCAUGACGAACUACUCUCAGUGGCACACUGAAAGGUCACCUACUAGUAAGAAGGUACACGCUAUAGAAGAAAUUAACUCGUUGAGUGCUAAGAUGGAUGAGUUAAUGAAUUUGGUUGCUAGUAGAAGUGCUCCUUUGGAUCCUAAUGAUAUGCCUUUCUCUUCUUUGAUUGAGAGUAGCAACGCUAGCUUGGACGUUAAUUUUCUUGGUAGGAAUAACUUUGGCAACAACAACGCUUGAAAGGAUCGAUAUGGUUGACUAGAGGGGGGUGAAUAGGCAACUACCAAUAUUUAGCUUUUCUAAAUAAAUAAGGAGUAGCAAUCAUAAAGGUUCACUAACAUGACACUAGGUGGACAACCUAUAUGAUGCUACUUAGCAACGAGUAAAGAAGCACGUAAGAGAUACUCUACGACACCAACAAAUACAAAGUAAAGGUAAGAGAUAACCACAAGUGGAACCGAUGAAGACGAGGAUGUGUUACCGAAGUUCCUUCCCUUUGACAGGAAGUACGUCUCCGUUGGAGCGGUGUGGAGGCACAAUGCUCCCCAAUAAGCCACUAGGGCCACCGUAUUCUCCUCAUGCCCUCGCACAAUGCAAGGUGCCGCGAUUCCACUAUAGGUGCCCUUGAAGGCGGCGACCGAACCUUUACAAACAAGGUUGGGGCCAUCUCCACACAAAGCUUGGAGGCUCCCAACAAGACCAUUGAGCUUCACCACAAUGGAAUGUGGCUCCGAGGUGACCUCAACCGUCUAGGGUGCUCAAACACCCAAGAGUAACAAGAUCCGCAAGAGAUUAGUAGGGGGAAUCAAAUAUCCUUUGGUGGAAGUGUAGAUCAAGGCCUUCUCAAGCAACCCCUACAAAAUCAACAAGGUUGCUUGGCUAGGCAGAGAGAUCGGGCUAAAAUGAGCUUGUGGAGCAACAAUGGAGCUUAGAGAGGUUAAAGGUAAGCUCUAGGAAGAAGAAGAUGCCUUUAUAUAGUAGGGGGCAGAUCCACCCGUUACCCACCUACCACAUAAAUGCACGAGCGGUACUACCGCUACCCAGAGUGGUAUACCACUCCUGGGAGCGGUACUACCGCUCAUCUUCUCAGCAACCAUGGUAGUACCGGGAUACUACCGUGCCACCACCUCCGUGGAAAAGUAUGCGAGAAAAAAGCCCUGAGUGAAGGCACAGAACUCCUCUCUCCUUCUGUCCAUCAGGCCCUCUGGAAUAUGGUGCAGACGAAAAGCUGCAUAAAGUCUGCCCAUGUGGCUGCUGGUUCAGCAGGACACAUAGCUUCAAAGUUCUCCCACCACAGAUUGGCGGGUCCUUCCAGGAAAUACGCCGCAAAGGUCACCUUGUCGGCCUCAGAAACAUUCGCAGAGCGAAUCUUGCGUGAGAUGCUGCACAACCAGUCAUCAGCGUCGAGGGGAUCGACGGAGUGAUGAAACUUUAGAGGAUUCAGCUUCACAAAGUCGUUGAGGGACACUGCAACAUUCCUAGGCUGACGAGCCGUAUUCUGCUCAAUACGCUCUAACAGUCGGUUGGUCUCCCUUUUGUUCCUCUCUGCCUCAAGCAUAACUUCCGCUAGAGAGGGCGGGUGAGGCAGGUCUUCCUGCGACGCUUGACUACCCUCGCCUUGCUCAUGAGCAGGGGCACGGUUCAACCUGGUGAACACCAUCCUGACAAACAAACUCACAGCUUAGACCAAUAUCAUAUCAAUACUAGCUAUGGAUUAAGAAUGUACUGAACACACGGAAUGCGGAAAUGAAUAUCCAAACAGCAUGGUAACAAGCAACUGCUAUAUAUACACCAUCGUUCAUACACACCCUUACAUAGUUCAGUACAACCUUACUCAAAGAGCAAACUACUGAAAUUAUGAAACUACUCAUCAGAGGCUUACAAGCUUCCUGUACAUUAUUUAUCUAGGCCUCCGGAAUUCAUUUCACAUCACAGGCAUACUUCACAAGUCACGUAGGACUGUGAACGUACGGCUACUACCAUACUAUCCUUCCGCUCACAGCUCAGGCAUCCGCAUAGAACAUCUCAUAGAGAUUACCUCCAUGACCUGGAAGCUCAACCUGCGGAUCAGGAAACACUCUAGCCUGAGAUCCUUGGGAUCCAUAAGGACACGGAUGUGGCCUUGGUCCCCUGACUGGUGGUAAGAGGGGCCCCGAAGAGGGGUGACUCCUCCUAUAGCUGGCCAGUCAACGUGGGCCGGAAGAUGGGUCCUAACAGGGUUCAGCAUCUCCAUAUCUCCGUACCCUGUCUGGACUACCGGUGCCAGCUGCGUCAAAGCCGUCCACAGAUGGGCAUGGGUAGCAUAAAGCUCCAUGCGGAGAGCACGAGCAUCCCUGUCUCUGCUCUCUAGCAUCUCAACAGUGGACUGCAGUAGUGGAUCCUCCAUAGAAGAAUCAAAAUAGACUCCACUGAGGUAUCCCUCUUUACCAGGCUGAGAGGCCGGAACAUAGCAGAACUCUGAAUUCUGCAGCAGUGCAUGUCUCGCCCUCAUAAUGGUCAGCAUUGAAUAGGCAGCAUCUUGUACUGCCAUGUCAACAGUGACUCCCAACCCAUAGGACCAAUGGGUUGGCUCCUCAACUCCAGGGUAGUCUAGAAAUACCCUAACAGUGCAGAUGUACUGGCUCUGGUUGAAGUCUCGGUACUGUUCCUCCACUGUGUACUCGGGGUACCAGCGGUAACCGCACACCGACAUCACCCUGACCAGCAUGGUCGUAUGACCCGGUACAUCAAUGCACCUGGUCAGACGUACCACCUGACGAGAAGGACGGCCAGGCAUCUUUAAAUAGAGAGUAAUGCAAAAGCAUUAGAGCUCCGAAUGCAAAAUUGGGCAGCAUAACGGCUGUAAAUGCUCAAAAACAAAUUUUGAGACAACCCAAAAUGGAAUAGCGUAACCACUCAACUAUCAAGUUCAACUCUCUGAUCAUCAAACUUACUUCCUUUUUCCUAGGAAUGAAAGAAACCCAAAUAUCUAUUGACCCGUAGUCCUAUAAUCUACCGAUCAGAAACACGAGCCUAGAAGAAGAUGAGUAACCUAGUCCUUAAUUCCCGUAGAAAAGACGAGGAUGACCAGAAUAGAAUAACUUGAGAAGAGAACAAGAGUCUUACGUUCCCUUCCACAAACAAUUCCCUUAUAUAUAACUAAAGGAAUUCUAGACUCAAGUUCGACCAGUUUGGCUUAGUAAUCCUACAGUCAGUCAGGCUCUGAUACCAACGCUGUCGGGACCCCGAUCCUAAGCCAUAGGAAUCCAGCCUGUAACACAUCGGAUCCCUUUGCGGUCUCACGCACGGUUAACCCCACGGCUGCAGCCUUAACUUAGCCUUGACCGUUUGCGUCUUUUGACUCACGUAUGCAACUGUGUCGCUAGCAUUCCAAUGUCAAAGAACCCGGAUCGACAAGUCUAGUCAUAAACCAAAGUGGUAGUACCGCACAGGGAUAGGCAUACAUGACCCAACAUAGCAGGUGUCGGUCACCAGCGAAUGUAGACGAGUCGUAGCAAGCUACAAGGACUCCAUUACAUCGCGUGACAUUUCCCCAAAGGGGACAGACACAACAGCUAAGAAGGACACAUGCCGGUCAACCAAUGUGUCCGGAGCAGUAGCGAGCUACCAUGGCUCGUUGGAUCACAAAGGGGCAUUUCCCUGUAAGGAGUGCUACUAAAAUUCACGGCUAGGUAAUCGAACCCCAUACAUAUCAAGUACGACACACGUACGCAUGGCAUACCGAUAUGUAUAGAUACAUCGAUGGCAUCACAACAUAACCAUAAACAUACAAGCUUUAUUUAAGAGGCUCAGAAGAGCCACACACAUAAUAUUACACAGUAAGGGUCUCACGACCCAUAAUAGCAGUCACUCAGUUACAAGCCAGCGGAAGUGUUUAAAACUGUCUGAGUACAGACAGGUGCAACUAGAAGGCACAUGGCAUGACUAUACUACAGACCCAACCUAGGGCCAGAUCGUAGCUGGGACACCAGCUACUCGUCGUCGUCGAUGUCUAUGAAGAACCCUCCAUUAGGGUGAUUAGCAACCUCUGCAACAUUUAUUAAGCAAACAUGAGUACGGAGGUACUCAGCAAGACUUUAGGAUAACUAUCUACUCAUGCAAUGUAUCAAUAGGGUAUUGUGGGGUUUAAUGCGGAAAGCCAGCAUUUGACUCGUGGCUAGACAACUUGCAUCUUAAAAUAAUUUUCACAACAUGAUUUCUCGCACACGAGUCCACUAACACCACAACAAUACUCCAUCGUGGAAUCAUUCCGUCUCCAUACGGAAAUGUCGUCCACGACACUCACGCUUAUCUUGACAAUUUUAUGAGUAGCGAUUUAAGUUAUCUAUGAACAACAUAUGUCUCCAAGUAGUCCAUAUCCGCGGACACGGCUAUUCGAAUAGAUCAUAACCCUGCAGCGGUGUACUUCGUCACACACGCUCUCGCCACUUAUCGCCAUGUGCACGUCAUGCUCCUCGGCAACCUUCAAGCGGAAGCCCAGCGAGGGAGUCGGCCACGACCGUUAACCACAUUAGUACCUAGUCCAGGUUUAUCGCCUAUCUGAGAGUAACCCAUACGGAAGUCCGGCCGAGGUUUCCGUCACGGCCCCAACGAUGUGCGCGGGGUUCCCAAGCCCACCAUCCGGGUGCCACUUGGUACACCAUGCCACUGCCUACCGCAUCACAGCCCACCUCUCAGGUCAGCACCAUGCACGGCCUCCAGCAUGACUAUAAACACCAGAAACUACUUGCAACUCCUGGACCGAGUACUAAGCGAUUAAUAAGUCAAGCGGGGUCAUAUUUCAGGGCCCAGCAUGUGGUAGUAUCUCGUCUUGGAUUACAUGCACGGAACUCAGUUCCUAAGGACGGUUCCAAUGAAACAACCCGCCAUGUACUCCUACACAGCCUUUCACCGGUACCUUUACCAAAUCAGGUUCAACACACAUCCUUUGCUUACCGAACACAUUCUCACAAUUCUGUUCAUCUCCCAGAUGACAGACCAUACACAACUCUAAGCACAGCAUGCAUAGCAGGAUAAAGCACAUCAUGGCUCAAGCAACUACCAGGUAUGCUAGGUUGCAAGGUUCAGCUAUUUACUGUGACAAGGAUAGGUCAUGCAAAGGAAGUGGGUUCAACUAACGUGGCAAAAGCAUUUGAAGCAUUUGAUCCUAAUGCAAUAAGUAAGUGCAGGAGCAAGAACAUGGGAUUUAUCGGGAUGAUCAAAAAUGGUUGCUUGCCUUGUUGCUCAGAAGAGUGACAAUAUCCGUCAGACGGAUAUUCGGUGGAAUUCGGGGGAGCGGAGCCUACCGAAAGGAAUAACAACAAUCAAUAUCAAACAUAUGCAAUCAAGAUGAUGCAUGAGCAUGGCAUGAGGAUACAAGGUGAUAUACUAUUAUAGCUAACAUGUAUUAGGUUUGAAGGUGAUUUGAAUCAAAUUCAAAUAUCACUUCAAACGAGGUAUUCUCGGAUACCAUUUUAAUUGAUUCGACCUUGCUCAGAUCAACUUGCUUUUAACAUGCAUGGGAUGACAUGUUAGGUUGCUGGUUUGUAAUUAGGACAGUGUUUGAUCAUGUCAUUUAAAGUGAAAUUUAAAUAUUUUCCCAAAUUCCAUCUACAAAGUGUUUAUAAGAAUUAACUUAUUCAUUAAUCUACAUGUUUGGGUUCAGUAACAUUUUCAAACAUGUUUGAAAAUGACAUAUUCAGAUUCCUUGAAUAUAUAAAUUAUUUUUUCAUAUAUAAAUUAUUUUCAUUGGAGUUACAGAUUAAUUUCUAUGAAUUUUAGAAGUUUUAACAUUUUUCUGGAAUUCUUUUAAAUCAGAAAACUCUUUAUUGCAUCAGCAUGACAUCAGCAGGUCCAACUCGUUGUUGAAAGUCAAACCUGACCAGUGGGACCCACUGGUCAGUUUUUGAUUAGAAUUAAUCUUAAUUAGCUAAUUAAUCUCUCUCGACCCACAUGUCAGUGACUUAUCAAAUUAAUUAAAUUUAUUUCUGUUAAUCCUAAACUCCCAGAGGCUGGCCCCACGCGUCAGUGGCUCACGCCAGCUGAGAUCCACCGGCGGCGAGGUCGUCCUCGCCGGCGGGGAGCCUCCGGCGACCACCAGAACGGCGGAGGGGCUCGGAAACGGCGCACAGGGGGCCAAACUCUGCGCGGAGAGCACCAGAGGAACGACAAUUCUCCCGCGGGUUCAUUUUUGCACUUAGCCGGGGCUGAUCUGGCCGGAGAUGACGCCGACGACGAGCUUGGCGGCGGCCAAGGUUCGGGCGUCAUCGGGGUCAUCGAAACAGAGGGAGCUACGCGUGGGACUCAGCUCCUACGACAUCUACGCGACGGCCUGGAGCUGCUGGUGGCCUCAGAAGGACGAGCUGAUCACCGGAGGCUACCGGCGACGAGCUCCCGCGACGGAUCUCGUCGGGCUCAAGUGAAAUCAUGGCUAGAGGAAGGGAUCGAAGGGGGAAACUUGGGGGAAAGUUGCGCAAGCUCACGGGGAGUGCAGUGGUGGCGCUAGCUUGCUCGGACACGACCCGGAGAGGAAGAACGCCGGCGACGAACUUCGGUGACCCGAGGAAGAAGAUGAGUGCGUCUCGUCCUUUCACUACGUCUCGGCGUCGGGCUCGUGGCUAGAAAGCUUCAGGGAGUUGCGGCGGACCUAUUGCGCGGCUCGGGAGGGAGAAAGGUAGGCUAGAAUGACGGCGAGCUCGAGCUCUGCUCGGGCUCCAAUGGCGCUAGAAAGAAACGAGGCAGAGGGGGAGAAUGAGGAGAGGAUGAGCUCGGGCACGCCUCGGGAGGGUUAUCCCCUCGCGUGCCAGCGCAGAGCGGCGGCCAGGCAGGCGCACAGGUGCGUGGCCGCGCCGGAGUACGCGGCGGCCACCUCCUGCUGCCCACUGGCGGGGGAGGAAGANUUAUUUCAGCUCCCAAAUAGUUUGUAAAAACUAUGUUGAACACCCCAGAAUAUUUGUUGGAAUAUUUCCAACCAUUCCUAAAGUUUUCAACAUUUUUGAAAGCUUAAAGUUCUGAUUUCAAUUUAAAACUUGAAACCAGUAGCUUUUGCAUUUAUUUAAAAUGCCAAGAGUAUAAAAUAAAUGGUUUCCUUUAUUGCUUAUUUGUUUUCAAAGAAUUAUCAGAAAGAUUGAACUUUUCUUGAGACCAUUUUGGGUUCAUUGAUUUUAACUAGUUUGGAAUUUCCUUUAAUUUGAGAAGUGGCUAGGGUUUUAGAAUUUUCCUUCACCACUUGCUUUGUUCUUGUUGAAAAUUUCCUAGAUGCAAUGCAAAGAAAACAUGAGAACAAAGCUAACUUGAUUAAGGUGUCAGGGAUGUGACACCAUUGAAGCCAAAAUAUGGGUGGGUGCAUGAGGUGUGUGUGUGAGGAUUCCACCAAAACCUUUCCGACGCGGACCCCCUCUUGAUAAGAAGACUUUCCUAUGACUCAAACUAGGAAGAGAAAUGUAGAAGAAAAUUCGUCUUCGAGAACCUCCGAGGGCCGUCGAGUCAUCUUGUGCCUAGAAGAGAAUAUUCCUAUGACACAAGAUUAGUCCGCACAACAAUUGUCAUCAAUCACUAAAAUCACUUAGGAGAAAUAUGCCCUAACAAUCUCCCCCUUUUUGGUGGAUUGAUGACAAUGUUGGAUUUGCACAGAACAAUAGAGAUAGGCAUAUGCAAACUCCAAAGAUAUCACAAGGGGACUAGUUUUGUCUGGGUAUGUGCAUACCAACAACUAACCACAGAGAGAACACUCCCCUAGAUUAUAUAUACUAAGCCAUCCUUACUACAUAUGUACGACAGAUGAAGAAUAUUGAAGCAUGGCAAAGCAUGUGAGCAAAGGAAUACUGGCACAAGAUACUAUGUCUCACAGGUUAAUAACAAUAUGGAUAAAACUGAUAAUACUGAGACAAAAGAUAUGGAAGAUAAAACAUAUAUCUGACAUCAUGAUAGGGUCUGAUGACUCGUAGUCUCAACCAUAAAGCAAAAGCAACGAACGAAAGCAACAAAGUUUUAUCAAACCAAAUAACCAGAAAAACUAGAGAACGAGCAAAUCCUACACUCUCUCCCCCUUUGGCAUCGGAACACCAAAAAGGCAGAGAGGAGCUCUACGACCCAGGUGGUAGAAACAUCAGUCGGUGUCCUCCUCAUCACGAUACUCCUCGUCUGAGAUAUCGUCGAUGUCCUCCUCAGAUGCAGCCCACUGAAACCGGUGCUUCUCCAUCCAUUCAGCCUCGGGGGUGAUCUCGCUCUCAGAACCGCUUGAGAAGGGCAGGUCAAGCUUCCUCAUGAUCAAUUUGCCGCGCUGGCGACUCUCCUUCUGAGCAACAUGGGUCCUGUACUGGCCCUUGGCCUGCAUGCAGAACAGGGUCUUCAUCCUGUCCGUGAGCUGUGUGGCCCAUGAUGGUUCCAUAGAGGCAGGCGUGUGGGAACCCUCACCCUGUCGGUGAGCCUCUGGAGGGGCCUCAUCCUCAGCACCAGGCACAUCUUCAUCAGAAUCCCUUGGGGCAGCAGGACGAGAGGAGGUGUUGGCCCAUUUGUCCUUCUUACGCAGUUUGAUGGGCUCAUGGCGGACCCAAUCAGGAGCAAGAAACUCAGCCCUGGGGAAAGUCUUGGUCCAAGUGGCCUUGAUGAAGUAGAAUAGGUAGGGACCGUAGAUUGGGACUUUACGGUUAAUGACUGCAGAGUAGAGCUCAGUCCACAUGACAUGAGAAACAUCAAGGGGCUGACACUGACGAUUCUUCCCUUUUUGACAAAUGAGAAGCAUGUCUACCAGGUAAGAGUGAACCUGGUCCUUGUUGCCAACCCUCGGAAAUAGCGUGUUGCGAAAAAUCCGGUGCAUCACAUCCAAAAAGGGGUUCAUGACAUAGGAUACCUCGCCAGCUGGGGUGUGCUUCACAGAGAGGUAAGGGUGUAUCUUCUCCUUUGCAGCAUCUUGAGGCUUGGCAUGGGGGCGCAAGCCAACAGGAGUAGUGAGGCCCUCAUCCCAGACCUGAAGAAGAUCCAUGAAAUCUUUCAAGGUAGCAGUCAGCUGCACUCCAUUGGUCAACCAAGUCAUAGUACGAGCCUCAUCAUGAUGAAAGUGCACUGUAGCAAAGAAGUGAGCCACAAUGGAAAUAUCAAAAUCUUGGUGAAACGAGAUGAGGUCCGCAAUCUUAAGUUGUUCCACCAUAGCAAUGGCCUCCCCAAAGUAAGACAUGUCCUUCCUCAAGUGAUCAAGAUCAAUCCAUUGCACCAGUACAUAUAGGUUCUUCUUCGAUCUGAGAACGUCUUCAUAAAUCAAGAAUUGAUCGUGAUUCCAAAACAGUUCACCGCUAGGGAAAGUCUCCCUAUUGUUGGCAUAGGGGUUGAGCUUGCGACGGUGUUGGAACUCAGCAAGCGGCAUGGUGUUCCAGUUGACUGAGGGCUUCUUCGGAGCAGGCUUCUUGAAAGUGUGCUUGGGGGCAUUGGAGCCUUCGAUGGAUCGGAGGUAGGUCGCUUGGAGCUGGCAAUGCGAGACGGGUUGGAACGUCGGGAACCACCACCUGGGACACGCAAACAACACACAAAACACGAAAGAGAAGAGAAACAAGUCAAGGCAAAGAUCAAGAAAGACCGGAAAACACAUAGAACACAAGAGAGAAGUGUGUGUGCACAAAGGGGAGUGGUAGUACUGCAGAUGGAGCGGUAGUAAAAUUUUACUACCGCUCUACGAGCGGUAGUACCGCACCACGAGGGGCGGUAGUACCGCACCACGAGGGGAGGUAGUACCGCACCACGAGGGGCGGUAGUACCGCAUGGGGAGGCCUAAUCACAGAUCUAUACAUAUUUGAAUAGAAAACCUUGUGAAGGAAGGAUUAAAGCCCCAGAUCUGGAUUCUAUGCACGCCUAGACACACACACCUCCUAUGCCAAGAAAUCAUACAACCAAAAAGCUGCCACUAAAUCCCAAUCACGGUGCCAUAGAUUGAAUCAACAAGGAAGCACAAGAGCGCAGAUGAGGGGCAGUACCGGGGUCCAUGGCGCGUGGGGAAGAGUCCCACCGGUCGGAAUCGGAGGACGAUGGCCGGAUAGGGAGAUCCGGCGAUGCCUUAGGGCUGUUUUUGAGGAGAGGAGAGAGAGAAAGAGAAGAACUCGGGGCUGAGGGGAAAAGAGAAAGGCAUCCCAGUCCUUUAAAUAGCCCCCCUGGUCGAGGCGGCGCGGUAGUACUGCAGUCAUCGCGGUAGUACUGCUCCUCAUGCGGUAGUACCGCGCCCACAGCGGUAGUAAAAAAUUACUACCGUGCUGGGGGCGGUAGUACCGCUUGGUGAGCGGUAGUACCGCUCCCCUAGCGGUAGUAAAAUUUUACUACCGUGCUGGGGGCGGUAGUACCGUGCUUGAAGUCACAAAAUAGCCACAAAAUGAACUCUCUACUCCUUAGGUGGUGGAAAAAACUUGAUCAAGCCAAGAGAAACACAACAUGGAAACAAGAAAGGAUCACCGAAAGAAAAGAAACAACACAGAGUCUCCAACGGAGAGGGCGGUGGCCGAGGCCACCUAUGUUUGAGACAAAUGGUAUGACACCAUGAAGAAUUAUCCUUGGGUUCAUGACCAUAUCUCGUCUUUGAAGCACAAGUGCCAUUUAGUAAUGGCCAAAGUGAAAGGCUCGAUCGAUCUAUUCAUAAUGGGGGGAGGGAAAGCUCAUUGAGAGAACAACACUCCCCCUAUGUCCAUGCCUACAUCUAGAGCAAGAUGUAAUGUAGAGUGAGGUGCAAAGUGCCUAGUUUCAAUCCACAUUACUUGAAUCAAUGAUAUUUAGCUCAUGCCUUAACUCCCGGAACCUUGAUUCAUCUAGGGGCUUAGUGAAAAUAUCUGCAAGUUGCUCUUCAGUGUUGAUGAAGUGAAUCUCAAUAUCACCUAGCUUGAUAUGUUCACGAAUGAAGUGAUGGUGAAUAUCAAUGUGCUUGGUCUUGCUGUGUUGAACCGGAUUGAGAGAAAUCUUGAUAGCACUUUGAUUGUCACAUAGAAGAGGCACUUUGUCAGAAGUGACACCGUAGUCCUUUAAAGUUUGCCUCAUCCAUAGCAACUGGGCACAACAACUUGCAGCUGCUGCAUACUCAGCUUCGGUGGAGGAUAGUGAGACACAAUUCUGCUUCUUUGAAGACCAACUUACGAGUGAACGACCAAGGAAUUGGCAUCCUCCAGAGGUUGACUUCCUCUCCACACAGUCUCCUGCCCAAUCUGAGUCAGAAUAGCCCACUAGGUUAAAGUUUGCUCCUUUGGGAUACCAUAGACCAAAGUUUGGGGUAUGAGCCAAAUAUCGAAAGAUUCGUUUGACAGCCAUGUAAUGGCUUUCCUUUGGUGCAGAUUGAAACCGUGCACAAAUCCCUGCACUCAACAUGAUAUCCGGUCUAGAUGCACAAAUAUAAAGGAGGGAUCCAAUCAUGGAGCGAUAUACCUUUUGAUCCACUGCUUUACCAUUGGGAUCACUAUCAAGCUUGCAUCUUGUUGGCAUGGGAAACUUGACCGGCUUGACAUCCUCUAGCUCAAACCUCUUGAGCAUGUCUUGAGUGUACUUGGCUUGUUUGAUGAAGGUCCCUUCUAAGCCUUGUUUGAUCUCAAACCCGUGGAAGAACUUCAACUCACCCAUCAUAGACAUCUCAAAUUUCUCGGUCAUCAAUGCAGCAAAUUCUUCAUUGAAAGAUUCGUUAGGAAAACCAAAAAUGAUAUCAUCAACAUAUAGUUGGCAUAUGAACAAAUCCCCUUUGACCCUCUUAGUAAAAAGAGUGGGAUCAAUCUUCCCAAUUUCAAACCAACGAUCUUGUAACAACUCGGUAAGAUACUCAUACCACGCACGUGGGGCUUGUUUCAGGCCAUAGAGUGCCUUAUUGAGUUUGUACACAUGAUUGGGGAGCUUGGGAUGUUCGAACCCGGGGGGUUGUUUUGUUGGAGAACGUCGCAUGGGAAACAAAAAAUUUCCUACGCGCACGAAGACCUAUCAUGGUGAUGUCCAUCUACGAGAGGGGAUGAGUGAUCUACGUACCCUUGUAGACCGUACAGCAGAAGCGUUAGUGAACGCGGUUGCUGUAGUGGAACGUCCUCACGUCCCUCGAUCCGCCCCCGCGAACCGUCCCGCGAUCAGUCCCACGAUCUAGUGCCGAACGGACGGCACCUCCGCGUUCAGCACACGUACAGCUCGACGAUGAUCUCGGCCUUCUUGAUCCAGCAAGAGAGACGGAGAGGUAGAAGAGUUCUCCGGCAGCGUGACGGCGCUCCGGAGGUUGGUGAUGAUCUCGUCUCAGCAAGGCUCCGCCCGAACUCCGCAGAAACGCGAUCUAGAGGUAAAACCGUGGAGAUAUGUGGUCGGGCUGCCGUGGCAAAGUUGUGUCAAAUCAGCCCUAAAACCUCCGUAUAUAUAGGGGCAAGAGGGGGAGCCUUGCCUUGGGGUCCAAGGACCCCUAAGGGCUUCGGCCGAGCCAAGGGGGGCAGCCCUCCCCUUCCAAACCGAGUCCAACUAGGUUUGGAAGGAGGAGGCCUUCCCCCUUUUCCCACCUCCUCUUUUUUUUUCCUUUUCUCUUUGAUUUUCUUCCUAUGGUGCAUAGGGCCUUCUUGGGCUGUCCCACCAGCCCACCAAGGGCUGGUGCGCCACCCCCAAGGCCUAUGGGCUUCCCCGGGGUGGGUUGCCCCCCCCCCCCGGUGAGCUCCCGCAACCCAUUCGUCAUUCCCGGUACAUUCCCGGUAACUCCAAAAACCUUCUGGUAAUCAAAUGAGGUCAUCCUAUAUAUCAAUCUUCAUUUCCGGACCAUUCCGAAAACCCUCUUGACGUCCGUGAUCUCAUCCGGGACUCCGAAGAACAUUCGGUAACAAACCAUAUAACUCAAAUACGCAUAAAACAACGUCGAACCUUAAGUGUGCAGACCCUGUGGGCUCGAGAACUAUGUAGACAUGACCCGAGAGACUCCUCGGUCAAUAUCCAAUAGCGGGACCUGGAUGCCCAUAUUGGAUCCUACAUAUUCUACGAAGAUCUUAUCGUUUGAACCUCAGUGCCAAGGAUUCAUAUAAUCCCGUAUGUCAUUCCCUUUGUCCUUCGGUAUGUUACUUGCCCGAGAUUCGAUCGUCAGUAUCCGUAUACCUAUUUCAAUCUCGUUUACCGCCAAGUAUCUUUACUCGUUCCGUAAUACAAGAUACUGCAACUUACACUAAGUCACAUUGCUUGCAAGGCUUGUGUGUGAUGUUGUAUUACCGAGUGGGCCCCGAGAUACCUCUCCGUCAAACGGAGUGACAAAUCCCAGUCUCGAUCCAUACUAACUCAACGAACACCUUUGGAGAUACCUGUAGAGCAUCUUUAUAGUCAACUAGUUACGUUGCAACGUUUGAUACACACAAAGUAUUCCUCCGGUGUUAGUGAGUUAUAUGAUCUCAUGGUCAUAGGAACAAAUACUUGACACGCAGAAAACAGUAGCAACAAAAUGACACGAUCAACAUGCUACGUCUAUUAGUUUGGGUCUAGUCCAUCACGUGAUUCUCCUAAUGAGGUGAUCCAGUUAUCAAGCAACAACACCUUGUUCAUAAUAAGAAGACACUGACUAUCUUUGAUCAACUGGCUAGCCAACUAGAGGCUUGCUAGGGACAGUGUUUUUUCUAUGUAUCCACACAUGUAAAUGAGUCUUCAUUCAAUACAAUUAUAGCAUGGAUAAUAAAUGAUUAUCUUGAUACAGGAAUUAUAAUAAUAACUAUAUUUAUUAUUGCCUCUAGGGCAUAAUUCCAACAGUAUCCCACUUGCACUAGAGUCAAUAAUCUAGCCCUCACAUCAUCAUGCGAAUUACAUUGUAAUAAAUCUAACACCCAUACAGUUCUGGUGUUGAUCAUGCUUUUCCCGUGGAAGAGGUUUAGUCAGCGGGUGUGCUACAUUCAGAUCCGUGUGCACUUUGCAUAUAUUUACGUCCUCCCCUUCGACGUAGUCGCGGAUGAGGUUGAAGCAUCGUUUGAUGUGUCUGGACUUCUUGUGAAACUGUGGUUCCUUUGCUAAGGCAAUGGCACCCGUGUUGUCACAGAACAAGGUUAUUGGAUUCAGUGCGCUUGGCACCACUCCAAGAUCCGUCAUGAACUGCUUCAUCCAGACACCCUCCUUAGCCGCCUCCGAGGCAGCCAUGUACUCUGCUUCACAUGUAGAAUCUGCUACGAUGCUUUUCUUGGAACUGCACCAGCUUACCGCACCCCCAUUAAGAAUAACUACGUAUCCGGUUUACGACUUAGAGUCGUCCGGAUCCGUGUCAAAGCUUGCAUCAACGUAACCUUUUACGGCGAGCUCUUCGUCACCUCCAUACAUGAGAAACAUCUCCUUAGUCCUUUUCACGUACUUCAGGAUAUUCUUGACCGCCGUCCAGUGAUCCACUCCUGGAUUACUCUGGAACCUACCUGCCAUAUUUAUGGCCAGGCUAACGUCCGGUCUAGUGCACAGCAUUGCAUACAUGAUAGAACAUAUGGCUGAAGCAUAGGGGACGGUGCGCAUAUGCUCUCUAUUCUCAUCAGUUGCUGGGCACUGAGUCUUACUCAAUCUUGUACCUUGUAAAACUGGCAAGAACCCUUUCUUGGACUGUUCCAUUUUGAACCUCUUCAAAACUUUAUCAAGGUAUGUGCUUUGUGAAAGUCCUAUCAGGCGUUUUGAUCUAUCCCUGUAGAUCUUAAUGCCUAGAAUGUAAGCAGCUUCUCCUAGGUCCUUCAUAGAGAAACUUUUAUUCAAGUAAUCCUUUAUGCUCUCCAAAAACUCUACGUUGUUUCCAAUCAGCAAUAUGUCAUCCACAUAUAAUAUUAGAAACGCCACACAGCUCCCACUCACUUUCUUGUAAAUACAAGAUUCUCCAACCACUUGUAUAAACCCAAAUGCUUUGAUCAUCUCAUCAAAGCGUUUGUUCCAACUCCGAGAUGCUUGCACCAGUCCAUAAAUGGAUCGCUGGAGCUUGCACACCUUGUUAGCAUUCUCAGGAUCGACAAAACCUUCGGGUUGCAUCAUAUACAACUCUUCCUUAAGGAAACCGUUAAGGAACGCCGUUUUGACAUCCAUCUGCCAGAUUUCAUAAUCGAAAAAUGCAGCUAUUGCUAACAUGAUUCUGACGGACUUAAGCAUCACUACGGGCGAGAAUGUCUCAUCGUAGUCAACUCCUUGAACUUGUGAAAAACCCCUUGCCACAAAUCGAGAUUUAUAAACGGUCACAUUGCCGUCAGCGUCCGUCUUCCUCUUAAAGAUCCAUUUGUUCUGAAUAGCCUUGCGGCCCUCAGGCAGUACUUCCAAAGUCCACACUUUGUUCUCAUACAUGGAUCCCAUCUCGGACUUCAUGGUUUCUAGCCAUUUGUUGGAAUCUGGGCCCACCAUUGCUUCUUCAUAAUUUGCAGGUUCAUUGUUGUCCAACAACAUGAUUGAUAAGACGGGAUUACCGUACCACUCUGGAGCAGCACGUGAUCUCGUCGACCUGCGUGGUUCGACAGAAACUUGAACCGGAGUUUCAUGAUCAUCAUCAUUAACUUCCUCCUCAACCGGUGUCGCAACGACAGAGGUUUCCCCUUGCCCUGCGCCACCAUCCAGAGGGAUGAGAGGUUCGACAACCUCAUCAAGUUCUAUCUUCCUCCCACUCAAUUCUCUCGAGAGAAACUCCUUCUCGAGAAAAGCUCCGUUUUUAGCAACAAACACUUUGCCCUCGGAUUUGAGAUAGAAGGUGUACCCAACUGUCUCUUUUGGGUAACCUAUGAAGCCCCCCCCCCCCCCCGGUUCCAGCUUUUCAGGCUGAAGCUUUUUGACAUAAGCAUCACAUCCCCAAACUUUAAGAAACGACAACUUUGGCCUUUUGCCAUACCAUAGUUCGUAUGGUGUCGUCUCAACGGAUUUAUAUGGUGCCCUAUUUAAAGUGAAUGCAGUUGUUUCAAAUGCAUAGCCCCAAAACGAUAACGGCAAAUCGGUAAGAGACAUCAUAGAUCGCACCAUCUCUAAUAAAGUACGAUUACGACGUUCGGACACACCAUUACGCUGUGGUGUUCCAGGCGGUGUCAAGUGUGAAACAAUUCCACAUUGUCUUAAGUGAGCACCAAACUCGAAACUCAGAUAUUCACCCCCACGAUCAGACCGUAGGAACUUGAUCUUCUUGUUACGAUGAUUUUCAACUUCACUCUGAAAUUGCUUGAACUUUUCAAAUGUUUCAGACUUGUGCUUCAUUAAGUAGACAUAACCAUAUCUACUCAAAUCGUCAGUGAAGGUGAGAACAUAACGAUAUCCGCCGCGUGCCUCUACGCUCAUCGGACCACACAGAUCGGUAUGUAUGAUUUCCAACAAGUCACUUGCGCGCUCCAUUGUUCCAGAGAACGGAGUUUUAGUCAUCUUGCCCAUGAGGCAUGGUUUGCACGUGUCAAGUGAAUCAAAGUCAAGUGACUCCAAAAGUCCAUCGGCAUGGAGUUUCUUCAUGCGCUUUACACCAAUAUGACCUAAGCGGCAGUGCCACAAAAAUAUGGUGCUAUCAUUGUUAAAUCUAACUCUUUUGAUCUCAAUGUUAUGUAUGUGUGUAUCACUAUCAAGAUUCAAUAUGAACAAUCCUCUCACAUUUGGUGCAUGACCAUAAAAGAUGUUACUCAUAGAAAUAGAACAACCAUUAUUCUCUGACUUAAAAGAGUAAUCGUCUCGCAAUAAACAAGAUCCAGAUAUAAUGUUCAUGCUCAACGCACGCACUAAAUAUCAAUGAUUCAAGUUCAUAACUAAGCCUGAUGGUAACUGAAGUGAAACUGUGCCGACGGUGAUUACAUCAACCUUGGAACCAUUUCCUACGCGCAUCGUCACUUCAUCUUUCGCCAGCCUUCGUCUAUUCCGCAGUUCCUGUUUCAAGUUGCAAAUAUGAGCAACAGAACCGGUAUCGAAUACCCAGGCACUACUACGAGAGCCGGUUAAGUACACAUCAAUAACAUGUAUAUCGAAUAUACCUGAUUUUUCUUUGGCCGCCUUCUUAUCAGCCAGAUACUUGGGGCAAUUGCGCUUCCAGUGACCCAUACCCUUGCAAUAGUAACACUCUAUUUCAGGCUUAGGUCCAGCUUUGGGUUUCUUCGUUGGAUUGGCAACAGGCUUGCCGCUCUUCUUUGAUUUACCCUUCUUGCCUUUGCCGUUUCUCUUGAAACUAGUGGUCUUAUUCACCAUCAACACUUGAUGUUCUUUAUGGAGUUCAGACUCUGCGACUUUCAGCAUCGCAAACAACUCGCCGGGUGACUUGUUCAUACCUUGCAUGUUGUAGUUCAACACAAAGCCUUUAUAGCUUGGCGGCAGUGAUUGAAGGAUUAUGUCAGUGAUAGCCUCUUGCGGGAGUUCAAUCCCCAGCUCAGCUAGACGGUUUGAGUACCCAGACAUUUUGAGCACAUGUUCACUGACAGACGAGUUCUCCUCCAUUUUGCAAGCAUAGAAUUUAUCGGAGGUCUCAUACCUCUCAAUCCGGGCGUUCUUCUGAAAGAUAAACUUCAACUCCUGGAACAUCUCAAAUGCUCCAUGACGCUCAAAGCGACGUUGAAGUCCCGGUUCUAAGCCAUACAAGACUGCACAUUGAACUACUGAGUAGUCCUCCUUACGUGCUAACCAAGCGUUCUUAACAUCCUGAUCAGCCGUAGCGGGUGGUUCAUCUCCUAGCGCAGCAUUAAGGACAUAAUCCUUCUUCCCAGCUUGUAAGAUUAGCUUAAGAUUACGAGCCCAGUCUACAAAGUUGCUUCCAUCAUCUUUCAACUGAGCUUUCUCUAGGAAUGUAUUAAAAUUUAGGGUGACUCUCGCGUGAGCUAUGAUCUACAACACAAAUAUAUUCAAAGUGGACUUAGACUAUGUUCAAGAUAAUUAGAGUUUAACUUAAUCAAAUUACUCGCUAAACUCCCACUCAAAAAGUACAUCUCUCUAGUCAUUUGAGUGGUUCAUGAUCCACUUACACUAGCUCAAGUCCGAUCAUCACGUGAGUUGAGCAUAGUUUCAGUGGUAAGCAUCCCUAUGCUAAUCAUAUCAUCUAUAUGAUUCAUGAUCGACCUUUCGGUCUCAUGUGUUCCGAGGCCAUGUCUGCACAUGCUAGGCUCGUCAAGCUUAACCCGAGUGUUCCGCGUGCGCAACUGUUUUGCACCCGUUGUAUGUGAACGUUGAGUCUAUCACACCCGAUCAUCACGUGGUGUCUCGAAACGACGAACGGUAGAAACGGUGCACAGUCGGGGAGAACACAAUUUCAUCUUGAAAUUUUAGUGAGAGAUCACCUUAUAAUGCUACCGUCGAUCUAAGCAAAAUAAGGUGCAUAAAAGGAUUAACAUCACAUGCAAUUCAUAAGUGACAUGAUAUGGCCAUCAUCACGUGCUCCUUGAUCUCCAUCACCAAAGCACCGGCACGAUCUUCUUGUCACCGGCGCCACACCAUGAUCUCCAUCAACGUGUCGCCAUCGGGGUUGUCGUGCUACUCAUGCUAUUACUACUAAAGCUACAUCCUAGCAAAAUAGUAAACGCAUCUGCAAGCACAAACGUUAGUAUAAAGACAACCCUAUGGCUCCUGCCGGUUGCCGUACCAUCGACGUGCAAGUCGAUAUAAUCUAUUACAACAUGAUCAUCUCAUACAUCCAAUAUAUCACAUCACAUCGUUGGCCAUAUCACAUCACAAGCAUACCCUGCAAAAACAAGUUAGACGUCCUCUAAUUUUGUUGUUGCAUGUUUUACGUGGUGACCAUGGGUAUCUAGUAGGAUCGCAUCUUACUUACGCAAACACCACAACGGAGAUAUAUGAGUUGCUAUUUAACCUCAUCCAAGGACCUCCUCGGUCAAAUCCGAUUCAACUAAAGUUGGAGAAACUGACACCCGCCAGUCAUCUUUGAGCAACGGAGUUACUCGUAGCGAUGAAACCAGUCUCUCGUAAGCGUACGAGUAUUGUCGGUCCGAGCCGCUUCGAUCCAACAAUACCGCGGAACCAAGAAAAGACUAAGGAGUGCAGCAAAACGCACAUCACCGCCCACAAAAACUUUUGUGUUCUACUCGAGAAGACAUCUAAGCAUGAACCUAGCUCAUGAUGGCACUGUUGGGGAACGUCGCAUGGGAAACAAAAAUUUUCCUACGCGCACGAAGACCUAUCAUGGUGAUGUCCAUCUACGAGAGGGGAUGAGUGAUCUACGUACCCUUGUAGACCAUUCAGCAGAAGCGUUAGUGAACGCGGUUGAUGUAGUGGAACGUCCUCACGUCCCUCGAUCCGCCCCGCGAACCGUCCCGCGAUCAGUCCCACGAUCUAGUGCCGAACGGACGACACCUCCGCGUUCAGCACACGUAUAGCUCGACGAUGAUCUCGGCCUUCUUGAUCCAGAAAGAGAGACGGAGAGGUAGAAGAGUUCUCCGGCAGCAUGACGGUGCUCCGGAGGUUGGUGAUGAUCUCGUCUCAGCAGGGCUCCGCCCGAGCUCCGCAGAAACGCGAUCUAGAGGUAAAACCGUGGGGAUAUGUGGUCGGGCUGCCGUGGCAAAGUUGUGUCAAAUCAGCCCUAAAACCUCCGUAUAUAUAGGGGGAAGAGGGGGAGCCUUGCCUUGGGGUCCAAGGACCCCUAAGGGCUUCGGCCGAGCCAAGGGGGGCAGCCCUCCCCUUCCAAACCGAGUCCAACUAGGUUUUGAAGGAGGAGGCAUUCCCCCUUUUCCCACCUCCUCUUUUUUUUUCCUUUUCUCUUUGAUUUUCUUCCUAUGGUGCAUAGGGCCUUCUUGGGCUGUCCCACCAGCCCACCAAGGGCUGGUGCGCCACCCCCAAGGCCUAUGGGCUUCCCCGGGGUGGGUUGCCCCCCCCCCCGGUGAACUCCCGGAACCCAUUCGUCAUUCCCGGUAAAUUCCCGGUAACUCCGAAAACCUUCCGGUAAUCAAAUGAGGUCAUCCUAUAUAUCAAUCUUCGUUUCCGGACCAUUCCGGAAACCCUCGUGAUCUCAUCCGGGACUUCGAACAACAUUCGGUAACCAACCAUAUAACUCAAAUACGCAUAAAACAACGUCGAACCUUAAGUGUGCAGACCCUGCGGGCUCGAGAACUAUGUAGACAUGACCCAAGAAACUCCUCGGUCAAACCAAUAGCGGGACCUGGAUGCCCAUAUUGGAUCCUACAUAUUCUACGAAGAUCUUAUCGUUUGAACCUCAGUGCCAAGGAUUCAUAUAAUCCCGUAUGUCAUUCCCUUUGUCCUUCGGUAUGUUACUUGCCCGAGAUUCGAUCGUCAGUAUCCGUAUACCUAUUUCAAUCUCGUUUACCGGCAAGUCUCUUUACUCGUUCCGUAAUACAAGAUCCCGCAACUUACACUAAGUCACAUUGCUUGCAAGGCUUGUGUGUGAUGUUGUAUUACCGAGUGGGCCCCGAGAUACCUCUCCGUCAUACUGAGUGACAAAUCCCAGUCUUGAUCCAUACUAACUCAACGAACACCUUUGGAGAUACCUGUAGAGCAUCUUUAUAGUCACCCAGUUACGUUGCGACGUUUGAUACACACAAAGUAUUCCUCCGGUGUUAGUGAGUUAUAUGAUCUCAUGGUCAUAGGAACAAAUACUUGACACGCAGAAAACAGUAGCAACAAAAUGACACGAUCAACAUGCUACAUCUAUUAGUUUGGUCAAGUCCAUCACGUGAUUCUCCUAAUGACGUGAUCCAGUUAUCAAGAAACAACACCUUGUUCAUAAUCAGAAGACAGUGACUAUCUUUGAUCAACUGGCUAGCCAACUAGAGGCUUGCUAGGGACAGUGUUUUGUCUAUCUAUCCACACAUGUAAAUGAGUCUUCAUUCAAUAAAUUAUAGCAUGGAUAAUAAACGAUUAUCUUGACACAGGAAUUAUAAUAAUAACUAUAUUUAUUAUUGCGUCUAGGGCAUAAUUCCAACAUGUUUGACAUAGACCAACUCAUUUAAAGGACCAUUAAGAAAGGCACUUUUCACAUCCAUUUGUUGUAAUUUGAAAUUAUGAUGAGAAGCAAAUGCAAGCAGCAUGCGAAUAGAUUCUAGACGAGCAACAGGGGCAAAUGUUUCACCGUAGUCGAUACCCUCGACUUGGGAGUAGCCUUGAGCUACCAAUCUUUCCUUGUUUCGAAUCACAAUCCCAUUGGCAUCUUGCUUGUUUUUGUAGAUCCAUUUGGUCCCGAUGACAUUAUGUUCCUCCUUUGGCCUUGGCACUAAAUCCCAGACUUGAUUACGCUCGAAGUUGUUGAGUUCUUCAUGCAUGGCCAUAAGCCAAUCCUCAUCAUCGAACGCUUCCUGUACCUAUUGAGGUUCACAAUAGAAACAAACGUGUGAUGCUCACAAUAAUUCCAAAUUUGUUGACGAGUGGAUACUCCCCUUUUCAAACUACCAAGUAUAUUCUUCAUAAGAUGUGACUUGGCUCUCAGCUUUUUCGCAAUCUUGGCUAUGCGACGCUCCAAGAGUUCUUCAUUGGAUAACUGGGGAACAUCGAAUUGAUUGCUUUGCUUGCCCUUGUGUUUUGAUCCUCCCUUGGCACCAGUAGCCUUUUUAGGUGCCGCAGAAGGAAACUGAGAGACAGCAUCCUGAUCAACUUGAUCUUCGACUUGAGAAGGUUCACUAGUUUGUCGUUGUUCUUGUGGUUGCUCUUGAUCUUAAUCGUGUGCUUCUAUUUGGUCUGGAUCGUGUGGUUGCACUUGAUCUUGAUCUUGAGUAGGUUCGGAACCUUGGGUGAGUGCUUGUACCUCAUGGGACACAUCACCAUCUUUAGGCAAUUGAUCUUGUUCUUGAGUUUGUUCAACUUGUUGAGGGUCUUCUCUUUGUUCAUCGGAAGCGUGUGGGGCUUGUGAGGAUGAUGGCUCCACUUGAGUAGAUCAUUGUCCUUCUCCUUCGGCCACAAGGGGUUCCUCAAUGGGGAGUAUUUGACCAAUCCCCAUUCUUCUUAUGGCUUGGGGUUCAUCACCUACAUCACAAAGACCACUUUGCGCCACUUGGGAGCCAUUAUUUUCAUCAAACUCCACAUUACACGUCUCCUCAAUGACUCCUGUGGACUUGUUAAGGACACGGUAAGCAUGAGAGUUUGUAGCAUAACCAACAAAGAUGCCCUCAUGUGCUCUAGAAUCAAAUUUAGCUAAACGUGCACCUUUCUUGAGAAUAAAACACUUACACCCAAAUACCCGGAAGUACUUGAGAUUGGCUUUGUUUCCGAUGAGAAUCUCAUAUGGGGUCUUGUUCAAGCCUUUGCAGAUAUAGAGCCGAUUGGACGCAUGACAUGCUGUGUUGAUGGCUUCGGCCCAAAAGUUAUAUGGAGAUUUGAAUUCCGCCAUCAUUGUUCUUGCAGCGUCCAUCAGUGUCCGGUUCUUCCUUUCUGCCACACCAUUUAGUUGAGGGGUAUAUGGUGUCGAAUAUUGAUGUUUUAUUCCCUCAUCACCUAGAAACUCAUCCAAGGUGUAGUUCUUGAACUCGGUGCCAUUGUCACUUCUCAUCAUCAAAAUCUUUGCUUCAUGUUGACGUUGAGCUUCAUUAGCAAAGUUGAUAACAUUUUGUUGAGUCUCACUCUUCCUCUUGAAGAAAUAUACCCAGGUGUAUCUUGAGUAAUCAUCAACAAUCACCAAGCAGAACUUUUUGCCCCCAAGACUAUCAAAUGAUGGGGGGCCGAAGAGAUCCAUAUGAAGGAGCUCCAACGGUCUCUUAGUGUAAAUGAGAGUCAUUGGACGAUGAGCAGUUUCAUGAAUCUUUCCUUCAAUGCAGGCACUGCAAGCACGAUCUGUGGCAAAACUCACAUUUGAUAGUCCACGAAUAUGGUCCCCUUUGAGGAGACUUUGCAAAGAUCUCAUAUUGACAUGAGCUAGUCGGCGAUGCCAAAGCCAGCCCACAUCAACUUUAGCCAUUAGACACGUCGCAGUCUUAGUGGGUCGCUUUGAAAAGUUCACCACAUAGAGACCAUUUUUGACAUAUCCAACAUAGGCUACUUUAAGGGUCUUGCUCCACAAAAGGACCACAGUAUCAAGAUUAAAGAAUGUGGAAAAGCCCAUAAUUGCAAGUUGACAAACUGAAAGGAAAUUAUAAGCAAGGGACUCAACAAGCAUGACCUUCUCAAUAGAUAACUCUUGAGAGAUGACCACCUUACCAAAUCCCAAUACCUUUGACAAUGAUGCAUCGGCGAAUUGGACAUGGGUGGGCAUAGAUGGGGAAGGAUGCACAUCCACCACAAUGUCCUUGCUUCCGGUCAUAUGAUUUGUUGCUCCACUAUCGAGCAACCAUGACACCCAACCGGAAGCAAACUCCUGCAAUAGAUCAAGGCUUGGUUUUAGGUACCCAUUUUUGAAUGGGUCCUUUAAUGUUAGAGACAAGGGUCUUAGGAACCCAAAUAGCAUAUUCAAUGUACUCAUAGUAAGAACCAACAAAUCUGGCAUAAACAUGCCCAUCACCAGCACGACAUAAAACAUAGGAAGGAUUGAGUUUGUCGGCUGUGUUGGUAGGAAUGGUUUUGCCCUUCUUGAUGCUCCCAUUUUCCACCUUGUUCAUGUUCACCUCCUUAAUCCCUUCGCCCUCUUUGACAAAGAUGUCCAUGAGGGUGGGGGAUCGGUUGUUCCUGUUCUUCCUUUUUCUUUUAGACUUGGAUGUAAGUCCAAGCCCCUCCUUUACUACCACACCCUUUUGAUUGCUCAAAAGGUCGUUCAGGCUCUUCUUGCCUUGGAUGCAUGAAACAAGGCCCUUCUCAAGUUUAUCCUUCAACUUGGCAUUUUCCUCCACAAGAUGUACAUGCUCACAACAAGGGUUAGUUGUACAAGCAUUAUCAAUUAAAACAAAAGGAGGACAGGUAGAGAUUUCCUUGGUAAGCUUUGCUUGGAGUUGAUCAUGAGACUCUUUCAGGGAGAAAUGACUACCUUUCAAGACCUUGUGAGCCUUGUCAAGUGUAUCAAACUCCAUUUUGAGUCUGUCAUGGUCAACCCCAAGAGCAUCCUUUUCACACUUAAGCAUACGAGUAAGAACAGUAGCAUGAUCUAGUUUCUUUUGCAAUUUAGCGUAGUCGUCGUUGUAUGACUCCUCAGGAGCCAAACGAAGAGUGCGCUCCUUUUCUAGUGCAAUAGAAAGUUCAGCAAUCUCAUCGGCAUAGUCACGACUAUGACCUUGCAUCUCGGAGAUGGUCUCCUCAUGAGACUCGAUGAGGUCAUUAGCCUCACCCAGUUGUUCCAAAAGGGCAACAAAGUGCCUUUUGGUUUCUCCUUUGAUAGUACACAGAAAUUUGUCAAGAUCAUGCUCAUUAAGUUCCACAACAUCACUAUCAUCAACACAAUUCAACAAUGAGGGAGCACUAGUGAUGUUGGUCUUAAUGUUGGGUGUUACCUGCUUGAUACCUUUGGCCAUGAGGCACUUGGCGAUGUGAUUAUCAUUGGGGGCAUUGAAGAGAGACACAUUCUUGGGAGAAGGGGUGGCGAUGGUGACAGUCGCAGUUGCCACCAUAUCAUCANGGAAUGACUUUAUUUUGUCUUUGCGAAUGAGCUUGCCUCUGUUGUCUUCCCUCUUCUCAUAGGGACAUUCUGCCACAAAGUGGCUCACAUUACCGCGGUUAUAGCAUGUCCUCACUCGUUGCAUGGGUUUGAACCCACUUGAGUUGUUCUUGGUGAAGUUGGGUCUUGAGUUCCACUUGUUGCCCCAGAAUUGCCUUGACGCAAGAGCCAUGUGCUCGUGAUAAGCAUACUUAGUGUCUUCAGGGCAGCUCUCCUCUUCCUCAUCCUCCUNCUUCAAAAGCAGCCUUUGCCUUUAAAGCAAGGAUAGGUGAGUUGUCUUUGACCAAACUCGAGCAAGUGCAUUGUCAGCGGUCUCGUUCAUGAUUGACAUUGCAAUGAAUUCAUCCAACACCUCAGUGGAAGACAAGGAGUGGAAAUCUGGUCGUUGGCGAAUGACUGAUCUCAUGGCUUUGUUGAAAGGCAUGAUGUCCUUGAGAAACUUGCGCUUGACCCAUGUGUCAUCCACAUCCUUGCUCCCAUGAUCCUUGAGAGCAACGGCAAUAGUAGUCACCCUCCGAUAGAGAUCACGAGGGUCCUCGUCUUCUUUCAUUACAAACUCAUCGGCCUUAUCAAGUACCACUUCAUAGUUUGACCGUUGAAUGCUUGAGCUUCCCUUGUAUAGCACCAUAAUGUGAUCCCAACAGUCCUUAGCCAGAGCAAAGGGGCGCAAGUGAGGAAGAUCUUCAGGAGGUACUGCGGACUGUAGAAUAAACAAUGCAGAGUGAUUAUAUUGGUUGUCCGCUUCUUCUCUUGGAGUGAGGUUGCUUGGGUCAUGAGGAUAGUAGCCUUGCUCGAUGAUUCUCCAUAAAUUUGUUGAGCUGUGAUUCAAGUGAGACUCAAUAGAAAACACCCAGUUAGCAAAAUCAACCUUCACAAGCUUAGGAGGAGGACCAACAGGGUUAAGACGCGGUGUGGGAACAGGUCCUCCAUAGACCAUGGGAGGUGGAACUGAGGCAUAGGUUCCAGUCCCAUCCUUUUCGAGAGAAGAGGAAGGUCGCAUACCUUUAGCCACUUCCUUAGAGGAAUUGGCCUCCAAAUCUGUGUUGGUGGGUUUAACCACCAACGCUGGUUCGGGUGAACUUUUAAUUCCCUCAAUUAACUCUUUAAGAAUAGUCUUGACUUCGUUCGUCAAGGACGUCUUGAGGGCGGCCAUAGCCGUAUUCAAGUCGUCCCUUGUGACCGAAGUCAAGUCCAUGGCCUCGGGUUGCCCACGGGGAACGCCCUCUUCGCCUUCCAUACUCUUCGAGUGGUGAAACCCUUAAUAAAGAGACGUGGCUCUGAUACCAAUUGAAAGGAUCGAUAUGGUUGACUAGAGGGGGUGAAUAGGCAACUACCACUUUUUAGCUUUUCUAAAUAAAUAAGGAGUAGCAAUCAUAAAGGUUCACUAAGAUGACACUAGGUGGACAACCUAUAUGAUGCUACCUAGCAACGAGUAAAGAAGCACGUAAGAGAUACUCUACAACACCAACAAAUACAAAGUAAAGGUAAGAGAUAACCACAAGUGGAACCGAUGAAGACGAGGAUGUGUUACCAAAGUUCCUUCCCUUUGACAGGAAGUACGUCUCCGUUGGAACGGUGUGGAGGCACAAUGCUCCCCAAUAAGCCACUAGGGCCACCGUAUUCUCCUCACGCCCUCGCACAAUGCAACGAGACGCGAUUCCACUAUAGAUGCCCUUGAAGGCGGUGACUGAACCUUUACAAACAAGGUUGGGGCAAUCUCCACACAAAGCUUGGAGGCUCCCAACAAGACCACGGAGCUUCACCACAAUGGAAUGUGGCUCUGAGGUGACCUCAACCGUCUAGGGUGCUCAAACACCCAAGAGUAACAAGAUCCGCAAGGGAUUAGUAGGGGGAAUCAAAUAUCCUUUGGUGGAAGUGUAGAUCAAGGCCUUCUCAAGCAAUCCCUAGAAAAUCAACAAGGUUGAUUGGCUAGGGAGAGAGAUCGGGCUAAAAUGAGCUUGUGGAUCAACAAUGGAGCUUAGAGAGGUUAAAGGUAAGCUCUAGGAAGAAGAAGAUACCUUUAUAUAGUAGGGGGGCAGAUCCACCCGUUAUCCACCUACCACAUAAAUGCACGAGCAGUACUACCGCUCCUGGAGCGGUACUAUCGCUACCCAGAGUGGUACUACCGCUCCUGGGAGCGGUACUACCGCUCAGCUUCUCACAAACCACGGUAGUACCGGGAUACUACCGUGCCACCACCUCCGUGGAAAAGUAUGCGAGAAAAAAUCCCGUCGAUGCGGUAGUAAAUUAAUACUACCACACUGAGGGCGGUAGUACCGCCCUUGGAGCGGUAGUAAAAAACUACUACCGUACUUCGGGCGGUAGUACCGCUCCUCGAGCGGUAGUAAAAGUUUACUACCGCACCUGGGGCGGUAGUACCGCUCCUAGAGCGGUAGUAAAAACUUACUACCGUUGUGCCAGCGGUACUACCACUAGUACAGCGGUACUACCGCUUACCCUUUUUCGCAUAGGCAUAGAAAACACAUUGGUGCUCCAUUGAAGCCAAAAUAUGGGUGGGUGCAUGAGGUGUGUGCGUGAGGAUUCCACCCAAACCUUUCCGACGCGGACCCCCUCUUGAUAAGAAGACAUUCCUAUGACUCAAACUAGGAAGAGAAAUGUAGAAUAAGAUCCGUCUUCGAGAACCUCCGAGGGGCGUGUCACGCCCAAGAUGCGACCCUAUCGUCAAUUUGGCACGAAGGCCUCGUCGGGGAUAGAAGCGCAUCUCGUCGUGUCGCAAGAAUGGAUAUCGUUACAAGUACAUGUACUGAAAAGAAGAGAUAUAUUUAGAAUUGGCUUACACUCGCCACAAGCUACAUCAGAGUCACAUCAGUACAUUACAUAAACAUCAAGAGUAAGAGCAGGGUCCGACUACGGACGAAAACAAACGAGAAAAAUAAGAACGACGUCCAUCCUUGCUAUCCCAGGCUGCCGGCCUGGAACCCAUCCUAGAUCGAUGAAUAAGAAGAAGAAGAAGCAACUCCAAAUGAACAAUCAACGCGCUCGCGUCAAGUAACAUUUACUUGUACCUGCAACUGGUGUUGUACUAAUCUGUGAGCCACAGGGGACUCAGCAAUCUCAUUUCCAAAGGUAUCAAGACUAGCAAAGCUUAAUGGGUGAGGUAUGGUUAAGUGGUGAGGUCGCAGCAGCGGCUAAGCACAUAUUUGGUGGCUAAACUUACGAGUACAAGAAAUAAGAGGGGGAAGCUCUACGCGUAACGGACGUGAACUACUGAUGAUCAAAUGAAUGAUCCUCGACACCUACCUACGUCAGACAUAACCCCACCGUGUCCUCGAUCGGAGAAAAGAACUCAUGAAAGAGACAGUCACGGUUACGCACACAGUUGGCAUGUUUUAAUUAAGUUAACUUCAAGUUAUCUAGAACUAGUGUUAAACAAAGCUUCCACGUUGCCACAUAACCGCGGGCACGGCUUUCCGAAAGAUUUAACCCUGCAGGGGUGCUCCAACUAGUCCAUCACAAAUUACCACAAGCCGCAUAGAAAUCCUCAAUCACGAAGCUCGCGAUCUCGUCACAUUCCCUAGUGGAAAACCUCAACUCUGAGAUUACCCGAAGCAUCACCGGAAUCCCGAUGCACAAGAUAUCUCGUCAAAGGUAAAACUAAUCCAGCAAGGCCGCCCGGCGUGUCGACGAUCCCGAUAGGAGCCACGUAUCUCGUUCUCAGGACACGACGGAUGGAACUAGCUACGGGUGCCAAACCUCGAGUUUCCCCGUGGUGGCCCCGCAGGCAGACCGUUUGGGACCAACACCAUCAGCACUGGCCCCCCUGUUUAUGUAAAAUUACUCCUCGGGUUCAUGACGCCCUAUGCAUUUCAGUGUUAACAAAUUAUUAUGUUGGGAAAAUGUAGAACCAAUGUUGGGCCUUGUCGGACCAGCUUUAAUCUAAAACAAAUUAUCAAGGGGGUCCCCAUAACAACCCCGAUCGUGUUAGGAGCGCUCAUUUAUGGAACAUAACACCGGUAGCCGAAACUAAGGGGGCAAAGGUGGAACAAAACACCAGGCUAGAAAGGCCGAGCCUUCCACCUUUUACCAAGUAUAUAGGUGCAUUAAAUUAAAUAGCAUUAAAUAUGGUGAUAUAACAAGAACCCAUGUUAUCACAUGGAAGCAACUGCACCUGCAACUAGCAACACUAACACAGGGUUAAGCAAGCGGUAACAUAGCCAAUCAGUGGUUUGCUAGGUCGAACAGGUUGAAGGUAAUCAUGGCAUUGUUGAGAGGCUGAUAUUUAACAGGUGGUAGGCAACGAGACAUAAACGAUAGAAGCGAUAAAACUAGCAUGGCAAUGAUAGUAAUGGUAUCUGGGGAAAUGAUCAUCUUGCCUGAGAUCCCGCUUGGAAGAAGAAUGCCUCCGUGAAGCAGACGAACCGACGUAGUCGAACGGGUCCUCACAAUCCGGCAAGCGUGCGGAGCUCUAUCGAGACGAAGCAAACCGAAAACACAAAUCAUCACACGGAAUUCACCACACGAUGCACAACACAAAUGAUGCAUGAGCAGCUGGAUACAUGCAAGUCACGGCAUGACAAUUCACACAAUCAGACACUACACAUUAAGUGAAAUUCAAUAUGCAACGAGUAGCAUAUUGAUGAAACUCCACGUUAAUUAUUUAGUUCUAUCCCGAUUAGAUACACGGCAAUAUUAAAUGUGGUUAAACAAGGCACGGGGUGAAGCACAAAUUAAACUACAUAUCUAGGCAUUUUAAAUGAGGCCGGAAAUGACAUAUAGCAUCUCUGAAAUGACCCCACGUGUUAAAUUCUAAUUUUGUCCAGAUUUGUCCUCAUCACAUUUUAAAUUUGUUGAGCGUCGAAACAAAGUGGUUCACGUGAAACUACAUGUCGUUCUAGCCCAUUUACAUAUAUGGCUCAUCUCCAACGGAACUACGGAUAAAUAGCUAUGACCUAAACCGUUUUCAACACCUCGACACGCAAACCGAUGCAAACAACACGCUAACAGUUUUAAACGUGCAUGAGAGUUGAAAAAAAUAUUGAUCUACGUGAAAUUCUAUACGCUUUACAUAUCUAACUUAUUCCAAUCCGAAGCAUGGUUUGAAAUCUACGGGGGUUUGAAAACAAUACGCAAUUUUUCUGAAAUCUAGCAAAAUCCUAAUGCAGCAAAAAAAAGACAGGGGAAACAAUUAUGGGGCAAAGCUGGGAUCCAAACCCCAGACCCCUGCGUUGAAUCCAGGGCACUAACCAGUUGGUCUGGCUCCUGUUGUGUGAACUAACAGGGCCUCGAAGUUAAGUGAACCGAGGCAGAAACUAAUCCUAUGCAAAGGGUAAAAUUCAUGAAAAAUAGAAAUGAAUCCACGGGGACUUGAACCCACGAUCUCCUGGUCGAUUAGAGCAGCGCUACCCAACUCGGCUAUGCAUGUGCACGUGACACGAGUGCAGGGGAGAACAACAUAUACUAAAGAGGCGGAGGGACUCCUUCUGCACGAACACACACGGCCAGGCAGAAGCGUACAUGGCGGAUCUGGUGAGUCCUCACCUGCGGCUUCGGCGGCUGAACCUGGCGAGGCUUGAUGGGACUCCGGCGAGCAUCCAGGACGAGGGGAAAGGGGGAAUUUGAGCAUGGGAAUCCAUUCCCGGCGUCAGGAGCUUGAUUCGGUGGAGGAAACGCCGGUUCACAAGCUGCAAGCUCCAUGGCACAGCUUCCCUUGACAGAGGCGUAGAUGCUCGUGUGGACAGAGAGAGAGAGAUGAGGUGAGAGAGGGAAGAAGGAAGGGAGAAGGAGCAGGGGCGACCUGGGUGCCUGCCCGUCGGUGAAGCUCGCCGGCGGCUCACGGCGCGGCCCCCUGGGAGGCACGGGGGAGGGAGCUCGAGGACGAGGCCAUGCCCGCUCGUGCGCUCCAUUGACUAGUUGGGGACGGCCUCCUCGUGCGGCAUGCGGGCGACGGAUGCGUCCGGUGGCUCGCCUCGCAUGGAAGACGGGGUCGAGGCGCAGGGAGCUCUGGAUCGAGCUGCUUACGGGGUUGGCUGCAGACUGAAUCUGGGGAUCCCGAGGGGAAUUUUUUCCACUGGGUGGUGGCGGCUAUUGGACAGGGAGAGGAUUUCUAGGGAUUGGUCUAGGGUUAGACUAGGUGAUCCAUAUAUAUAAUAGGUGGGUUAGAUUAGGGGUUAUUUGGACCCUCCGAUUGAAAUGGGACGGUCGAAAAUUUUAGGUUAGAGAGUCCAAUGAACAAACCGAUGAUAGUUUGCGGUAAAACGGGGUUGAUCCGGACCCAACGGUCACGAUCGUCCGGUUCGGGUACCGGGAGGUUUUCGUACUGGGCCACGCGCAGGGUCGACGCAUUGUGCAGAGGGGCUUGGCAAAGAUGAGAGGGAAAACGGGCGACCCGACAACGUAUUUAAAAACAUCGACACACGUCCGACGGUAGACUGAAUAUGGUGCCGCUACGGUCGACCGUUCGGGUACCAGACGGACUCCGAUUGCGACGAAAUUCGACAGGAGGCCUAGCUAUAACUACUUACGACCGCAUACCAAGUUUCACCCCGAUCAGAGAAAGUUUUGCGCACAAUUUUAAAACAGGGUUCGAAUGAUGCCGCGGGCGUGUGCGUGUGCGGUCGGGCUCAGAACGGACAACGACGGGAACCGGCAACUAACAACGGAUGCAAGUUUUGAAAACUGGCGGCAACGGAGAUGCCGAUGCAAUGCAGAUGAUGCGCAUAAUGCGAUGAUGAUGCGACAAAUAAAAAUAGACACACGACGAAAAUGGAAAGAGAGGGGAAUCUUCUGGAACGCCGGCAUCGGGCUGUCACAACUCUCCUACACUAAAAGAGGAUCUCGCCCCGAGAUCCAAGAAUGAAAGGGGGAGAGGAUGAGAAAGAACAAGAGGUAACAACUUAGUCGCUUCUUUGACAAAUGAGUGACACCAACAAAGGUUGCAAAGAGAUGAGGACUGAUAUGAGGAAGAAGCAAGAAUUCACGGAAAAUUUCGGCAGCACUUCGGUAGGAAAAUGGGACAAAUUUUUUGAAAAGGUAGGAGAAAUAGACAAUAUUUAUAACAAACAACUAAGUAGAGCAAGGGAACACCAUGAUCUUGAUAGAACAACAAGAUUGACCCAAAAGAGCAACAUCACAAUGCCUUCAGAACAAUAGAAUAGGAACUAGCUCAUACGGAAGAAGAGAAUGAAGAGAAACAUGACAAAUACUAUCUACAAUGAACUUGGCAAGCAGCCUUGCACGAAGAAUUGAACGGAGUUGUUGGAAAAAACAACAACGAAAAGAACAAGAUAGUAGUGGGCUUAUGAACACCUUUCAAACUAAUGAAGUGACAACCAGCCACUAAUAGAAACAAGAUUGGUUGAAAGCAAGAUAUGAAAGCUUCUUACACCAAGACGAUACAUUGAGUACUUGGAUUAAUGACAAGCACCAUGAUAGCACAAUCCAUAGGAAAAGCUUUAGGUGAAAUCCAAACCAAGAUAGCUCAAUGAAGAAAUCAUGGGUUAAGAAUAAUCUCAUGAUCAAAGGAUUGGUGGAUUUAAUUAUCUCAUUCUUGAAAGGAAUUCUCUUCGAGACUCCUACACUAACAAGAAUGCUAUAAUACCACCUCAAAGGAUAAAGGAAGAACAAUUGCACAUAUAAAUGCAAGAGGAAGGAUACUUGAGGUUCUCCAACAAGAAUCUUGAAGAACACUUUGAGAAUGAAUUGAAACCUUGAAGAACCACCAUGAAGGACCUCCGUAUGAAUGAUGCAACGAUAUGAAGGUAGAAAAGAAUAAGAUUAUGACCUUGCCAAGAUUUAGAUGAAGCAUCACAAAGAGAUACUUAAAAGAACUUAGAACUCCGGAAAAGAAAGAUAAGCACCUGAGAAAGGAAUCGAUAUCAAGAGCCACUCCGGAAGAAGAAUUCAGAUUACUAUGAACAGGAAUAAGAAUUAUGUUAUGCUUAUCCUUCAUCAAGUUUUAUUGAUGACAAGCAAAGGAUUUAGCAUACAACUUAUUCCGCUUGAAAGAAUCUUAAAAGAGAUAGAGAGAUAAGCACCACUUGAAGCAUAAUUGAAGGAAGCACCGGUAAGAAUUCACAUUUGAAUGGGGAUACCAAGAAUGAAUGGAGAUACAUGAGAUUGAAGAGAUCAUGAUCCACCAGAAAUAAAACUUGAACAAGGCACCGGAUAAUCGAGAGACGAACGAAGAGACAAUAAUUGAGAAGAAUUGAGGAUGAAAGCUGAAAGCUGAGAACGAAGAAUCUUCUAAAAUGAUGGCCUUCGGAGGAAUGAGAAAUAAAAACAACUCAGAGAAGCACCGGAUAGCACGAAAGGGAUUACUCAUGAUUGACAACAAAUGAGAGGAUACACGAAGCUGAGAUGACAGUCUUCACAAGAAUGGAACAAGACUGAGAGAAACACUCCUUAGAAUUUGCAAGCUGAGAAUGAUGACGAGAACAACACCAAGAAUUAAUGAGACACUCCGGAAUAAGAACAAAGAAAAAUUUAACCAAUGACGACAAAUAAAUUAAAAGCAAUCUUGAAGAAGGAAUAUGACUGAUGAAAUUCAUACUUACGUCAUAGUUGAAAUGAAUUAAUGAUCUUUGGGAAAAGAUUAAAAGAGCCAGGAAAGAUCCUGGGAAGGAACCUAUGGGUUAUGGGCCCACUCAAAGAAACCAUCGUUGAAAAGAUUGCUAGAACGAGAGAUAUUGCACCAGUAUGAAGAGAACUAUAUGAGGUUAGCACCUCGAAAUAAUUAUAGAAUUGAGAACAAGAAACUUCUGGGAUAACUUCAACACUCCGGGUAGAAUAGAGAGAAAUGACAACAAGACGAUAAACUGAUAAAAAUUUCCAACAUAGGAAAGAAUUACAAGGACGAAUAGGAUACAAUGAACACGGAUAAUUGCAUUGAAUUCACCGGAAAGGAUAACACGACUGAAUAAGGAUGAACACGAAGCUCCUGAGAAUCUUCACAAUGAAUCACCGGGUAAGAGAGAAAAGAACAGACAACGGAAGCACCAUGAAAAGAAAACUCUUGGAUGAAAUCCAAUCACUGAAGAAAAGGGUGGGAGGGCGGGGAAAAACAAAGACGACUUAAGACAGAUGAGAUAACUCCGGAAUAAAAUGAGAGAAUGCUCUUGCAAAAAAAUGGAGAGGAUUGAAUCCACCUGUAGAGAAACACACCGGUUGGAAAAGAAUUAACAUGACGACUCCGGUUGACAAGAAUGAUAAGACAAUUGAUUAAGCAAAAGUAUUAGCAUUCACAUAAAAAUAUGAGAACACCUCUUGGAAAGGUCUGAAAUCACCACUUGACAUCGAAGCAACUCGAAUUACCAUAGUUCAACAAAACAAAGGGUGAGGAUUUGUUGGAAGAUUCUCCUAUAAGCAACUACUUGAAUUCCCACCUAAGAAUUCCCCAAAUAUCUGGUCAUGCAAUCUGGUACACGGAUACAAGGAGUAAUAAUCACACAACUCCUAUACUAACCCGUCACCUGUAUCACAUCCGUCAACACACAACCAGAAUCUCGGACCUUCAUCUACUACAGACCCUCGUGAUCACAACGAUACAAAGUAUGGCAGUACUCCCGAACAAUCUGCACCAGUACUGGGGACAUCGGGGUUAUCUCGCCACUACUAGUAUUGAAGCAAUUACGAACAUCCUUCGUUCUGAGAUACUAUGAAAUCAGAAUGAUAACGAUGUGCUCAAGAAUCCCCUGGAGCUCAACUCCCCAGAAGAAAAUCAAGUCAGACAGGAGGCACCAAGACAGAACUCCGUCACAUCGGCAUCAUAUAGAUCUCAAAAAUAUCCACGUGAUCCUAAAAAUUUUUGAGUGAGAAGAGGAGUAGAAUUAAAUUAUUACGUCAAGAUUCCUCACCAGAGCAUAGAAGAGGAGAAAAAAGAAUCCUACUCUCCGAUAUAUAACUAGACUCAAAGUAGUUUUUCACUAGACUCGACUCGGCCAAGUUCGAUCAAUCAAGGGGGCUCCUAGGUCGGUACUGCUCUGAUACCAACUUGUCACGCUCAAGAUGCGACCCUAUCCUCAAUUUGGCACGAAGGCCUAGUCAGGGAUAGAAGCGCAUCUCGUCGUGUCGCAAGAAUGGAUAUCGUUACAAGUAGAUGUACUGAAAAGAAGAGAUAUAUUUAGAAUUGGCUUACACUCGCCACAAGCUACAUCAGAGUCACAUCAGUACAUUACAUAAACAUCAAGAGUAAGAGCAGGGUCCAACUACGGACGAAAACAAACAAGAAAAAUAAGAACGACGUCCAUCCUUGCUAUCCCAGGCUGCCGGCCUGGAACCUAUCCUAGAUCGAUGAAGAAGAAGAAGACGAAGCAACUCCAAAUGAACAAUCAACGCGCUCGCGUCAAGGAACAUUUACCUGUACCUGCAACUGGUGUUGUAGUAAUCCGUGAGCCACAGGGGACUCAGCAAUCUCAUUUCCAAAGGUAUCAAGACUAUCAAAGCUUAAUGGGUGAGGUAUGGUUAAGUGGUGAGGUUGCAGCAGCGGCUAACCACAUAUUUGGUGGCUAAACUUACGAGUACAAGAAAUAAGAGGGGGAAGCUCUACGCGUAACUGACGUGAACUACUGAUGAUCAAAUGAAUGAUCCUGAACACCUACCUACGUCAGACAUAACCCCACCGUGUCCUCGAUCGGAGAAAAGAACUCACGAAAGAGACAGUCACGGUUACGCACACAGUUGGCAUCUUUUAAUUAAGUUAACUUCAAGUUAUCUAGAACCAGUGUUAAACAAAGCUUCCCCGUUGCCACAUAACCGCGGGCACGGCUUUCCGAAAGAUUUAACACUGCAGGGGUGCUCCAACUAGUCCAUCACAAAUUACCACAAGCCGCAUAGAAAUCCUCAAUCACGAAGCUCGCGAUCUCGUCGGAUUCCCUAGUGGAAAACCUCAACUCUGAGAUUACCCAAAGCAUCACUGGAAUCCCGAUGCACAAGAUAUCUCGUCAAAGGUAAAAUUAAUCCAACAAGGCCGCCCGGCGUGUCGACGAUCCCGAUAGGAGCCGCGUAUCUCGUUCUCAGGACACGACAGAUGGAACUAGCUACGGGUGCCAAACCUUGAGUUUCCCCGUGGUGGCCCCGCAGGCAGACCGUUUGGGACCAACACCAUCAGCACUGGCCCCCCUGUUUAUGUAAAAUUACUCCUCGGAUUCAUGACGCCCUAUGCAUUUCAGUGUUAACAAAUUAUUAUGUUGGACAAAUGUAGAACCAAUGUUGGGCCUUGCCGGACCAUCUUUAAUCUAAAAAGAAUUAUCAAGGGGGUCCCCAUAACAACCCCGAUCGUGUUAGGAGCGCUCAUUUAUGGAACGUAACCCCGGUAGCCGAAACUAAGGGGGCAAAGGUGGAACAAAACACCAGGCUAGAAAGGCCGAGCCUUCCACCUUUUACCAAGUAUAUAGGUGCAUUAAAUUAAAUAGAAUUAAAUAUGGUGAUAUAACAAGAACCCAUGUUAUCACAUGGAAGCAACUACACGUGCAACUAGCAACGCUAACACAGGGUUAAGCAAGCGGUAACAUAGCCAAUCAGUGGUUUGCUAGGUCGAACAGGUUGAAGGUAAUCAUGGCAUUGUUGAGAGGCUGAUAUUUAACAGGUGGUAGGCAACGAGACAUAAACGAUAGAAGCGAUAAAACUAGCAUGGCAAUGAUAGUAAUGGUAUCUGGGGAAAUGAUCAUCUUGCCUGAGAUCCCGCUUGGAAGAAGAAUGCCUCCCUGAAGCAGACGAACCGACGUAGUCGAACGGGUCCUCACAAUCCGGCAAGCGUGCGGAGCUCUAUCGAGACGAAGCAAACCGAAAACACAAAUCAUCACACGGAAUUCACCACACGAUGCACAACACAAAUGAUGCAUGAGCAGCUGGAUACAUGCAAGUCACGGCAUGACAAUUCACACAAUCAGACACUACACAUUAAGUGAAAUUCAAUAUGCAACGAGUAGCAUAUUGAUGAAACUCCACGUUAAUUAUUUAGUUCUAUCCCGAUUAGAUACACGGCAAUAUUAAAUGUGGUUAAACAAGGCACGGGGUGAAGCACAAAUUAAACUACUUAUCUAGGCAUUUUAAAUGAGGCCGGAAAUGACAUAUAGCAUCUCAGAAAUGACCCCACGUGUUAAAUUCUAAUUAUGUCCAGAUUUGUCCUUAUCACAUUUUAAAUUUGUUCACCGUCGAAACAAAGUGGUUCACGUGAAACUACAUGUCGUUCUAGCCCAUUUACAUAUAUGGCUCAUCUCCAACGGAGCUACGGAUAAAUAGCUAUGACCUAAACCGUUUUCAACACGUCGACACGCAAACCGAUGCAAACAACACGCUAACAGUUUUAAACGUGCAUGAGUGUUAAAAAAAUAUUAAUCUAUGUGAAAUUCGAUACGCUUUACAUAUCUAACUUAUUCCGAUCCGCCGCAUGGUUUGAAAUCUACGGGGGUUUGAAAACAAUACGCAAUUUUUCUGAAAUCUAGCAAAAUCCUAAUGCAGCAAAAAAAAGACAGGGGAAACAAUUAUGGGGCAAAGCUGGGAUACCAACCCCAGACCCCUGCGUUGAAUCCAGGGCACUAACCAGUUGGUCUGGCUCCUGUUGUGUGAACUAACAGGGCCUCGAAGUUAAGUGAACCGAGGCAGAAACUAAUCCUAUGCAAAGGGUAAAAUUCGUGAAAAAUAGAAAUGAAUCCACAGGGACUUGAACCCACGAUCUCCUGGUCGAUUAGAGCAGCGCUACCCAAUUCGGCUAUGCAUGUGCACGUGACAUGAGUUCAGGGGAGAACAACAUAUACUAAAGAGGCGGCGGGACUCCUUCUGCACGAACACACACGGCCAGGCAGAAGCGCACAUGGCGUAUCUGGUGAGUCCUCACCUGCGCCUUCAGCGGCUGAACCUGGUGAGGCUUGAUGGGACUCCGGCGAGCAUCCAGGACGAGGGGGAAAGGGGGGAUCUGAGCAUGGGAAUCCAUUCCCGGCGUCGGGAGCUUGAUUCGGUGGAGGAAACGCCGGUUCACAAGCUGCAAGCUCCAUGGCACAGCUUCCCUUGACAGAGGCGUAGAUGCUCGUGUGGACAGAGAGAGAGAGAUGAGGUGAGAGAGGGAAGAAGGAAGGGAGAAGGAGCAAGGCGACUUGGGUGCCUGCCCGUCGGUGAAGCUCGCCGGCAGCUCACGGCGCGGCCCCCUAGGAGGCACGGGGAAGGGAGCUCAGGGACGAGGCCAUGCCCGCUCCUGCGCUCCAUUGACUAGUUGGGGACGGCCUCCUCGUUCGGCAUGCGGGCGACGGAUGCGUCCGGCGGCUCGGCUCACGUGGAAGACGGGGUCAAGGCGCAGGGAGCUCUGGAUCGAGCUGCUUACGGGGUUGGCUGCAGACUGAAUCUGGGGAUCCCGAGGGGAAUUUUUUCCACUGGGUGGUGGUGGCUAUUGGACAGGGAGAGGAUUUCUAGGGAUUUGUCUAGGGUUAGACUAGGUGAUCUAUAUAUAUAAUAGGUGGGUUAGAUUAGGGGUUAUUUGGACCCUCCGAUUGAAAUCGGACGGUCGAAAAUAUUAGGUUAGAGAGUCCAAUGAACAAACCGAUGAUAGUUUGCGGUAAAACGGGGUUGAUCCGGACCCAACGGUCACGAUCGUCCGGUUCGGGUACCGGGAGGUUUUCGGACUGGGCCCCGCGCACGGUCGACGCAUUGUGCAGAGGGGCUGGGCCAAGAUGAGAGGGAAAACGGGCGACCCGCCAACGUAUUUAAAAAACAUCGACACACGUCCGAAGGUAGACAGAAUAACGUGCCGCUACGGUCGACCGUUCGGGUACCAGACGGACUCCGAUAGCGACGAAAUUCGACAGGUGGUCUAGCUAUAACUACUUACGACCGCAUACCAAGUUUCACCCCGAUCAGAGAAAGUUUUGCGCACAAUUUUAAAACAGGGUUCAAACGAUGCCGCGGGCGCGUGCGUGUGCGGUCGGGCUCAGAACGGACAACGACGGGAACCGGCAACUAACAACGGAUGCAAGUUUUGAANUUCGGGUACCGGGAGGUUUUCGAACUGGGCCGCGCGCACGGUCGACGCAUUGUGCAGAGGGGCUAGGCGAAGAUGAGAGGGAAAACGGGCGACCCGGCAACGUAUUUAAAAAACAUCGACACACGUCCGAUGGUAGACCGAAUACCGUGCCGCUACGGUCGACCGUUCGGGUACCAGACGGACUCCGAUCGCGACGAAAUUCGACAGGCGGACUAGCUAUAACUACUUACGACCGCAUACCAAGUUUCACCCCGAUCAGAGAAAGUUUUGCGCACAAUUUUAAAACAGGGUUCAAACGAUGCCGCGGGCGCGUGCGUGUGCGGUCGGGCUCAGAACGGACAACGACGGGAACCGGCAACUAACAACGGAUGCAAGUUUUGAAAACUGGCGGCAACGGAGAUGCCGAUGCAAUGCAGAUGAUGCGCAUGAUGCGAUGAUGAUGCAACAAAUAAAAAUAGACACACAACGAAAACGGAAAGAGAGGGGAAUCUACUGGAACGCCGGAUUGGGCUGUCACAGGGCGUCGAGUCAUCUUGUGCCUAGAAGAGAAUAUUCUGAAAUACUCAGGACACAAGAUUAGUCCGCACAACAAUUGUCAUCAAUCACUAAAACCACUUAGGAGAAAUAUGCCCUAACAACGCUUUUAGAGGAAACUAUGUUCCUAGGCCUUUUCCUAGUAACUCCUCUAAUAACUUUGGCAACUCCUACAACAAUACGCAUGGAAAUUACAAUAGAUUACCCUCUGAUCUAGAGAGUAAUAUCAAAGAGUUCAUCAACUCUCAAAAGAUUUUGUAUGCGUCCAUAGAGGAAAAACUACUCAAAAUUGACAAUUUGGCUAAGAGCGUUGAUAGGAUUUCUUGUGAUGUUGAUGCUUUGAAAGUUAGAUGUGCUCCUCCCAAAAUCAACAUGGAUGAAACUUUGAAAGCUAUGCGUGUUUCCAUGAUUGAGAGCCAAGAAAGAACCGCCCAAAUUCGUGCUAGACAUGAAUGGUUUAAAAAGGCUUGUUCUCGUGAUGAGAAUCAUGAAGAUCUUAAAGUGCUUGGUGUGACUCCCAUUGAUCUUUGUUUUCUUGUGUCAAACCUCAUGAUUAUGGGGCUGGAUAUGAAUCCACUUUGGUUGAAAAGUGCCCCAAUGAUUCAGAGUCCAUCUAUCUUGAUGCUAAAAGCAUUAAAAGUGGAGUAUAAGACGUUAAAACUUCGAGUAGUAAUGAAAUUACUACCGUUGAUUUCAAGUAAUUCAAUUAUGAUAGUUGCUCCUUGAUUGAAUGCAUUUCUUUGAUGCAAUCCAUGUUGAACUCUCCACACGCUUAUAGUCAAAACAAAGCCUUUACCAAUCAUAUCGUCGAAGCUAUGAUAAAAGCUCUUGAAGAGAAACUUGAAUUAGAAGUCUCUAUCCCUAGAAAGCUUCAUGAUGAGUGGGAACCUACCAUCGAAAUCAAAAUCAAAAACUAUGAGUGCAAUGCUUUGUGUGAUUUGGGUGCUAGUGUUUCUGCGAUUCCAAAGUCUUUAUGUGAUGUUCUCGGUUUUAAUGAGAUUGAAGAGUGUUCUCUUAAUUUGCAUCUUGCUGAUUCUACUAUCAAGAAACCCAUGGGAAGGAUCAAUGAUGUUCUUAUUAUUGCAAAUAGGAACUAUGUACAUGUGAAUUUAAUUGUGCUUGACAUUGAUUGCAAUCCUACAUGCCCUAUUAUUCUUGGUAGACCUUUCCUAAGGACUAUUGGUGCUAUCAUCGAUAUGAAGGAAGGGAAUAUUAGAUUUCAAUUUCCUUUAAGGAAGGGCAUCGAACACUUUCCUAGAAAGAUAAUAAGAUUGCCUUAUGAAUCCAUGAUGAGGGCCACUUAUGGUUUGAGCACCAAAGACGACGAUACGUGAUUCUAUCGCUCCUAUGCCUAGCUAAGGGCGUUAAACAAUAGCGCUUGUUGCGAGGCAACCCAAUGAAUUUACCUUUUUCUUUCUGUUUUGUUGCGUCCACACUUUCAUAAUUCUGUUGUGAUUGUGUUUUUUGUGUUUCUUUUUGUGUUUGAGCCAAGCAAAACCUUUAUGAUAGCAUGGGUGAUGGUUGUUUGAUCCUGCUGGAAAAAGAAAGAAACUUUUCGCUCACGAGAUGAUUUUUCAUUUUUAUUCUGGAAGAGCUUUUGAGUUGAUUCAUUUUGCUGCUAGUUGAUAUGCUUUUUCCCCAGGCCGUCGUAAUGUUUCAGAUUUUUUGAGGUACCAGAAGUAUACGAAGUAUACAAAUUGCUACAUACUGGUCUGUUUUUGACAGAUUAUGUUUUUGUUGAGUUGGUUGCUUGUUUUGAUGAAACUAUGGUUAGUAUCGGGGGGUACUAGCCAUGGAAAAGUGAGAAUACAGUAGCCCAUCAUCAAUAUAGAUGGAAUUCAAGUUUGCUACAGUACCAAAAGAAGUGGUAGUUUGUUUUCUUGUACUAAUGUUAUCACAAGUUUCUGUUUAAGUUUUGUAUUGUGAAGUUUUCAAGUUUCGGGUGACGUUCUCAUGAACAAAGAGAUAAGGAGUGGAAAGAGCUCAAGCUUGGGGAUGCCCAAGGCAUCCCAAGCCAAAUUCAAGGACGCCAAAAAGCCUAAGCUUGGGGAUUCCCCGGGAAGGCAUCCCCUCUUUCGUCUUCAAUCCAUCGGUAACAUUACUUGGAGCUAUAUUUUUAUUCACCACAUGAUAUGUGUUUUGCUUGGAGCAUCUUGUAUCCUUAGGAGUCUUUUCUUUUUGUUGUGUCACAAUCAUCCUUGAUGCACACCUUUUUGAGAGAGAGAGACAUGCACUCAUCGUGAUUUUGCUAGAAUGCUCAUAGUGCUUCACUUAUAUCUUUUGAGCUAGAUACUUUUGCUCAAGUGCUUCACUUAUAUCUUUUGAGCUAGAUACUUUUGCUCAUAGUGUUUCACUUAUAUCUUUUGAGCUAGAUACUUUUGCUCUAGUGCUUCACUUAUAUCUUUUGAGCCAGAUACUUUUGCUCUUGUGCUUCACUUAUAUCUUUAGAGCACGGUGGUGUGUGAUUUGGUAGUUGGCUUAUGCUAUGAAACUAGUCCCAAAUGUGAUAUGUACCCAAAGAGGAUGCAAAAACCUCCAUAUUCAUGUGCAUUGAGUAGAAAGAGAAGUUUGGAUUCCUCUCAGUUAGUUUUGAGACGUGGAUUCGGUAAUAUUGAGAGUUAUGUUAGUAUGGUGUUGUGAAUCUAGUGAUACUUGUGUUGGAGUUAGUGAUUCCCGUAGCAUGCAUGUAUGGGGAACCGCUAUGUUAGGAAGUCGGAGCAUAACUGAUCUAUUGAUUGUCAUCCUUUGUGUUGAGAUCGGAUCGUGCGAUGGUUUAUACCUACCAACCCUCCCCUCGGAGUAUGCGUUUAGCACUUUGUUUCGAUUACUAAUAAAAACUUUUGCAACAAGUAUGUGAGUUCUUUAUGACUAAUGUGAGCCCAUGGUAUAGAUGCACUUUCACCUUCCACCAUUGCUAGCCUCUCUAGUGCCGCGCAAUUCUCGCCGGUGCACAAACCCACCAAAUUCCUUCCUCAAAACAUCCACCAUACCUACCUACUAUGGCAUUUUCAUAGCCAUUCUGAGAUAUAUUGCCAUGCAACUCCCACCGUUCUGUUUCAUGACUUGUGCUGUCACUCUCAUAUUGCCAUUGCAUGAUCGAAGAUAGCUAGCGAGAUGUUUUAACAUCAUACGCCAUGCUUGAUCUUAGCACAUCCCGGUACAGUGCCGGAGGCAUUUCCUAUGGAGUCAUCAUCAUUGUGAUCUUUGAGCUUUGAGUAACUAAAAAGUAUGAUGACCAUCAUUAUUAGAGCAUUGUCCCAUGUGAGGAAAUAAAAAAAGAGGCCAAAGAGCCCAAAAACAAAACAAAANNNNNNNNNNNNNNNNNNNNNNNNNNNNNNNNNGGCCUAAGAGCCCAAAAAAGAGAAAUGAGAGAAAAAGAGAGAAGGGACAAUGCUACUAUUUUUUCCACACUUGUGCUUCAUGUUAGCACCAUGUUCUUCAUGAUUGAGAGCUUCUUGCUUUGUCACUACCAUAUGCUAGUGGGAAUAUUUGUUUUAUAACUUGGCUUGUAUACUCCAAUGAUGGGCUUCCUCAAAAUUGCCCUAGGUCUUCGUGAGGAAGCAAGUUGGAUGCACACCCACUAGUUUUCCUCUUGAGCUUUCACAUACUUAUAGCUCUAGUGCAUCUCUUGUAUGGAAACCCCUACUCAUUCACAUUGAUAUCAAUUAAUGGGCAUCUUCAUAGCCUAUUGAUACGCCGAGUCAGUGUGACCAUCUCCUCCUUUUUGUCUCACAACCACCACGACACUCUAUUCCACCUAUAGUGUUAUAUCCAUGGCUCGCGCUCAUGUAUUGCGUGAUAGUUAUAAAAAGUUUGAGAAAGUAAGAGCGCGAAAACAAUUACUUGGCCAAUUCCGGGGUUGUGCAUGAUUUACAUUAGUUGUGUGAGGAUGACGGAGCAUAGCCACACUAUAUGAUUUUGUAGGGAUAACUUUCUUUGGCCUUGUUAUUUUGAAAGUUCAUGAUUACCUUGGUAGUUUGCUUGAAGUAUUAUUGUUUUCAUGUCAAUAGCACACUAUUGUUUUGAAUCUUACGGAUCUGAACAUUCAUGCCAUGUGAAAUAAGUUGCAAAGGACAACUAUGCUAGGUAGCAUUCCACAUCAAAUAAUUCAUUCUUUAUCACUUCCCUACUCGAGGACGAGUAGGAGUUAAGCUUGGGGAUGCUUGAUACGUCUCCAACGUAUCUAUAAUUUUUUAUGGUUUCAUGCCAUUAUCUUGUCAAACUUUGGACGUUUUGCAUUACUUUUAAUUUAUUUUCUGGGACUAACUUAUUAACUCAGUGCCAAGUGUCAGUUCCUGUUUUUUCCAUGCUUUUGACCCCUUUCAGAGGAGAUUUUGAAACGGAGUCCAAACGAAAGAAAAUCCCCGAAAAGAUUCUUUUUUGGAACGGAAGAAUAUCGGAGAACUUGGGAGCCAAGCCAGAGGAGCGCCAAGGGCCCCACAAGCCCCCACCCCGCGGCUAGGGGGGCCGCGCCAUCGAGGCUUGUGGGCCCCCUGGAGGUCCCCUGGCCUAGAUCUUGUGCCUAUAUAUUCCCUAAUAUUCCCAAAAAAUCAAGAGACGGUCGCAAUCGCUUUUCUGCCGCCGCAAGCUUCUGUCUCCGCAAGAUCCCAUCUGGGGCACGUCCUGGUGCCCUGCCGGAGGGGGGAUUUGGACACGGAGGGCUUCUUCAUCAACACCAUGACCUCUCCGAUGAUGCGUGAGUAGUUCACCAUAGACCUACGGGUCCAUACCCAGUAACUAGAUGGCUUCUUCUCUCUCUUGGAUCUUCAAUACAAAGUUCUCCAUGAUCUUCAUGGAGAUCUAUCCGAUGUAAUCUUCUUUUGCGGUGUGUUUGUCGAGAUCCGAUGAAUUCUGGAUUUAUAAUCAGAUUAUCCAUGAAUCUUAUUUGAGUUUCUUAUGAUCUCUCUUAUGCAUGAUUUCAUAUCCUUGUAAUUCUCUUCGAGUUGUGGGUUUUGUCUGGCCAACUAGAUCUAUGAUUCUUGCAAUGGGAGAAGUGCUUGGUUUUGGGUUCAUAGCAUGCGGUGACCUCACCCAGUGACAGAAGGGGUAGUGAGGCACGCAUCGUGUUGUUGCCAUCAAGGGUAAAAAGAUGGGGUUUUCAUCAUUGGUUUGAGAUUAUCCCUCUACAUCAUGUCAUCUUGCUUAAAGCGUUACUCUGUUUGUCAUGAACUCAAUACACUAGAUGCAUGCUGGAUAGCGGUCGAUGUGUGGAGUAAUAGUAGUAGAUGCAGAAAGUAUCGGUCUACUUGUCUCAGACAUGAUGCCUAUAUGCAUGAUCAUUGCCUUAGAUAUCGUCAUGACUUUGCGCGGUUCUAUCAAUUGCUCGACAGUAAUUUCUUCUCCCACCGUGAUAUUUGCUAUUAUGAGAGAAGCUUCUAGUGAACACUAUGGGCCCCAGGGUCUACUCCACACCAUAUUUUUAGCCUUACACUUUUUACUUCAUUGCACUUUCCGCCUUCAGAUCUCACUUUGCAAACAAUCUUGAAGGGAUUGAAAACCCCUUUGAAGCGUUGGGUGCAAUCUUGUUUGUGUUUGCGCAGGUACUUUGGACUUGACGAGGCCCUCCUUCUAGAUCGAUACAUUGGUUCUCAAACUGAGGGAAAUACUUACUGCUCCUGUGCUGCAUCACCCUUUCCUCUUCAAGGGAAAAACCGACGCAAACCAGAGAAGUAACAAGAAGAAUUCCUAAGCACCAGGGAAGGACUUUUGUUGCCGUAGCACACAACCGCCCAACUACCACCCAACAACCGGACUAAAAUAGAAGGUUGGCCAGUUGUUCCACCUGCCACUGCUACUGGGCACGUCUAAGUCCCAAGCGGUACAACCGCUAAGAACACCGGUAGUACCGGCUAUACUAAUAUAGCGGUACAACCGGGCCACCACCGCCCAACCACAGCAACACAACAAAACUGUGUAUGGUUGUGGACUGGUGCUGGGCCGGUUGAACCGCCAAUGAGGUGAGCGGUACAACCGCCCUAGGUAGUGGUACAACCGUUGGAAGAAAACAGGAAAGACCAGAACUGCCAUAACUUUCGUAUACGAGCUCCGAAUUGAGCAAACUCAAGCUUGUUGGAUUCAGGACGACAAGAGCUAUCCAACAACAGGAAAACUUAAGAACAUGCAGUUAUGGAAAUGUCAAUCAUAUAGAGAUGUCAAUCCUCUAUGAAUGAAGAAUCGGCAAAGACUCUAACAUUCAAAACAUCAUAGAAGAUGCACAUGAACUCCGUUUUCGCCCCCCCCCCCCCCGUCAUAAAGAUGACCAUAAGCUCUAAUACUCAAAAAGAGAAACACCAAACAAUAACCAAGAAAUAUGAUGCAAGGAUGCAAAUGGUUUGAGCUCUCAACGAACGAUGUCAUCAAGCUACUCACUUGAGAGUCCCCCUUGACAGUACGACAAUCUAUCCUAAAAUAGAAAAAACUAUCAAGGACAAACCUAUACCUUGCACCUAGUCCACUUGAGCUAGAUGCUGAUGAUCUUGACUUACUCAAUAUGGACCACCUUUAUUGAUUGUGUUAGCUUGAUGAAGACUAGUUGAUUGCUCCCCCAUACUCACUAUGGGUGAGCCACUCUUCAGCACAUCUUCACAAGUCCAUUGCCACCACAAUGGACGGCAAGCUUCAAGCAUGAUAUCUUCGUGAUGCUCCACUUGAUCUUGCACACCGCAAUCUUGAUGACGAUCACCACCUGAUGUCAUCCUUCAUGGGUUGAAUGAGAUCUUCCUCUUGACCCAAGCCCAUGGAAACACACCUAACCCAAGAUAGAACUCUCACGAAGACCAUGGGUUAGUACACAAAAGCAUAAUGGACAAUUCUUACCAUACCAUAGGAUCACUUGAUCCCUCUCGGUACAUCUUGUACGCUUUGUGUGUUGAUCAACUUGAUUUACUCUUUGUCGUAGUAUUGGUCAACCUUGUGUACUUAUGACCAUUCUUUGGAUAAUUCCUUGAAUACCACAUUGGUCAUCAUAUAAACUCCUUGAAACCAACAGAUGGACUUCAAGAAGUGCAUAUGGACAAAUCCUGAAAGGAUCGAUAUGGUUGACUAGAGCGGGGCUGAAUAAGCAACUACCACUUUUUAACUAUUCUUAACAAGUUAGGGUUAGCAACAUAAAGGUUCUCUAAAAUUACAACUAGGUGACUAACAUAUAUGAUGCUACCAACUAUAAUCGCUAAGGCAAGUAAGAAAUAGUCUACAACAAUAACAUACACAAUGUAAAGAUUAGAGAUAACCACAAGUGGAACCAAUGAAGACGAGGAUGUGUUACCGAAGUUCCUUCCCUUUGACAGGAAGUACGUCUCCGUUGGAGCGGUGUGGAGGCACAAUGCUCCCCAAUAAGCCACUAGGGCCAUCGUAUUCUCCUCACGCCCUCACACAAUACAAGGUGUCGUGAUUCCACUAUGGGUGCUCUUGAAGGCGGCGACCGAACCUUUACAAACAAGGUUGGGGCUAACUCCACACAAAGCUUGGAGGCUCCCAACAAGACCACGGAGCUUCACCACAAUGGAAUGUGGCUCCGAGGUGACCUCAACCGACUAGGGUGCUCAAACACCAAGAGUAACAAGAUCCGCAAGGGAUUAGUGGGGGGAAUCAAUUUUCUUUUGCUGGAAGUGUAGAUCUAGGCCUUCUCAACCAAUCCCUAGGAAAUCAACAAGUUUGAUUGGCUAGGGAGAGAGAUCGGGCACUUUUGAGCUUAGGGAGCAACAAUGGAGCUUGGGAGGGUCAAAGGUAGAGUUCUUGAGAAAGAAGAACCCUUUAUAUAGUGGGGGAAAGAAUCCAACCGUUUUCCUCACUCACAGCAUGAGCCCAACGGUACUACCACUGGCUGCAGCGGUACUACCCCUGACCCUCCAGCGGUACUACCGCUGGCCGUAGUGAUACUACCGUUGAGCCCAUGGUAGCGCAAAGAUACUACCGGGCCAACCAACGCCAAGAAAAUCUUCGCAAAAAGUCCGACGUAGUACAGCCGCAAGGAUGACGGUACCGAAGUCCUGGAGCGGUACUACCGCUGACCAUGGGCGGUACUACCGCUGGGCCAGCGGUACUACCGCCAGCUCCAGCGGUACUACCGCUAGGGCCAGUGGUACUACCGAUAGCUCCAGCGGUACUACCGUCAGCUCCAGCAGUACUACCGCUAGGUCCAGCGGUACUACCGACACAGGACAUUUUUGCAAGAAGAGAAAGACCAGAGAGGGGAAAAGCUCCAUAGUUGCAAGGGAAAGGAGAUGGAGAAAAAGUGUGUGCUUGCAAGAUUGAUUCCACCCGAACCUUCCCAAUACGGAUCCCCUCUUAAUAGUAUGGCGUUCCUACGACUCAAAACCACCAAAGAGAAUCAUAGAAGACACCGUGCUUCUAUUCCACGGAGGGUGCCGAAUAGUCUUGUGCCUUUGUCAUGUAUUAUCUGAAAUGCUCAAUGCACACGAUUAGUCCACUAAGGUACUGUCAUCAAUCACCAAAAUUACUUAGGCAUAAAUAUGCCCUAACAAUCUCCCCCUUUUUGGUGGAUUGAUGACAAUACCGGAUUUGCACAGUAGAAAGUAUGUGAGCGUAAAGAUAAUUUAAUAGAGAUAAUUGAAGAGCAUAUGACUCACAGCAUAUGAUUAAAAUAGGUCUCACAAUAAAAACAAGUCUCACAUCACACCUAGUAAAGAUAGCAAAUACGAUCAAACCAAGUUCAAAGCAAACACAAUAAAGAUAAAACAAGCAAAUCCAACUCCUAGACUCUCUCCCCCUUUGGCAUCAAGACAUCAAAAAGGGGCACACCUAAGACACAGGUGGUCACUCCUCAUCCUCAGACACAUCUGUGGCAUCUGGAUCCUGCUCGUCUUGCCCCUCCUCAAUGUCCUCGUCAGAAACCACCUCCUCAGCAUCAGACCCGUUCCACUGGUAACCUUGAGCCCUCAUCCAGCCAGUCUCUGGAGUGAUGCCGUCCUCUGAGCCGCUCGAGAUUGCCACAUCAAGUGUCCUUAAGACACGCUUGUGCCUCUGACGGUUCUCCUUCUGGGCCACAUGAGAUUGAUACUGUCCCUUGGCCUGCAUACAAAAGAGAGCCUUCAUCUAAUCCUUCAGCUUCACAGCCCAAGAUAGCAUAGCAGAAGAGCGGAUAUGCGAAGCAGGUCCUCCUCCAGCAGCAGUCUCUGUGUCAGUCUCCAUGGGCUGAGAAGAAGUCGAGGUGUUGGCCCAUUUGUCCUUUAGACACAGCUUGAUAGGAUCAUGCACAAAGUAGUUAGCUUCAACAGGGAGGACCUUGUCCGGAUAAGUAUCUUUCCACUUCUUCUGAAUAAAGGCGAACAGAUAAGGCCCGUAGAUGGGAACCUUGCGGUUCAUGAUGCAAUUCAGAGCUCACAGAACAUCACAUCACAUAUGUCGAGAGGAGCAGUGUCCUUAUUCCUUACCACCUCACACAGCAGAAGCAUCUCAGCCAGAUGUCCAUGCACCUCGUCCUUGUUGCCAAUACGAGGGAACAGGGUGUUGCAGAAGAUCCGAUGCAUGAAAUCCAGAUGCGUGGGGAGCACACCAUUUUUUAUGUAAAGAUGUUGCAGCCUGUCCUUGGGGGUUGAAGUAGACUUAGCUGGAGCAUGAGGACGCAGCCCAAGAACAGUUUCUUGCCCCUGGAAGUCGACUUUCAGGAGCUGCAUGAACUCCCCCAAGUACCAGUCAGCUUCUGACCAGCCGUCAUCCAGGUCAUGGUGCGCUCUUCAUCAGGUUGAAAGUGAACGGUGACAUAAAACUGGGCCACAAGAUCUGGAUCGAAGUCAUUUCUGAAGGUGAUGACUUCCAUAAUGCCAAGAUUUUCAACCAAGGAGAGAGCCUCGCCAAAGUAGUCAUGAUGCCACCGAAGGUGAGCGGUGUCGAUCCACUGCACUGGGACAUAGAUCUUCUUGAAGGGCACGAUGAUGUCACGAAAGAUCAUUGCAUGUUCCCGUGACCAAACAUGAUCGCAGCCCUUGAGUUGAGCUUUUUCAUUAACAUGGGGAUCACGGGUACGGAGUGCCACAAAGUCCAUAGGAGGCAUAGUGCGGACGUUGGGCCCUUUGGACUUGGUGGCAACCUUCUUGAAAUACUUCUUUCUAGGGUUCAUACUGGAAGUUGCGGAACCUUCUGGGGCCUCUGGAUUGUGGUACUGCUUUGAGUGGGUGUUACAUACAGGGUUCGAGCAACGAGAACCACCGGAGUCCAUGUCACUUGAAGGAGGAAGGGGGAGGGGAGCAAGCCCUCCAACUGGAAAGAGAGGGGAGGCUCCACAGAAGGAGAUCCAAGUGGGGAGAUUUCAGGUAGAGGGAGAGAGCACCAGGAAGAAGAUGAAACACGGGCAAGAAAAACGGCCCCCUCUCCCUUUAUAUAGUCCUCAGGUCACGGGCGGAGCGGUAGUACCGCUGGGUCAUAGCGGUAGUACCGCUACCCUGGCGGUAGUACCGCUCCCCCUGGCGGUAGUACCGCUGGGGUCAUAGCGGUAGUACCGCCACCCUAGCGGUAGUACCGCCCCCCCCCCUUGAGACAGCCCUAAAAAGCCCUAACUAAGCCACGAAAGGCUGGGAUCCUGGCGGUAGUACCGCUCCCCCUGGCGGUAGUACCGCCCCAGAAAAGCACAAAGAGACUUAGGACUUCGUGGAAAUGAUGUGGGCAAUGACUAGUCGGUGUAGAGAAAAAGGUAACACCAGCAAGAUAUAUUGACUAGUCAUUUGUAUCCUUUCUUCAACAAGAGAGAAAGGUGGGCGGUGGCCGGAGCCACCUAUGUUUGAGACAAAGGUAUGACACUGCGAAGAAUUAUCCUUGGGUUCAUGACCAACGCUCGUCUUUGAAGCACAAGUGCCAUUUAUUAAUGGCCAAAGUGAAAGACUUGAUCGAUUUAUGCAUAAUGGGGGAGGGAAAGUUCAUUGAGAGAACAACACUCCCCCUAUGUCCAUGCCUACACCUAGAACAAGAUAUAAUGCAGAGUGAGGUGCAAAGUGCCUAGUUUCAAUCCACAUUACUUGAAUCAAUGAUAUUUAGCUUAUGCCUUAACUCCCGGAACCUUGCUUCAUCUAGGGGCUUAGUGAAAAUAUCUGCAAGUUGCUCUUCAGUGUUGAUGAAGUGAAACUCAAUAUCACCUCGCUUGAAAUGUUCACGAAUGAAGUGAUGGCAAAUAUCAAUGUGCUUGGUCUUGCUAUGCUGCAUCGGAUUGAGGGAAAUCUUGAUAGCACUUUGAUUGUCACAUAAAAGAGGCACUUUGUCACAAGUGACACAGUAAUCCUUUAAAUUUUGCCUCAUCCAUAGCAACUGUGCACAACAACUCGCAGCUGCCACAUACUCAGCUUCGGUGGAAGAUAGUGAGACACAAUUAUACUUCUUUGAAGACCAACUUACGAGUGAACGACUAAGGAAUUGACAUCCUCCAGAAGUUGACUUUCUCUCCACACAGUCUCCCGCCCAAUAUGAGUCAGAAUAGCCCACUAGGUUGAAGCUUGCUCCUUUGGGAUACCAUCGGCCAAAGUUUGGGGUAUGAGCCAAAUAUUGAAAGAUUCGCUUAACAGCCAUAUAAUGGCUUUCUUUUGGUAUAGAUUGAAACCGUGCACAAAUCCCUAUACUCAACAUGAUAUCUGGUCUAGAUGCACAAAGGUAAAGAAGGGAUGCAAUCAUGGAGCGAUAUACCUUUUGAUCCACUGCUUUACCAUUGGGAUCACUGUCAAGCUUGCAUCUUGUUGGCAUGGGAAACUUGACCGGCUUGACAUCCUCUAGCUCGAACCUCUUGAGCAUAUCUUGAGUGUACUUGGCUUGUUUGAUGAAGGUCCCUUCUAAGACUUGUUUAAUCUUGAAUCCGAGGAAGAACUUCAACUCACCCAUCAUUGACAUCUCAAAUUUCUCGGUCAUUAGUGCAGCAAAUUCUUCAUUGAAAGAUUCGUUAGGGGAACCAAAAAUGAUAUCAUCAACAUAUAGUUGGCAUAUGAACAAAUCCCCUUUGACCUUCUUUGGUAAAAAGAGUGGGAUCUAUCUUCCCAAUUUCAAACCCACGAUCUUGUAACAACUCAGUAAGGUACUCAUACCACGCACGUGGGGCUUGUUUAAGGCCAUAGAGUGCCUUAUUAAGUUUGUACACAUGAUUGGGGAGCUUGGGAUGUUCGAACCCCGGGAGUUGUUUGACAUAGACCAACUCAUUUAAAGGACCAUUAAGAAAAGCACUUUUUACAUCCAUUUGUUGUAAUUUGAAAUUAUGAUGAGAAGCAAAUGCAAGCAGCAUGCGAAUAGAUUCUAAACGAGCAACAGGGGCAAAGGUGUCACAUCCCUGAUACCUUAAGCAAGUUAGCUUUGUGCUCAUGUCUUCUUUGCAUUGCAUCUAAGAAAGUUUCAACAAGAACAAAGAAAGUGGUGAAGGAAAAACUCAAAACCCUAGCCACUUCUUUAAAUAAAGGAAAUCUCAAACUAAUUAAAAUCAAUGAACCCAAAAUGGCCUCAAGAAAAGUUCAAACUUUCUGAUAAAUCAUGAAAGUAAAUGAGCAAUGAAGAAAACCUUUUUCUUGACACUUUAAACAUUUUAAAUAAAUGCAAAAAGCUACUGGUUUCAAGUUUUAAAUUUGAAAUGAGAAACUUUAAACUUUCAAAAAUGUUGAAAACUUUAGGAAUGGUUGGAAAUAUUCCAACAAAUAUUCUAGGGUGCUUAACAUAGUUUUUACAAUUUAUUUGGGAGCUGAAAUAAAUAGUAGAUCAAUGUCAGCAAUUAAAACAGAAAGAAAUGGGAAAAACCUUACCUGUCGCCUAGCCGGCCCAGCCCAGCUCCUCCUCUCGUCUUCCUCCUCGCCAGUAGGAGCGGGAGGUGGCCGCCGCAUCGCCGCGCGCCUCCACGCAGCUCCCUGGCUGCCUGGCCGCCGCUUCGCGCUGCCAAGCACGGGGAUAAGCUCCCCGAGGCCGACCCUAUCCAUUCCCAGCGCCAGUUCCCCCCCUCCUCUCGGAUCUCUCCUCCCUCCUUCUACAGCCAUUGGAGCCCGAGCAGAGCUCGAGCUCGCCGUCGUUCUAGCCUCCCCUCCUUCCUUCUGAGCCGCGCAUUAGCUCCGUCACAACUCCCUGAAGCUCCCUAGCCACGAGCCCGACGCCCAGAUGCAGUGAAACGACGAGAAGCAGUCGUCUUCUUCCUCGGGUCACCGAAGAUCGUCGCCGGCGUUCUUCCUCUCCAGGCCGUCCCCGAGCAAACUAGCGCCACCACUGCACUCCUCGUGAGCUUGCGCGUCUUUCCCCUAAGAUCUCCCCGUCGAUCCCCUCCUCUAGGCCUAGUUCCACCGGAGCCCGACAAGAUCCGCCGCUGCAGCUCGUCGCCGGUAACCCUCCGGUGAUCAGCUCGUCCUUCUGAGGGCACCAGCAGCUUCAGGAUGUCGCGUAGAUGUCGUAGGAGCUAAGUCCCGUGCGCAACUCCCUCUGUAUCGAUGACCUCGAUGACGACCGAACCUUGGCCGCCGCCAAGCUCGUCGCCGGCGUCAUCUCCGACCAGAUCAACCCCGGCUAAGUGCAGAAAUGGAACCGCGGGAGAAGUGUCAUUCUUCUGGUGCUCUCCGCGCAGCGAUUGGCCCUUUGUGCGCCGGUUCGGAUGCCCCCCGACGUUCUGGUGCUCGCCGGAGGCUCCCAGCCGGCGAGGACGACCUCGCCGCCGGUGGAUCUCAGCUGGCCUGAGCCACUGACGGGUGGGGCCAGCCUCUGGAUAGUUUAGAGAUAAUAAAAAUAAAUCAGAUAAAUUAAUAAGACACUGACAUGUGGGUCCAGUGAGUUUAAUUAACUAAAUAAAAUUAAUCCUAAUCUAAAAUUGACCAGAGACACUAACCAGUGGGUCCCACUGGUCAGGUUUGACUUUCAACGGCCAGAUAGACCUGCUGAUGUCAUGCUGAUGCAGUAAAAGUAUUUUCCAGUUUAGAAAUAAUUCCAGAAAUGUUUAAAACUUCAAAAAUUCAUAGAAAUUAAUCUGUAACUCCAAUGAAAAUAAUUUAUAUAUGAAAAAGUAUUAGAUAAAUUCAAGGAAUCUGAAUAUGCUAUUUUCAAUCAUGUUUGAAAAAGUUAGAGAACCCAAACAUGUAGAUUAAUGAAUAAGUCAAUUCUUAUAAAUACCUUAUAAAUGGAAUAUAGAAAAUAUUUGAAUUUCAUUAUGAUUGACAUGAUCAAACACUGUUCUAAAUCCAAACCAGCAACUUAACAUGUCAUCACAUGCAUGUUAACAUCAAGUUGAUCUGAGCAUCAGGUCAAAUCAAUUAAAACGGUAUCCGAGAAUACCUCGUCUGAAGUGAUAUUUGAAUAUGAUUCAAAUCAACUUCAAACCUAAAAUAUGCUAACUAUAUUAGUUUGUCACCUUACAUUCUCAUGCCAUGCUCAUGCAUCAUCUUGUUUGCAUAUGAUUGUUAUUGAUUGUUGUCAUUCAUUUCGGUAGGCUCCGCUCCCCCGGAUUCCACCGAAUAUCCGUCUGACGGAUAUUGUCCCUCCUCUAAGCAACAAGGCAAGCAACCAUUUUGAUCAUCCCGAUAAAUCCCAUGUUCUUGCUCCUGCACUUACUUAUUGCAUUAGGAUCAAAUGCUUCAACUGCUUUUGCCACGUUAGUUGAACCCACUUCCUUUGCAUGACCUAUCCUUGUCACAGUAAAUAGUCGAACCUUGCAACCUAGCAUACCUGGUAGUUGCUUGAGCCAUGAUGUGCCUUAUCCUGCUAUGCAUGCUAUGNAGGAUCAAAUGCUUCAACUGCUUUUGCCACGUUAGUUGAACCCACUUCCUUUGCAUGACCUAUCCUUGUCACAGUAAAUAGUUGAACCUUGCAACCUAGCAUACCUGGUAGUUGCUUGAGCCAUGAUGUGCCUUAUCCUGCUAUGCAUGCUAUGCUUAGAGUUGUGUAUGGUCUGUCAUCUGGGAGAUGAACAGAAUUGUGAGAAUGUGAUCGGUAAGCAAAGGUUGUGUGUUGAACCUGAUUUAGUAAAGGUACCGGUGAAAGGCUGUGUAGGAGUACAUGGCGGGUUGUUUCAUUGGAACCGUCCUUAGGAACUGAGUUCCGUGUAUGUAAUCCAAUACUAGAUACUACCACACGUUGGGAUACUUAAUUGACCCUCUCAACUUAUUAAUCGCUUAGUACUCGGUCCAGGAGUUGCAAGUAGUUUCUGGUGUAUAUAGUCAUGCUGGAGGUCGUGCAUGGUGCUGACCUGAGAGGUGGGCCGUGAUGCGGUAGGCAGUGGCACGGUGUACCAAGUGGCACCCGGAUGGUGGGCUUGGGAACCCUGCGCACAUCGUUUGAGGCCGUGGCGGAAACCCCGGCCGGACUUCCGUACGGGUUACUCUCAGAUAGGCGAUAAACCUGGAUUAGGUACUAGUGUGGUUAACACUCGUGGCCGACUCCCUCGCUAGGCUUCCGCUUGAAGGUUGCCGAGGUGCAUGACGUGCACAUGGUGAUAAGUGGCGAGAGCGUGUGUGACGAAGUACACCCCUGCAGGGUUAUGAUCUAUUCGAAUAGCCGCGUCCGCGGAUAUGGACUACUUGGAGACAUAUGUUGUUCAUAGAUAACUUAAAUGGCUACUCAUAAAAUUGUCAAGAUAAGCGUGAGUGUCGUGGACGGCAUUUCCGUAUGGAGAUGGAAUGAUUCCACGAUGGUGUAUUGUUGUGGUGUUAGUGGACUCGUGUGCGAGAAAUCAAGUUGUCAAAAUUAUUUAAAAAUGCAAGUUGUCUAGCCACGAGUCAAAUGCUGGCUUUCCGCAUGAAACCCCACAAUACCUUAUUGAUACCUUGCAUGAGUAGAUAGUUAUCCUAAAGUCUUGCUGAGUACCUUCGUACUCAUGUUUGCUUAAUAACUGUUGCAGAGGUUGCUAAUGACCCUAAUGGAGGGUUCUUCGUAGACAUCGACGACGACGAGUAGAUGGUGUCCCAGCUACGAUCUGGCCCUACGUUGGAUCUGUAGUAUAGUCAGGCCAUGUGCCUUCUAGUUGCACCUGUCUGUGCUGAGACAUUUUUAAACUCUUCCGCUGGCUUGUAACUGAAUGACUGCUAUUAUGGGUCGUGAGACCCUUAAUGUGUAAUAUUAUGUGUGCGGCUCUUCCGAGCCUCUUAAAUAAAGCUUGUAUGUUUAUGGUUAUGUUGUGAUUCCAUCGAUGUAUCUAUACAUAUCGGUAUGUCAUGCGUACGUGUGUCGUACUUGAUAUGUAUGGGGUUCGAUUACCUAGUCGUGAACUUUAGUAGCACUCCUUACAAGGAAAUGCCCCUUUGUGAUCCAACGAGCCUUGGUAGUUCGCUACUGCUCCGGACACAUUGGUUGACCGGCAUGUGUCCUUCUUAGCUGCUUUGUCUGUCCCCUUUGGGGAAAUGUCACGCGAUGUAAUGGAGUCCUUGUAGCUUGCUACGACUCGUCUACACUCGCUGGUGACCGACACCUGCUUUGUUGGGUCAUGUAUGCCUGUCCUUGUGCGGUACUGCCACUUUGGUUUGUGACUAGACUUGUCGAUCCGGGUUCUUUGACAUUGGAAUGCUAGCGACACUAUUGCAUGCGUGAGUCAAAAGACGCAAACGGUCCCGGCUAAGGUAAGGCUGCAGCCGUGGAGUUAACCGUGCGUGAGACCGCAAAGAGAUGCGAUGUGUUACAGGCUGGAUUCCUAUGACUUAGGAUCGGGGUCCCGACAGCGUUGGUAUCAGAGCCUGACUGACUGUAGGAUUACUAAGCCAAACUGGUCGAAUUUGAGUCUAGAAUUACUUUAGUUAUAUAUAAGGGAAUUGUUUGUGGAAGGGAACGUAAGACUCUUGUUCUCUUCUCAAGUUAUUCUAUUCUGGUCAUCCUCGUCUUUUCUGCGGGAAUUAAGGACUAAGUUACCCAUCUUCUUCUAGGCUCGUGUUUCUGAUUGGUAGAUUAUAGGACUACGGGUCAAGAGAUAUUGGGUUUCUUUCAUUCCUAGGAAAAAGGAAGUAAGCUUGAUGUCCAGAGAGUUGAACUUGAUAGUUGAGUGGUUACGCUAUUCCAUUUGUGGGUUGUCUCAAAAUUUGUUUUUGAGCAUUUACAGCUGUUAUGCUGCCCAAUUUUGCAUUCAGAGCUCUAAUGCUUUUGCAUUACUCUCUAUUUACAGAUGUCUGGCCGUCCUUCUUGUCAGGUGGUACGUCUGACCAGGUGCAUUGAUGUGCCGGGUCAUACGGCCAUGCUGGUCAGGGUGAUGUCGGUGUGCGGUUACCGCUGGUACCCCGAGUACACAGUGGAGGAACAGUACCGAGACUUCAACCAGAGCCAGUACAUCUGCACUGUUAGGGUAUUUCGAGACUACCCUGGAGGUGAGGAGCCAAGCCAUUGGUCCUAUGGGUUGGGAGUCACUGUUGACAUGGCAGUACAAGAUGCUGCCUAUUCAAUGCUGACCAUUAUGAGAGCGAGACAUGCACUGCUGCAGAAUUCAGAGUUCUGCUAUGUUCCGACCUCUCAGGCUGGUGAAGUGGGAUACCUCAGUGGAGUCUAUUUUGAUUCUUCUAUGGAGGAUCCAUUACUGCAGUCCACCGUUGAGAUGCUAGAGAACAGAGACAGGGAUGCUCGUGCUCUCCGCAUGGAGCUUUAUGCUACCCGUGCCCGUCUGUGGACGGCUUUGACGCAGCUGGCACCGGUAGUCCAGACAGGGUACGGAGAGAUGGAGAUGCUGAAUCCUGUUAGGACCCAUCUUCUGGCCCACGUUGACUGGCCAGCUAUAGGAGGAGUCACACCUCUUCGGGGGCCCCUCUUACCACCAGUCAGGGGACCAAGGCCACAUCCGUGUCCUUAUGGAUCCCAUGGAUCUCAGGCUAGAGUUUUCCUGAUCCGCAGGUUGAGCUUCCAGGUCAUGGAGGUAAUCUCUAUGAGAUGUUCUAUGCGGAUGCCUGAGCUGUGAGCGGAAGGAUAGUAUGGUAGUAGCCGUACGUUCACAGUCCUGCGUGACUUGUGAAGUAUGCCUGUGAGGUGAAAUGAAUUCCGGAGGCCUAGAUAAAUAAUGUAUAGGAAGCUUGUAAGCCUCUGAUGAGUAGUUUCAUAAUUUCAGUAGUUUGCUCUUCGGUUAAGGUUGUACUGAACUACGUAAGGGUGUGUAUGAACCAUGGUGUAUAUAUAUCAGUUGCUUGUUACCAUGCUGUUCGGAUAUUCAUUUCCGCAUUCCGUGUGUUCAGUACAUUCUUAAUCCAUAGCUAGUAUUGAUGUGAUAUUGGUCUAAGCUGUGAGUUUGUUUGUCAGGAUGGUGUUCACCAGGUUGAACCGUGCCCCUAGUCGUGAGCAAGGCGAGGGUAGUCAAGCAUCGCAGGAAGACCUGCCUCACCCGCCCUCUCUGGCGGAAGUGAUGCUUGAGGCAGAGAGAAAUAAAAGGGAGACCAACCGACUGUUAGAGCGUAUUGAGCAGAAUACGGCCGCUGCAGUGUCCCUCAAUGACUUUGUGAAGGUGAACCCUCCAAAGUUUCAUCAUUCCAUCGAUCCCCUUGACGCUGAUGACUGGCUGUGCAGCAUCUCACGCAAGAUUCACUCUGCGAAUGUGUCUGAGGCUGAUAAGGUGACCUUUGCGGCGUAUUUCCUGGAGGGACCCGCCAAUCUUUGGUGGGAGAACUUUGAAGCUAUGCGUCCCGCUGAACCAGUAGCCACCUGGGCAGACUUCAGUGCAGCUUUUCGUCUGCACCAUAUUCCAGAGGGCCUGAUGGACAGAAAGAGAGAGGAGUUCUGUGCCUUCACUCAGGGCAAGUUGAAUGUGGAUGCCUAUAGCCGCGAGUUCGGUAACCUCGUUCGCUAUGCAACAGAGGAGGUGUCUACUGACGCCAAGAAGCAAGCAAGGUUUCGUAAGGGUCUGAGCCCUGAGCUCGUCGUAAUCUGCGCCUCCAUGAGUGUGCAAGCUUUCAAGCUCUGGUCAACAAGGCGAUCAGUGCCGAGACUGGUCAUACUGACUUCGAAGCCACAAGGAAGCACUCCCGUGACUUUGGCUCUUCUUCUGGUUCCGCGUUUCCCAAACGCGGGCUGUGGGUUCCGAACAGUUCUCUGCCGCCAAGAUACACUCCGAGGCCAUCCUACGUGGUGCCUCAGACGAAUCAGGCCAACCCUCCAGCAAAAGCUUAUGGUGGUCCAGCUAGCAAUGAUGCACCACGUGCCAACCAAGUGAUAUGCUACAAGUGUGGAGAACCAGGGCACUAUUCCCGUGAGUGUCCUCAGAAUGUGGGUGCCAAGCAACCCGGAAAGUCCGUCGGGCAAGCCAAGUCGGGCAAAGCUUACUAUGUGAAGCCAACUCCUGCACGUGGCCGUGUGAACUAUGUGUCAGCAGAAGAAGCUGCAGAGGAUCCCGACGUCAUGAUGGGUACGCUUCUUGUUAAUCAUCACCCAGCGUCUGUUCUCUUUGACACUGGGUCUUCUCAUUCCUUCAUUUCAGAAAGUUAUGCACAGUUGCAUAACAUGUCUUUUUGUGAUAUGCCAAUUCCAUUGGUUGUCCAAACUCCUGGUAGUAAAUGGCAAACCUCUAGGAUAACCUAUGACAAUGAAAUUCUAGUAGACAGGCUAGUUUUUCUAGCCUCAUUGAUAGCAUUGAAAUCUUUGGAUAUUAAUAUCAUCUUGGCCAUGGACUGGAUGUCAGCUCACUAUGCCAAGAUUGAUACUCAUUCUAGAAAUGUCCAGCUUACCCAUCCCUCGGGUGAGAUAGUAAAUGUCUCUACUCGAGUUGCCAAAUGCCAACUCUAUUCCUUAAACGCCAACCCUCUUCUGGAACUUGAAGACAUUCCGGUAGUCCGUGACUUCCCGGAUGUCUUUCCAGAGGAACUGCCAGGAAUUCCACCUGACAGAGAUGUGGAGUUUGUGAUAGAUCUUGUUUCGGGAACUGUCCCAAUAGCCAAAAGACCAUAUAAGAUGGCACCCCUGGAGCUAGCCGAACUUAAGAAGCAAUUAGAUGAGGCCUUGAACAAAGGUUUCAUUCGUCCUAGCUCUUCUCCUUGGGCUUGCCCCGUCAUCUUCAUCAAGAAGAAAGACGGAACAGAUCAGAUGGUUGUAGAUUACCGACCAGUUAAUCUGGUCACCAUAAAGAACAAGUAUUCGCUCCCCAGGAUCAACGAUCUGUACGAUCAGCUCGCUGGAUCCUCAGUUUUCUCCAAAAUGGAUUUGAGGUUGGGAUACCAUCAAAUCAAGAUUAAGAACGGGGACAUUCCAAAAACGGCUUUUGUUACUCGUUAUGGCCAAUACGAGUACACUGUCAUGUCCUUCGGUUUAACCAAUGCCCUAGCCACCUUCUCUCGUCUGAUGAAUUCAAUCUUCAUGGAGUAUUUGGAUAGACUCGUCGGGGUAUACCUCGACGAUAUUCUCAUUUACUCGAAGAACGAACAAGAACAUGCCGAGCAUCUAAGGCUGGUAUUGAUGAAACUUCGAGAGCAUCGCCUUUAUGCCAAGUUUUCAAAAUGUGAAUUUUGUUUACCAGAAGUGACCUAUCUAGGUCACGUAAUCUCUGGUAAGGGUAUUGCUGUCAAUCCCGAGAGAGUUCAAGUUGUCCUUGAUUGGACUCAACCUGAAUCGGUUAAGCAAGUUAGGAGUUUUCUUGGUCUAGCGAGCUAUUGUCGCCGCUUUGUCGAGAAUUUCUCCAAGGUUGCAAAGCCUCUAACUGAACUCCUCAAGAAGGAUAAAAAGUUUGAGUGGACACCACAGUGUGAGCAUAGUUUUCAGGAACUGAAAAGAUGCCUAACUUCCGCACCUGUGUUGCUACCACCAGAUUUUUCUAAGGACUUUGUUAUCUAUUGCGACGCCUCGCGACAAGGAUUAGGUUGCAUUCUCAUGCAAGAUUGUCAUGUGAUCGCAUACGCAUCUCGACAGUUGCGUCCACAUGAGGAUAAUUAUCCCACACAUGACCUUGAGCUUGCAGCUGUGGUCCAUGCACUAAAAACCUGGCGACAUUACCUUUUGGGUAAUCGUUGCGAAAUAUUCACUGAUCACCAAAGUCUGAAAUAUAUCUACACCCAACCGGAUUUGAAUCUCAGGCAAAGACGGUGGGUUGAGUUGAUCUCGGAUUACGACUUAGGGAUAACUUACACCCCGGGGAAGGCCAAUGUUACGGCCGAUGCACUAAGUCGUAAAUGUUAUUGUAACAAUUUGAUGCUACAACAAGGUCAACCACAUCUCUAUGAGGACUUUCGGAAGUUGAAUCUUCAUAUUGUUCCUCAAGGAUUCCUUUCUACCCUGGUGGAGAAGCCUACUCUUAGGGAUCAAAUCAUAGCCGUGCAGGCCUAUGAUAAGGGUAUAUCCCGGAUCAAGGAGAAUAUUGCUAGCGGCAACGCUAGGGAUUUCUCCAUCAAUGAGAAAGGUGUUGUGUUCUUUCAGAACCGUUUAGUGGUUCCCAAGAGCAAACGUCUGCGGCAAUUGAUCCUUAAGGAGGCUCAUGAUUCUCCUCUCACCAUUCAUCCCGGUAGUACUAAGAUGUAUCAGGACCUACGCCAGAGGUUCUGGUGGACUAGGAUGAAGAGAGAAAUUGCUGAGUUCGUUGCUAACUGCGACGUUUGUGGUCGUGUUAAAGCAGACCAUCAAAGGCCUGCUGGCACCCUUCAACCUCUAGCUAUUCCUGAAUCGAAAUGGGAUAAAGUUAGCAUGGAUUUCAUUACCGGAUUUCCCAAGACCAAGAAAGGAAAUAAUGCUAUCUUUGUGGUCAUUGACCGUCUUUCCAAAGUGGCCCAUUUUCUUCCUGUUCGUGAGAGUAUAACAGCUAGCCAGCUAGCAGAGUUAUAUAUCUCCCGAAUAGUGUCUCUUCAUGGUGUUCCCCUGGAGAUUAACUCGGACCGUGGGAGUAUCUUUACUUCUCGCUUCUGGGAAAGUUUUCAGAAUGCCAUGGGGACUCACUUAUCUUUUAGCACUGCUUUCCACCCCCAAUCAAGUGGUCAAGUAGAAAGAGUGAAUCAAAUCCUAGAAGAUAUGCUCCGAGCUUGUGUUAUAUCGUUUAGUAUGAAUUGGGAGAAGUACCUUCCAUUCGCCGAAUUCACUUAUAACAAUAGUUAUCAAUCAAGCUUGGGCAAAGCCCCUUUUGAAGUUCUCUAUGGACGAAGAUGUCGAACACCUCUUAAUUGGUCAGAAACCGGAGAGAGGCAACUCUUUGGCCCGGAUAUGAUCCAGGAUGCAGAAGAGCAGGUUCCCAUCAUUCGUGAAAAGUUGAAAACAGCCCAGUCUCGUCAAAAGAGCGAAUAUGAUCGUCAUCAUAAGGCUGUGACCUUUGAAGUUGAUGAGAAGGCUUACCUUCGGGUUACACCUUUGAAGGGUACCCAUCGAUUCGGUAUCAAGGGCAAGCUGGCUCCUCGUUACAUUGGUCCUUUUCGCAUUCUUGCCAAACGAGGAGAAGUUGCCUACCAGUAGGAACUUCCUCCGCAUCUUUCCAAGGUUCAUGAUGUUUUCCACGUCUCGCAACUCAGGCGUUGCUUUUCGGAUCCUAUCCGUGAAGUGGACCACGAAACGCUUGAUCUCCAAGAUAACCUUUCAUACCGAAAAUACCCCGUGCGUAUUCUUGAUCAAGCUGAGCGUACCACUCGACGUCGAAACCUCAAGUUUCUUAAAGUUCAGUGGUCAAAUCAUUCUGAAAAGGAGGCAACUUGGGAAAGAGAGGAUUGUCUCCGACUUGAGUAUCCUGCGUUAUUCCCGACGACUUCUAAAUCUCGGGACGAUAUUCCUUUGAGUGGGGGUGAGUUGUCACAUCCCUGACACCUUAAGCAAGUUAGCUUUGUGCUCAUGUCUUCUUUGCAUUGCAUCUAAGAAAGUUUCAACAAGAACAAAGAAAGUGGUGAAGGAAAAACUCAAAACCCUAGCCACUUCUUUAAAUAAAGGAAAUCUGAAACUAGUUAAAAUCAAUGAACCCAAAAUGGCCUCAAGAAAAGUUCAAACUUUCUGAUAAAUCAUGAAAGUAAAUGAGCAAUGAAGAAAACGUUUUUCUUGACACUUUAAACAUUUUAAAUAAAUGCAAAAAGCUACUGGUUUCAAGUUUUAAAUUUGAAAUGAGAAACUUUAAACUUUCAAAAAUGUUGAAAACUUUAGGAAUGGUUGGAAAUAUUCCAACAAAUAUUCUAGGGUGCUUAACAUAGUUUUUACAAUUUAUUUGGGAGCUGAAAUAAAUAGUAGAUCAAUGUCAGCAAUUAAAAUAGAAAGAAAUGGGAAAAACCUUACCUGUCGCCUAGCCGGCCCAGCCCAGCUCCUCCUCUCGUCUUCCUCCUCGCCAGUAGGAGCGGGAGGUGGCCGCCGCAUCGCCGCGCGCCUCCACGCAGCUCCCUGGCUGCCUGGCCGCCGCUUCGCGCUGCCAAGCACGGGGAUAAGCUCCCCGAGGCCGACCCUAUCCAUUCCCAGCGCCAGUUCCCCCCCUCCUCUCGGAUCUCUCCUCCCUCCUUCUACAGCCAUUGGAGCCCGAGCAGAGCUCGAGCUCGCCGUCGUUCUAGCCUCCCCUCCUUCCUUCUGAGCCGCGCAUUAGCUCCGUCACAACUCCCUGAAGCUCCCUAGCCACGAGCCCGACGCCCAGAUGCAGUGAAACGACGAGAAGCAGUCGUCUUCUUCCUCGGGUCACCGAAGAUCGUCGCCGGCGUUCUUCCUCUCCAGGCCGUCCCCGAGCAAACUAGCGCCACCACUGCACUCCUCGUGAGCUUGCGCGUCUUUCCCCUAAGAUCUCCCCGUCGAUCCCCUCCUCUAGGCCUAGUUCCACCGGAGCCCGACAAGAUCCGCCGCUGCAGCUCGUCGCCGGUAACCCUCCGGUGAUCAGCUCGUCCUUCUGAGGGCACCAGCAGCUUCAGGAUGUCGCGUAGAUGCCGUAGGAGCUAAGUCCCGUGCGCAACUCCCUCUGUAUCGAUGACCUCGAUGACGACCGAACCUUGACCGCCGCCAAGCUCGUCGCCGGCAUCAUCUCCGACCAGAUCAGCCCCUGCUAAGUGCAGAAAUGCAACCGCGGGAGAAGUGUCGUUCUUCUGGUGCUCUCCGCGCAGCGUUUGGCCCUCUGUGCGCCGUUUCCGAUGCCCCCCGACGUUCUGGUGCUCGCCGGAGGCUCCCAGCCGGCUAGGACGACCUCGCCACCGGUGGAUCUCAGCUGGCCUGAGCCACUGACGGGUGGGGCCAACCUCUCGAUAGUUUAGAGAUAAUAAAUAUAAAUCAGAUAAAUUAAUAAGACACUGACAUGUGGGUCCAGUGAGUUUAAUUAACUAAAUAAGAUUAAUCCUAAUCUAAAAUUGACCAGAGACACUGACCAGUGGGUCCCACUGGUCAGGUUUGACUUUCAACGGCCAGAUAGACCUGCUGAUGUCAUGCUGAUGCAGUAAAAGUAUUUUCCAGUUUAGAAAUAAUUCCAGAAAUGUUUAAAACUUCAAAAAUUCAUAGAAAUUAAUCUGUAACUCCAAUGAAAAUAAUUUAUAUAUGAAAAAGUAUCAGAAAAAUUCAAGGAAUCUGAAUAUGUUAUUCAUGUUUGAAAAAGUUACAGAACCCAAACAUAUAGAUUAAUGAAUAAGUCAAUUCUUAUAAAUACCUUAUAAAUGGAAUAUAGAAAAUAUUUGAAUUUCACUAUGAUUGACAUGAUCAAACACUGUUCUAAAUCCAAACCAGCAACUUAACAUGUCAUCCCAUGCAUGUUAACAUCAAGUUGAUCUGAGCAUCAGGUCGAAUCAAUUAAAACGGUAUCCGAGAAUACCUCGUUUGAAGUGAUAUUUGAAUAUGAUUCAAAUCAACUUCAAACCUAAAAUAUGCUAACUAUAUUAGUUUGUCACCUUCCAUUCUCAUGCCAUGCUCAUGCAUCAUCUUGUUUGCAUAUGAUUGUUAUUGAUUGUUGUCAUUCAUUUCGGUAGGCUCCGCUCCCCCGGAUUCCACCGAAUAUCCGUCUGACGGGUAUUGUCCCUCCUCUGAGCAACAAGGCAAGCAACCAUUUUGAUCAUCCCGAUAAAUCCCAUGUUCUUGCUCCUGCACUUACUUAUUGCAUUAGGAUCAAAUGCUUCAACUGCUUUUGCCACGUUAGUUGAACCCACUUCCUUUGCAUGACCUAUCCUUGUCACAGUAAAUAGUAGAACCUUGCAACCUAGCAUACCUGGUAGUUGCUUGAGCCAUGAUGUGCCUUAUCCUGCUAUGCAUGCUAUGCUUAGAGUUGUGUAUGGUCUGUCAUCUGGGAGAUGAACAGAAUUGUGAGAAUGUGUUCGGUAAGCAAAGGUUGUGUGUUGAACCUGAUUUGGUAAAGGUACCGGUGAAAGGCUGUGUAGGAGUACAUGGUGGGUUGUUUCAUUGGAACCGUCCUUAGGAACUGAGUUCCGUGUAUGUAAUCCAAGACUAGAUACUACCACACGUUGGGAUACUUAAUUGACCCUCUCGACUUAUUAAUCGCUUAGUACUCGGUCCAGGAGUUGCAAGUAGUUUCUGGUGUUUAUAGUCAUGCUGGAGGCCGUGCAUGGUGCUGACCUGAGAGGUGGGCCGUGAUGCGGUAGUCAGUGGCACGGUGUACCAAGUGGCACCCGGAUGGUGGGCUUGGGAACCCUGCGCACAUCGUUUGAGGCCGUGACGGAAACCCCGGCCGGACUUUCGUACGGGUUACUCUCAGAUAGGCGAUAAACCUGGAUUACGUACUAGUGUGGUUAACGGUCGUGGCCGACUCCCUCGCUAGGCUUCCGCUUGAAGGUUGCCGAGGUGCAUGACGUGCACAUGGCGAUAAGUGGCGAGAGCGUGUGUGACGAAGUACACCCCUGCAGGGUUAUGAUCUAUUCGAAUAGCCGCGUCCNGUGAUGCGGUAGUCAGUGGCACGGUGUACCAAGUGGCACCCGGAUGGUGGGCUUGGGAACCCUGCGCACAUCGUUUGAGGCCGUGUCGGAAACCCCGGCCGGACUUGCGUACGGGUUACUCUCAGAUAGGCGAUAAACCUGGAUUAGGUACUAGUGUGGUUAACUGUCGUGGCCGACUCCCUCGCUAGGCUUCCGCUUGAAGGUUGCCGAGGUGCAUGACGUGCACAUGGGGAUAAGUGGCGAGAGCGUGUGUGACGAAGUACACCCCUGCAGGGUUAUGAUCUAUUCGAAUAGCCGCGUCCGCGGAUAUGGACUACUUGGAGACAUAUGUUGUCCAUAGAUAACUUAAAUGGCUACUCAUAAAUUGUCAAGAUAAGCGUGAGUGUCGUGGACGGCAUUUCUGUAUGGAGACGGAAUGAUUCCACGAUGGUGUAUUGUUGUGGUGUUAGUGGACUCGUGUGCGAGAAAUCAAGUUGUCAAAAUUAUUUAAAAAUGCAAGUUGUCUAGCCACGAGUCAAAUGGUGGCUUUCCGCAUGAAACCCCACAAUACCUUAUUUAUACCUUGCAUGAGUAGAUAGUUAUCCUAAAGUCUUGCUGAGUACCUUCGUACUCAUGUUUGCUUAAUAAUUGUUGCAGAGGUUGCUAAUGACCCUAAUGGAGGGUUCUUCGUAGACAUCGACGACGACGAGUAGCUGGUGUCCCAGCUACGAUCUGGCCCUACGUUGGAUAUGUAGUAUAGUCAGGCCAUGUGCUUUCUAGUUGCACCUGUCUGUACUGAGACAGUUUUAAACUCUUCCGCUAGCUUGUAACUGAAUGACUGCUAUUAUGGGUCGUGAGACCCUUAAUGUGUAAUAUUAUGUGUGCGGAUCUUCCGAGCCUCUUAAAUAAAGCUUGUAUGUUUUUGGUUAUGUUGUGAUGCCAUCGAUGUACCUAUACAUAUCGGUAUGUCAUGCGUACGUGUGUCGUACUUGAUAUGUAUGGCGUUCGAUUACCUAGUCGUGAACUUUAGUAGCACUCCUUACAAGGAAAUGCCCCUUUGUGAUCCAACGAGCCUUGGUAGUUCGCUACUGCUCCGGACACAUUGGUUGACCGGCAUGUGUCCUUCUUAGCUGCUUUGUCUGUCCCCUUUGGGGAAAUGUCACGCGAUGUAAUGGAGUCCUUGUAGCUUGCUACGACUCGUCUACACUCGCUGGUGACCGACACCUGCUUUGUUGGGUCAUGUAUGCCUGUCCUUGUGCGGUACUGCCACUUUGGUUUGUGACUAGACUUGUCGAUCCGGGUUCUUUGACAUUGGAAUGCUAGCGACACUAUUGCAUACGUGAGUCAAAAGACACAAACGGUCCCGGCUAAGGUAAGGCUGCAGCCGUGGAGUUAACCGUGCAUGAGACUGCAAUGAGAUGCGAUGUGUUACAGGCUGGAUUCCUAUGACUUAGGAUCGGGGUCCCGACAAAUGGUUUCACCGUAGUCGAUACCCUCGACUUGGGAGUAGCCUUGAGCCACCAAUCUUGCCUUGUUUCGAACCACAAUCCCAUUGGCAUCUUGCUUGUUUUUUAAUAUCCAUUUGGUCCCGAUGACAUUAUGUUCCUCCUUUGGUCUUGGCACUAAUUUCCACACUUGAUUACGCUCAAAGUUGUUGAGUUCUUCAUGCAUGGCCAUAAGCCAAUCCUCAUCAUCGAGCGCUUCUUGUACCUGUUGAGGUUCACAAUACGAAACAAACGCGUGAUGCUCAAAAUAAUUCCAAAUUUGUUGACGAGUGGAUACUCCCCUUUUCAAACUACCAAGCACAUUCUUCAUAAGAUGUGACUUGACUCUCAGCUUGUUUGCAAUCUUGGCUGCGUGACGCUCCAAGAGUUCUCCAUUUGAUAACUAGGGAGCAUCGACUUGAUUACUUUGCUUGGCCUUGCGUUUUGAUCCUCCCUUGGCACCAGUAGCCAUCUUAGGUGCUGUAGAAGGAAAUUGAGAGACAGCAUCCUGAUCAACUUGAUUUUUGACUUGAGCAGGCUCACUGGUUUGUCCUUGAUCUUGUGGUUGCUCUUGAUCUUGAUCUUGUGCCUCUAUUUGGUCUGGAUCUUGUAGUUGCACUUGAUCUUGAUCUUGAGCAGAUUCGGAACCUUGUGUAAGCACUUGGACAUCAUGGGGCACAUCACCAUCUUUGAGCAAUUGAUCUUGUCCUUGAACUUGUUCAACUGGUUGAGGGUUUUCUCUUUGUUCAUCGGAAGCCUGUGGGGCUUGUGAGGAUGAUUGCUCCACUUGAGUAGAGCAUUGUCCUUCUCCUUCGGCCACAAGGGGUUCCUCAAUGGGGAGUAUUUGACCAAUCCCCAUUCUUCUUAUUGCUUGGGAAGGAAUUUCAUCACCUACAUCACAGAGACCACUUUGCUCCACUUGGGAGCCAUUAUUUUCAUCAAACUCCACGUUACAUGUUUCCUUAAUGAGCCCGGUGGACUUGUUGAGGACACGGUAAGCAUGAGAGUUUGUAGCAUAACCAACAAAGAUGCCCUCUUGAGCUCUAGAAUCAAAUUUAGCUAAACGUGCACCUUUCUUGAGAAUGAAACACUUACACCCGAAUACCCGGAAGUACUUGAGAUUGGGUUUGUUUCCGGUGAGAAUCUCAUAUGGGGUCUUGUUCAAGCCUUUGCGGAUAUAGAGCCGAUUGGAUGCAUGACAUGUUGUGUUGAUGGCUUUAGCCCAAAAGUUAUACGGAGAUUUGAAUUCCGCCAUCAUUGUUCUUGCCGCGUCCAUCAACGUCCGGUUCUUCCUUUCCGCCACACCAUUUUGUUGAGGGGUGUAUGGUGCUGAAAAUUGAUGUUUGAUUCCCUCAUCACCUAGAAACUCAUCCAAGGUGUAGUUCUUGAACUCGGUGCCGUUGUCACUUCUAAUCAUCAAAAUCUUUGCUUCAUGUUGACAUUGAGCUUCAUUAGCAAAGUUGAUGACAGUUUGUUGAGUCUCACUCUUCUUCUUGAAGAAAUAUACCCAGGUGUAUCUUCAGUAGUCAUCAACAAUCACCAAGCAGUACUUUCUGCCCCCAAGACUAUCAAAUGAUGGAGGACCGAAGAGAUCCAUAUGAAGGAGCUCCAACGACCUCUUAGUGUAAAUGAGUGUCGUUGGACGAUGAGAAGUUUCAUGAAUCUUCCCUUCAAUGCAGGCACUGCAAGCACGAUCUCUGGCAAAACUCACAUUUUUUAGUCCAUGAACAUGGUCCCCUUUGAGAAGACUUUGCAAAGAUCUCAUAUUGACAUGAGCUAGUCGGUGAUGCCAAAGCCAGCCCACAUCAACUUUAGCCAUUAGACAAGUCGCGGUCUUAGUGGGUCGCUUUGAAAAGUUCACCACAUAGAGACCAUUUUUGACAUAUCCAACAUAUGCUACUUUAAGAGUCUUGCUCCACAAAAGGACCACGGUAUCAAGAUUAAAGAAUGUGGAAAAGCCCAUAAUUGCAAGUUGACGAACCGAAAGUAAAUUGUAAGCAAGGGACUCAACAAGCAUGACCUUCUCAAUAGAUAACUCUUGAGAGAUGACCACCUUACCAAACCCCAAUACCUUUGACGAUGAUGCAUCGGCGAAUUGGACAUGGGUGGGCAUAGAUGGGGAAGUGAAAGUGCAUUAUAUCGACUAGAGGGGGGUGAAUAGGAUAUUUUUAGAAUUUCAUCACUGAGGAAAUUCCUUUUGAAGAAAUUCCUCACUGAUGACUAACUUACAGCAGAAGCAGUUAAGGAUCAGUCGUGCAAUCGUUCACAACAGCAGUAUUAUAGAGUGAAGAUUAUGAAAACAGAUCGCACAGUAAGCAGGCACGCAGAAUACAGAUGAUGAUUAACUCAAGUGAAGAAUUUGGGGUUGAGGAAAUUCAGAGAAAGUCUUCAGCAAAUUCUUCAAACAGUCACAGUGAAUGUCAUCAACACAUAAUACAGAGAAUGUAAAGAGUUGAGAAAUUAGAACCCGAUUCUUGAUGAAGACUGUUGUUGAUGACCCAGUUUCAACUGAUGUGACAGUUGUACAUCUGGUUUGGAGCGGCUUGGUAUUGAAACCAAAGGACACCCAGUCCCGGGACACAUAGUCCCUACCGUAUUAUCCUUGAGCUAAGGACACACAGUCCUCGCCCAACACUCGUGGUAAGUCUUCAGGGCAGACUUCCAAACCCUCACAAACUCGGUCACCCGGCGAUCCACAAUUAACUACUGGAUUGCUCUAGAUCAUGACGCCUAACCGUCUGGAGGAUGCAGAGUCCUCAAAGGUAAAAGGCUUCAGUCCCACACAAGAACAACUUCUUCAGUGAUGCUCAAUCACUAGGUUUGGUUUGUGGUUUCGGUGGGUGGUGUAUUUCCUCACAGAUGAUUUACUCUCAAAGGCUCUGAGGAAUUUGGGUUGCUCUUAUGACAAGUGUCAUUUUAUAACGGAGCAGCCAACCAGCUAGUGGUUGUGGGGGCGGCUAUUUAUAGCCUGGGAGCAUCCCGACAUGAUUUGACAUUAAUGCCCUUAAAUAAUAUGACCGUUGGAGUGGAUAAGACCAGUGACUUGGCGUGGCUUAUCGAAACGGUCGGGACCCUCAACUGUGAGAGUCCUCAUGUCACUCAUAUUCCUCACUUGAGGCUUUUGGUAGGAUUUGUCUUGGGUUGAGCAUCAUGAGGAAAUUUGUUCCAUAGUGUUACUUUGACCCCCUUUAACAGUACGGUGUUCCUAUUCAUCAAAUGCGAAGAAAGUAAAACAGAAAACGUAAAUCUUCACGCUUCAAUUUCUUCAAAAUGAUUUUCUUCAGGAACCACCGAUCUUCUCAAUAUCAAUAUCUUCAUGAGGAAUAUCAAUUUCAUCGCAGAUUCCUCGUGAUUCAUUUCUUCAGCUUCAGACCAAUUUCUUCAACUGAAGAUAUACAUUUUUAGGGGUCGAGAUUCUUCAAAUAUCUCAAACUCCUCACUGACUUAUAGAUCCUGUGUACACUUAUAAACACAUUAGAUACUUAACCUAUAAGUCUUCAAACCACCAAAAUCACUAAGGGGCACUAGAUGCACUUACAAUCUCCCCCUUUUGGGUGGUUGAUGACAAUUAGGUUAAGUCUUCAACAGGGAAUAAAAAUGUGAAGUGUACAUACUCAAUUGAGGAAUUUGAAGACAAGAUUCACAGAGACUCCCCCUGAAGAUGUGCAUACCUUGAGGAUUUUGCUUAUAUAGCAUAUGCACAUUGAUGAUUUAUAUCAUGGAGAUCUCCCCCUGAAUCUUGUAAAUCAUGCAUACAUAUAACAUAUCAUAUGAAGAAAAUGAAGAUGCAUGAUGGCAAAUGGUAUCUGACGAAUUUCAGCAUGCGUGCAUUAAAACUUGAGGAAUAAGCAUGCGAAGAAAAACGUUCAAAAAGGCGUCAGAGUACCAUCGGGCUUAAGUUACAACUCAUUACAUAAAAACUUCAGAAGAGCCAAGAGUUUGUAACUUAAAUAUAGUUCAUAAGCCCCAAAAAUAAAUCCCGUUUGAAGACUAACUCUCAAGUUUGUCCCCCUUUGUCAUCAAGUGACAAAAAGGGACAAACUGAGGACUAACGCCCGUGAAGUCUUCAUUUCUUGGCGGUGGAUGAAGAUCCUUGGCGCUUCUUGGGUGUAGUCUUCUUCCUUGGGCCUGUUGCGGUGUCGAGCUAUUCCUCAUCAGAUUCGGCGGUGCGGAAAGACGAGAAGGAACUAUCUUCAAGAUCUGGCACUGGAAUGGGCCUGAACUUCUUCUUGGGAGGCCACGACCAGUCAAAGUCCUGCUCAAAGUUCAAUUCUUCAAGCUCAGUCUGGGUCUUCAGAUGUGCAAGGGUAGCCCAGGUGCGAUCAAAAACCUCAUGCAGAUAGUGAUGAUUAAGUUUCACAGAGUUCUGUGUCUCAGUGAGGGUUUUCACAAUGGCACCAAACUGGCGUUUGACCCAUUUGUGGUUGUGAUCCACCUUCUGAUGAAGACUGAGGAGAAGCUCUCUGGUGUUUAGCACGCGAGGAGGAACAGGGCUUGGUGGACGAGUCUCAGUAUCGUCCCAUGAGGAAUAUGCAUCUGGCUCUUUAAAUUGACCAUCAAGAGGCCUGCUGCCUUCAUCAAUCACAGACUUUCCUUUUCCCUCAAUGGGCUCGAAAGUCUUCUUGUUGACCCGGAUAGGAGGCAUCUAACCAACAUGAUUCUGGAAAUCUGCGUGGAAGUUGAUGCCUGUCCUUGUCCUGAGGAAUCUCAUGAUCCAUGGUGCAUAAAUUUUGUGAUCAUAUGGGCACAUUGCAUUGUCAUCCAAAGUCCUCAAGAAGAAAUCAUGGAUAUUCAUCGGGAUGCCGUGAAUGAUGUUGAAGAGGAUAUUCUUCAUGAGGCCGACGACAUCUUCUUCAUCGUCAUGGCCUUUGAUGGGCGCGAGCACACUGCAGAGAAUGCGGUAGACAGACCGGGUUGUGUACUUGAGCUCAUGGGCGAGGAAUGUGGUUCUUGAGGGCUUUCCUGCAGCCAAAGGCUUCAUGAGGACUUCCAUCAUUCCAUUUGGUAGCUCACGCUCACCAUAAAGCUUCACUGCCCCUUCUGAAGGAAUUGGUACGGGCAGUUCUCUGAGGAGUUCAGACGCUGGAGCCUUGUAGUGAGUGUUUUGGGUCAUCCAGUCGAACACCCAAGUGUUGAUGUCAUCAGCAUUGCCCGAGAUGUGCAGAGUUGCAUAGAAUUGAAGAAUGAGCUCACUAUUCCAAUCUGAUAUGUCGGAGCACAUAGGGAGCAAACCUGCAUCAUGAAGUACGCUGAGGACUGGUUCCAUGCACGGAAUUUCUUCAAGUUCAUCAUGAGGAAUGUGCCUGUGCUGGAAUAUCUUGUUGCGUCCACAGAGCACAGAAGCAUAGUAGUUCAUCUGAGUCCUUGUCCAAAACUUCAGAUGCCUCAUUUGAGGCUUGUCAUAAGGAUUCUCUCCGAUGAAUUACAUGUGUUCCUCAAAGAAAUUUUCUUUCUGAAACUUGGGCCGCUUCGAGAAUGGCUGGCGCUGAACUGGCUGGAUAGUGUGCUGAGGAAUGGGUGGGGAAACAACCAUGGCAGUUUCUGGGUUGAGCACAAUGAAUUCAUUGUCAGGGGCGGGAACAUUUUCUUCAGUAGUGUCCUCAGGUUGAGGAAUUUCAUCAGCUGGUAUUUCUUUCUCUGGUUGAGCUUCAGGCUGAGGAAUUUCUUCUUCCUCCUCAGCUUGAGGAGUUUGGUCAGCCUGUUCAGUGGGAGGAGCCUGCUCAGACUGGACAUAUUCUUCAGCUUGUUUUUCAUCAGCUGACUUUGUGGCAGAAGCAGAUUCAUCAGCUGCUGCAGCUGAAGCUUGAGUAGUCUCUUUCUGAGGAAUAUGAGGUUGAGGACUAUCAUCAAUCUGUAUUUCCUCAUCAGUAUGCUCCUCAGAGGCAGCAUCCUUCAUUUCCUCAUCUGCCCUUGUAGUUUGGUCACCAAUGACGACCAUUUCAUAUGAAGGUGCAACAUUUAGAGGCACCGGGUCCAGAGGGGCAGAUUCUUCAGUUUCCUUGAGGCGUUUUGCCUCGAUCUUUUCUUAUGCUGAGGAAGCUUUUCUUUUCUUUGCUUCCUUCUCAGCAGCUCUUGUCUUUUUCGCGUCUGAUGCAGACGGGAUUAACUUCUUCACCUUUGAAGCUUUUGGUGAAGGUGUUUUCUCGACAGAUUCUUCAGCUGGCAGUGAGGAACCAGCUGGAACAGAGUCAUCAGCCUGCUUUGGUGAAGCAGCUGGAUCAGUAGCAGUUGCAUCAGGGAUUGCAGUUUCAUCAGUGGUGGUCUUGGUGAUGAUUUCUUCAAUGGCCGGCUCAUCAGCUCGGCGCUCUUGGUGUUGUUCCUCACUUGGAGGAAUUUCCUCCUCAUCAGGAGAUGCAUCUUCUGGCUGUUCAACCAGGGGCUGAGGAGUUGGUGCUGGUUGUGGGUGUUGCUUGUUGUAGUCAUCAACAGCACUAGUGGCUAGCUUGAUGAAAUUGCGUUUGAUGCUUGUGCGGUCUGACAAUUUCUCACACUUGUCAGUCAAGACUUGCAGCUCUGCCUGGGUUGACACCAAUGCUUCAGGCGUCAGCUUGAGGACAUUUUGCCUGAGGAAUUUCUCCUUUCUGGCCUUUGCAAUAUUUGCCUGCUUGGCCUUCUGUUCCUUCCACUUGGCUUCGUUUAUGAAGGUAGCCACCAUGUGGCUGACGCGAGGAGGAAGUUUCAAAUCAUCAAUGGGUGUGUUUGGGUCUUCAUACCACACAUUGAUGAAGUCGAGGAGGACCUUGGGGUCCAUGGCCAGAGGAAUAGCACUGCCUGAUGCUUGUGCUACCCGUUCUUGCUUGUUUCUGAUGAUGGCUUGCAAAGUUUCAUCAUCAUACUCAUCACUUCCCUCUGAUGCAGACGGGACUGCGAUGAUUUUGCUGGGGCUGGGCAGAGGUGCAGGUUGAGUAGUUGUCAAAGUCUUCAUAAGGGGAGUUGAAGACUUUGUCUCCGAGCUAGUUGCAGCUGGGAGUGAGGAGCUGGAGCUGGCAGUCGUAGUCUUCACGACUUUCUUCUGUACUGGCUUUGGAGGUGGAGCUGAGGACUUUGGUGUAGAUGAGAUGGGUGCUGAGGGUUUUGGCGCUGAUGGUUUGGGAGUUGACGGUUUUGGAACCGAGGGUUUUAGAGCUGAGGGUUUUGUGACAGAACCCUGUCCAGACUUCUCUUAAGGCUUUGGAGCCUUUGGUUUUGAUGGUGCAGACUGCUUUUUAGGAAUCUCUGAGCCUGAGGUUUCUGCUGCUGAGGAAUGAGCAGCACCGGUGGCAGCAGCUGAGGAUUCAUGAAAUUUCUUCACUGCUGUUUCGGCUUCCUUCUUGAGCUUGGCCAGAUGCCUUUCUUUUUCAUCUGGGUAGUCAUCAAGUGUCAUAAGACUUGAGGGAUGAGCUACUUGAUGAUCCUCGAGUGGAGCCCUUCUGCCAGGAGGCUUCAAAGCGAAUUUCUUCGCAUAUUUUGGGGUCACAAACCUGUACUCCUUCCACUCCUUUGCCCAUCUGCAUUCAAUUUUCUGCAGCCUAAUCUUUCUUUUAGGCAUAGUCUCAGGUUCAUCAUCAGGCGUGCAAUAGUCCAUGUAUAUGUCAUCAGGAAUAUCAACAGUUGUGUUCUGCUCCAGUUUCUUUCCUCCCUUCUGUUUCCUUUCUUCCUCCAUUUUCUUCAGACGAGGAAUUUGCUGAUGAUUUUGAACUCUUGAAGAUUCUGAUGAGCCUUGAAGAGUUUCUUCCAGAAACGCUGCAAAUGAGUUAAUGUGAUGAGAACCGAGAGAUUCAUCAGCUGACAUGUGUGUACCUGUGAACAGAGUAUAGUUGCGAGGAAUUUGGAGAGGUCAUAUGCGUUCUCAGAUUUGAAGAAAAUGAAAAAGUUUGACAGUUUGAGGAAUAUAACCAGUGGUUGAGGAAUUUGCUUAAGCAUACUGUUCUUGGGUUCCAGAGUUGUACAGAUCCGAAAAUUCGCACAAUUGAGGAAUCUCAUGAAAAUCUUAGAUGCUUAGCUAGUUCAUCAAUGAUUGUGGUGAUGGAUAGUGUUUGAGGAAUCAUGUGCGCAUCGUAUCUUGAGGAAAAACAGAUUUCACAUGGGAGAGGUAAAACUUCAGAUCUAAUCUGCUGUAAAAAUGGGAUAUAUUUACCCUGGAAGGUGCGAACGAAGAACACAAAAAGGUGGUGUUGGAGAGGCUCUUCGGUCAAGUGUCCAAUGCACCCUAACUUAGCAGCAGAGGACGUCUACGGCGGAGGCGGACGUAGAUGUUCCGACUCCGGCGUGAUCCUGGCGGCGAGAAGGUUGAGGCAGUGAAGCUCUUCCAUGCCGGCGACAAGACAACCAGCGGUGGCGCUAGGGUUCGAUGGAGAGUGUGAUGGCAGGAGAGCGAUGAGGCGAAGAAGAAGAUACUGAAGGGGUUAAGGACAUAUUUAUAGCCCGAAAGUUACUGUUUGGCGCGAAAGUUUCGGACCGAAUAGCCCUUGCCUCUACGUCUCCGCAGGACACGUGUAGCUCCCGUACGAUGCGGUGGAGAUAGUGGAGAUCGUGGCUAUCCGAUCGUGGGAAGUGGGGUUUCAGUUACUGUUCCUUUGAAGAAAACAAUUUUUCGAAGAUUUGAGGAUUUUCGUUACAAAAUCAUCAGCUGACAAGGAUGCAGUGAGGAUUUUGAACAAAGUUUCAAGUAGAACGCAUAUGAAGAAUUGAAUAGACUGGAUAAGUAUAGCAUAGAGGGAAAAUAGGGUCCGAUCACAUUCACUUAGCAGAAACAUCAACUUGAAGAAAUAGCAAUAAGUGAAUGAUGUUGAGGACUAGAAAUCACAGUCUACCUAGGCAAAUGAAAGUCAUCAAGUGUUUUUGAAGAUUUUGCAAUAGAUCAUCACAAUGAAGAACAACUGUUUUGAAGAAAAUGCAUUGUGAGGAAAUUGAUCAUUUGAAGAAAAUCAACUUGAGGAAUUUCACAUUGGGCAGUGGCGUUACCCACCAUAUAAGAAUGUUGAUUACAGACGCCGGGUACAAUUGUCGUAGGGCCCUGAGAAUCAAUUUCUUCGUUAAUUUCUUCACAUUCAGAGUGACUUUCUUCAUUGGUUGAAGAAAAUCGUUUCAUCAUGUGUUGCACAUCUAAGUCAUCAACUUUGCAUAAGUGUUAGGAUGUGUGCAUGUCUUUACAAAACAUUUGAAGACUCUAAGAUAUUUAGCUCACACCGCAACUUGCAAAACCUUUUCUCAUCCAAGGGCUUAGUGAAGAUAUCAGCCAGUUGAUCAUCAGUCUUCACAUGGUCGAUGAGGAUAUUGCCCUUGAGGACAUGGUCCCGAAGAAAAUGAUGACGAAUCUGGAUGUGCUUGGUCUUCGGGUGCUAUACUGGGUUAUAUGCAAUCUUGAUAGCACUCUCAUUGUCACAGUAGAGAGGCACAUUCUUCAUGUUGAUGCCGUAGUCCUUGAGGGUUUACUUCAUCCAUAGUAAUUGAGCACAGCAAGAACCAGCAGCAAUGUACUCAGCUUCGGCAGUGGAGAGUGAUACGCAGUUCUGCUUCUUUGAGGACCAGCAAACUAGUGAUCUUCCGAGGAAAUGGCAUGUGCCAGAUGUUGACUUGCGAUCCACACGGUCACCAGCAUAGUCUGAAUCAGAAUACCCUACCAGAUGAAGAUUGGAGCCCUUGGGAUACCAUAAUCCUAGUGUUGGUGUGUGAGCUAAGUAUCGAAGAAUAUGUUUCACAACCUUAUGGUGUGAUUCCUUCGGUUUUGCUUGAAAACGUGCACACAUGCAAACACUAAGCAUUAUGUCUGGCCUAGAUGCACAUAGAUACAAUGAAGAGCCAAUCAUAGAACGAUAUACCUGCUGAUCGAAAUCUUUACCAUUUUCAUCAGUGCCGAGGUGACCGUUGGUAGGCAUUGGAGUCUUGGCACCUUUGCAUUCAUGCAUGUCGAAUUUCCUCAGAACAUCCUUGAGGUAUUUCUCCUGUGAUAUGAAGAUUCCAUUGUUUUGUUGACGAAUUUGAAGACCUAGGAAGAAUUUCAGCUCCCCCAUCAUGGACAUCUGAUAUUCUUCACUCAUCAUAUAGGCAAAUUCAUCACUGUAUCUUUUGUCAGUACAACCAAAUAUGAUGUCAUCAACAUAUAUUUGACAUACAAACAGCUCAUUAUCAUAAGAUUUUGUGAAAAGAGUUGGAUCGAGUGAACCAGGUUUGAAGCCUUUCUUCAUGAGGAAUUCCUUCAAUGUAUCAUACCAUGCCCGAGGGGCUUGCUUGAGGCCAUACAUAGCCUUUUUGAGUCUGAAGACUUUGUCUGGAUUCUUUGGAUCCUCAAAACCUGGGGGCUGAGCAACAUAUACUUCUUCCUCAAUCUUACCAUUGAGGAAUGCACUUUUCACAUCCAUUUGAUAUAAGAUGAUGUUAUGAUGAUUAGCAUAAGCAAGUAGAAUUCGAAUAGCUUCAAGUCUAGGAACAGGUGCAAAAGUUUCAUCGAAAUCUAUUCCUUCAACCUGGGUGUAGCCUUGGGCUACAAGUCGUGCCUUGUUCCUCACCACUUGACCGUCCUCAUCUUGCUUGUUUCGGAAAAUCCACUUGGUGCUGAUGAUGUUAUGCUUGCGAGGAUCUGGUCGUUUGACGAGCUCCCAUACGUCAUUCAGCUUGAAUUGAAGAAGUUCGUCUUGCAUGGCUUGGAUCCACUCCGGUUCCAGAAAAGCCUCAACUACUUUUGAGGGUUCUGUGAUAGAUACAAAAGAAAAAUGCCCACAAAAGUUAACUAAGUGUGAAGCUUUUGAGCGAGUGAGAGGACCUGGCGCGUUGAUGUCGUUGAGGAUUUUGUCAAGUUCUACUUCAUUUGCAAUCCUCGGAUGAGCUGGUUGAGGAUUUUGUCUGGGCUGAGGAAGUGGUGCUGUUGCAAUUUCCUGAGGAGCAUCUUCUUGACUUUCAUCAGCGAUGGGGAUUGUUUCUUCACCAAUUUCCUCAGUGGGGACAAUGUCUUCAGUAGGCUUAAGCUUUAUUGCUUCCUCAGGAGACAGCUUAUCUGGAUCAGAAGGCAAUUGCUCUCUUUGCGAGCCAUUAGUUUCAUCGAACCGCACAUCUACAGUCUCAACAACUUUGUUGUGAUAGUUGUUGAAGACUCUGUAGGUGUGCGAGUCCUUUCCAUAACCGAGCAUAAAACCUUCAUGUGCCUUAGGUGCAAAUUUUGAGCUAUGAUGAGGAUCUCUAAUCCAGCAUUUUGCACCGAAGACUUUGAAAUAACUUACAUUGGGUUUCUUGUCAGUGAGGAGUUCAUAUGAGGUUUUCUUGAGGAAUUUGUGAAGAUAUACCCUGUUGAUGAUAUUGCAUGCGGUAUUGAUUGCUUCAGGCCAGAAGCGACGAGGAGUCUGAUAUUCUUCAAGCAUAGUUCUUGCCAUCUCAACCAGAGUCCUGUUCUUUCUUUCGACGACACCAUUCUGCUGAGGAGUAUAAGGAGCAGACAAUUCGUGAGUAAUACCAAGUUUAUCAAGAUAAUCAUCAAGACCAGUGUUUUUGAACUCGGUUCCAUUAUCACUCCUAAUAUGUUUGAUCUUGAUGCCGAAGUUCGUCGAGGCCCUUGAAGAAAAUCGUUUGAAGAUUUCCUGCACUUCAGUUUUAUACACUAUGAUAUGCACCCAAGUGUAUCUGGAAUAAUCAUCAACUAUGACAAAGCCAUAUAGAGAUGCUGCAUUGGUUAGUGUUGCAUAGUGAGUAGGUCCAAAUAAAUCCAUAUGAAGCAAUUCAAAUGGACGUGUAGUGGUCAUGAUGGUUUUGGAGGGAUGCUUGGAUCUGGUCAUUUUCCCAGAUUCACAAGCACCACAGAGAUGAUCCUUGAGGAAUUUGACUGAUUCGAUGCCAAUGACAUGCUUCUUCUUUGCAAGUGUGUGCAAAUUCCUCAUGCCUGCAUGACCUAGUCUUCGGUGCCACAACCAUCCUUCUGAGGUUUUUGCUAGUAAGCAAGUGGCUGGUUGAGGACCUGUAGAGAAGUCAACAAUGUACAAAUCCCCUCUUCUUACACCUUCGAAGACUUUGGAUCUGUCAGAUUCCAUGAUGAUUACACAUCUAUAUCUACCAAAGAUAACAAUCAUAUCAAGAUCACAAAGCAUCGAGACUGACAUGAGGUUAAAACCAAGGGAUUCAACAAGCAUCACUUUGUCCAUAUGCCUAUCCUUGGAAAUAGCUACUUUGCCAAGUCCCAAUACCUUGCUUUUACCUUUGUCAGCAUAUGUGAUUUGCUUCAGAGGUGAUGGAGUUAGUGGCAUAUUCAUCAGUAAGAUUUUAUCACCAGUCAUGUGAUGUGUGCAGCCACUAUCGAGAACCCACUCAGUAUUUUUGGGUUUGUCAUCCUGCAGAUGAAUUAGUACACCUUACCAUCUCAUAUGCUUCAGAUUUGAAGAAUAUGAUACUAAUUUCAUCAGUUCAGUGAUUUCAUCAUAACAUAAAUGUAAGGACGUGUGAAAUAUUUCUAUUUCAUCAAUCAUUAGCUUGCGUCCUAUCAAGCAUUUCCUCAGGUCUCCAGCAAAUUCUUAAGAUGAUGAUUUUCAUCUGGAGACCUGUCCAGCAGAAGUGAUUAGUUUGAUUUCUUCACCACCCACAUCUGAAGGGGUGGCAAAGCAUUCAUCAUCCUGCGAGCACCAUAUGAGAAAGGUGGCAUUGAAGCUAAUGCACUUCUCUUAACAGUAGGGGGGUUAAAGUACUCAUAUGAGUAUGCAGAGAACUGGUUUGAGGAUUUAUGAACAUAAUGAUUUGAGGAGUAGCGCUCAUAAUCAUAUUCCUUGUAGUUUCCCUGCAUGUUAGACGCAUAAGCACGGGUACGCGCAUAGUUUUGACCAGUUGAGGAUUUUGAUCCUCUUGAAGACUUUGGUCCUCCUGAGGAAUUUGAUCUGGGUUUCAGAUUCUUCAGAGGUGAUGUCAUGAGAACAUUCACUUGAAGAUUUUCAAGACAACUUUUGGGAACCCAGAUUUUCCUCAGAGGAGGGCCAUUCCUGCAGUUAGUUCCAACAUAUCGAGCAAAUACUUCACCUGAUUGAUUUUUGAACAGUUUAUAGUUGGAAUCAAAUGACUCAUCCGAGGAAUAGGAUAAUUCACAUGAGAAGCCAGUUAGAUUAGAUGGAUCAAAAGGAGGCCCAGUAGCAGCAACCCAUGAGGUUUUGGGAUACUGCUCAGGUUUCCAAUAAGAUCCAUCAGCAUUCAAUUUCCUCUCAAAGGCAAUUCCUUCUUUCCUCGGGUUCCUGUUCAAGAUCUGCGUUUUGAGCACAUCACAAAGGGUUUGGUGUCCUUUGAGGCUUUUGUACAUGCCUGUCAAGUACAAUUCCUUCAACCCUGCAUUUUCAUGAGUGACAUUUGUGUUUUCCUCAAGUGAGGAAAUAGACACAACAGGUGCAGUUGAAGAAUUUGUACGGGUGGUAGCAUUUGAAGAUUCUGGUGAAGAAUUAGCAGUUUCACGAUCAAUGCAUUUAAGACAUGGAGGAAUAAAUUCAACUUGACUAGCACUGAUCUGUUGAGCUAGUAAUGAAUCAUUUUCCAUACGAAGAUCAUCAUAAGACAUCCUCAGCUUCUCAAGAUCAAGCUUCCUUUGAAGAAAUUCGUAGGAAACCUUCUCAUGAUUAGUGAGGAGUGUAUCAUAACGAUCCUCAAGAAUAUCAAAUCUAGACUGAAGAUUUUUCAUGUCAUCAGCGAGAAUUUGAUUAAGAUUCAUUUCAUCAUUCAACAGAUCAUCACUUUUGUCUAGCAGUUUUUGAAGCUUUUCCAGAGCAGUUUGUUGUUUAGUGGCAAUGAUGGCAAGUUUACUGUAACUGGGUUCUUUGUAAUCAUCAUGUUCACAGUCACUUGAAUCAGAGGAGGAGGCAUUAUGUGAUACCUUUGAACCUUUUGCCAUGAAGCAAUAGGUUGGAGCGAAGUCAUCAGCAUAGUCAUCAGUAUGGAUGGUGCACUCAUUUUCUUCAAGAUUGAAGAUUGACUUGCUCACGAAAUUGGUUACUAGUGCAAGACUAGCCUGUCCGGAUUCUGAAUCUUCUCCAGAGCCUUCUUCAUCAUCACAUUCUUCUGAUUCUGCCUCGGAAUCCAUUUCCUUGUCAAUAAGUGCCCGAGCCUGUCUGAAGCUAGUCUUCUUGUGUGAGGAGGACUUUGAAGAUGAGGAUUUUGAAGAUUUCUUCUUCUUCUUUGAGUCAUCAGAACUGUCAUCCUUGUAUUUCUUCUUCUUUGAUUCCUUUCCCCAGCGAGGACAAUGAGCAAUGUAAUGACCUGAUUUCUUGCACUUGUGACAGGUCCGUUUCUUGUAGUCCUCAGAUGCAGAUUCUGAUUUCCUCAUGUCUCUUCUUGAUGAUUUACCGAACUGGCCUCGUCGUGUAAAUCUCUGGAAUUUCCUCACAAGCAUUGCAAGUUCCUGACCAAAUUCUUCAGGGUCACAGCUGCUGUCAUCUGUGUCUUCUUCUUCGGAUGAGGAAAUUGCUCUUGUCUUCAGUGCACGUGGUCUGGAAUAGCUUUGUCCAUAUAGAUCUCUCUUUUCUUCUAGCUGGAAUUCAUGAGUAUUUAGCCUUUCGAGGAUAUCAGCAGGAUCUAACAUCUUGUAGUCUGGUCUUUCUUGAAUCAUCAGAACUAAAGUGUCAAAUGAAGAAUCCAAAGAUCUCAGCAGUUUCUUCACAACUUCGUGAUCAGUGAUGUCUCGAGCUCCCAGUGCUUGCAGUUCAUUUGAUAUGUCAGUGAGGCAAUCAAAGGUGUCUUGGCAACUUUCAUUGUCAUGUCUCUUGAAGCGAUUGAAGAGAUUGCGAAGAAUAUCAAUAUCAACACGAGAGUCACGUUGGGUUGAUACUCCUUCAUUUACCUUGCACAGUCUCUCCCAGAUCAGUGUUGCAGAGCCUAAGGCACUUACUCUUCCAAACUGGCCAGGGCUCAGAUGACCACAGAUGAUGUUCUUUGCUUGAGAAUCAAGUUGCUUGAAUUUCUUCACAUCAGUUGCAGUGACACUAGCAGAAAUGAUGGGGACACCAUUUUCCACAAUAUACCAGAGAUCAUUGUCUAUAGCUUGUAGAUGCAUUUGCAUUUUGUUCUUCCAGAAGAGAAAGUUCUUUCCCUCGUAGGUAGGACAUGCUGCAGUCACCUUAAACAUGCCUGCAGUCGACAUAACUAAAACUCAGGUGGUUAAACCAAAAUCACACAGAACAAGGAAGUACCUUGCUCUGAUACCAAUUGAAAGUGCGUUAUAUCGACUAGAGGGGGGUGAAUAGGAGAUUUUUAGAAUUUCGUCACUGAGGAAAUUCCUUUUGAGGAAAUUCCUCACUGAUGACUAACUUACAGCGGAAGCAGUUAAGGAUCAGUCGUGCAAUCGUUCACAACAGCAGUAUUACAGAGUGAAGAUUAUGAAAACAGAUCGCACAGUAAGCAGGCACGCAGAAUACAGAUGAUGAUUAACUCAAGUGAAGAAUUUGGGGUUGAGGAAAUUCAGAGAAAGUCUUCAGCAAAUUCUUCAAACAGUCACAGUGAAUGUCAUCAACACAUAAUACAGAGAAUGUAAAGAGUUGAGNNNNNNNNNNNNNNNNNNNNNNNNNNNNNNNNNNNNNNNNNNNNNNNNNNNNNNNNNNNNNNNNNNNNNNNNNNNNNNNNNNNNNNNNNNNNNNNNNNNNACGCUCGCCGACACGCUCGCAUGCGGCGCCGUUGGCCACAUCAUGGGCGUCGGCAUCGUGCUCGGCCUCAAGAACACCGGCGUCCUCGACCAGAUCAUCGGCUAGAAUAACCCUUCCUUUUCCCUCCAUAGCUGUUCUGCAUCCAUCGGGCGCUCCAUCUAGUGGAUCAACUAAUGCUCCCUUCGUAAUUUGAUCAUGUGAAUGUAUGUGUAUGCAUCUUUGUUUCAGCGGGACGUACCGCCGCGCCGGUGUGGCAACUGCUUCAUCCCAUGCGUUUUUUCACCAUCUAUAGUAGACUAUUACUCCCUCUGUAAAUUAACAUAAAAACAUUUAAAUCAUUAAAAUAGCGAUCUAAACAUUUUAUAUUAAUUUACAGAGGGAGUAUCUUCUAGAUGGUGAAGAUCCGCUCGUGCUAUUGAAAAAGCAACACAUAGUCCGAUAACUAAAUUAGUAACAAACUAACAAUNNNNNNNNNNNNNNNNNNNNNNNNNNNNNNNNNNNNNNNNNNNNNNNNNNNNNNNNNNNNNNNNNNNNNNNNNNNNNNNNNNNNNNNNNNNNNNNNNNNNNNNNNNNNNNNNNNNNNNNNNNNNNNNNNNNNNNNNNNNNNNNNNNNNNNNNNNNNNNNNNNNNNNNNNNNNNNNNNNNNNNNNNNNNNNNNNNNNNNNNNNNNNNNNNNNNNNNNNNNNNNNNNNNNNNNNNNNNNNNNNNNNNNNNNNNNNNNNNNNNNNNNNNNNNNNNNNNNNNNNNNNNNNNNNNNNNNNNNNNNNNNNNNNNNNNNNNNNNNNNNNNNNNNNNNNNNNNNNNNNNNNNNNNNNNNNNNNNNNNNNNNNNNNNNNNNNNNNNNNNNNNNNNNNNNNNNNNNNNNNNNNNNNNNNNNNNNNNNNNNNNNNNNNNNNNNNNNNNNNNNNNNNNNNNNNNNNNNNNNNNNNNNNNNNNNNNNNNNNNNNNNNNNNNNNNNNNNNNNNNNNNNNNNNNNNNNNNNNNNNNNNNNNNNNNNNNNNNNNNNNNNNNNNNNNNNNNNNNNNNNNNNNNNNNNNNNNNNNNNNNNNNNNNNNNNNNNNNNNNNNNNNNNNNNNNNNNNNNNNNNNNNNNNNNNNNNNNNNNNNNNNNNNNNNNNNNNNNNNNNNNNNNNNNNNNNNNNNNNNNNNNNNNNNNNNNNNNNNNNNNNNNNNNNNNNNNNNNNNNNNNNNNNNNNNNNNNNNNNNNNNNNNNNNNNNNNNNNNNNNNNNNNNNNNNNNNNNNNNNNNNNNNNNNNNNNNNNNNNNNNNNNNNNNNNNNNNNNNNNNNNNNNNNNNNNNNNNNNNNNNNNNNNNNNNNNNNNNNNNNNNNNNNNNNNNNNNNNNNNNNNNNNNNNNNNNNNNNNNNNNNNNNNNNNNNNNNNNNNNNNNNNNNNNNNNNNNNNNNNNNNNNNNNNNNNNNNNNNNNNNNNNNNNNNNNNNNNNNNNNNNNNNNNNNNNNNNNNNNNNNNNNNNNNNNNNNNNNNNNNNNNNNNNNNNNNNNNNNNNNNNNNNNNNNNNNNNNNNNNNNNNNNNNNNNNNNNNNNNNNNNNNNNNNNNNNNNNNNNNNNNNNNNNNNNNNNNNNNNNNNNNNNNNNNNNNNNNNNNNNNNNNNNNNNNNNNNNNNNNNNNNNNNNNNNNNNNNNNNNNNNNNNNNNNNNNNNNNNNNNNNNNNNNNNNNNNNNNNNNNNNNNNNNNNNNNNNNNNNNNNNNNNNNNNNNNNNNNNNNNNNNNNNNNNNNNNNNNNNNNNNNNNNNNNNNNNNNNNNNNNNNNNNNNNNNNNNNNNNNNNNNNNNNNNNNNNNNNNNNNNNNNNNNNNNNNNNNNNNNNNNNNNNNNNNNNNNNNNNNNNNNNNNNNNNNNNNNNNNNNNNNNNNNNNNNNNNNNNNNNNNNNNNNNNNNNNNNNNNNNNNNNNNNNNNNNNNNNNNNNNNNNNNNNNNNNNNNNNNNNNNNNNNNNNNNNNNNNNNNNNNNNNNNNNNNNNNNNNNNNNNNNNNNNNNNNNNNNNNNNNNNNNNNNNNNNNNNNNNNNNNNNNNNNNNNNNNNNNNNNNNNNNNNNNNNNNNNNNNNNNNNNNNNNNNNNNNNNNNNNNNNNNNNNNNNNNNNNNNNNNNNNNNNNNNNNNNNNNNNNNNNNNNNNNNNNNNNNNNNNNNNNNNNNNNNNNNNNNNNNNNNNNNNNNNNNNNNNNNNNNNNNNNNNNNNNNNNNNNNNNNNNNNNNNNNNNNNNNNNNNNNNNNNNNNNNNNNNNNNNNNNNNNNNNNNNNNNNNNNNNNNNNNNNNNNNNNNNNNNNNNNNNNNNNNNNNNNNNNNNNNNNNNNNNNNNNNNNNNNNNNNNNNNNNNNNNNNNNNNNNNNNNNNNNNNNNNNNNNNNNNNNNNNNNNNNNNNNNNNNNNNNNNNNNNNNNNNNNNNNNNNNNNNNNNNNNNNNNNNNNNNNNNNNNNNNNNNNNNNNNNNNNNNNNNNNNNNNNNNNNNNNNNNNNNNNNNNNNNNNNNNNNNNNNNNNNNNNNNNNNNNNNNNNNNNNNNNNNNNNNNNNNNNNNNNNNNNNNNNNNNNNNNNNNNNNNNNNNNNNNNNNNNNNNNNNNNNNNNNNNNNNNNNNNNNNNNNNNNNNNNNNNNNNNNNNNNNNNNNNNNNNNNNNNNNNNNNNNNNNNNNNNNNNNNNNNNNNNNNNNNNNNNNNNNNNNNNNNNNNNNNNNNNNNNNNNNNNNNNNNNNNNNNNNNNNNNNNNNNNNNNNNNNNNNNNNNNNNNNNNNNNNNNNNNNNNNNNNNNNNNNNNNNNNNNNNNNNNNNNNNNNNNNNNNNNNNNNNNNNNNNNNNNNNNNNNNNNNNNNNNNNNNNNNNNNNNNNNNNNNNNNNNNNNNNNNNNNNNNNNNNNNNNNNNNNNNNNNNNNNNNNNNNNNNNNNNNNNNNNNNNNNNNNNNNNNNNNNNNNNNNNNNNNNNNNNNNNNNNNNNNNNNNNNNNNNNNNNNNNNNNNNNNNNNNNNNNNNNNNNNNNNNNNNNNNNNNNNNNNNNNNNNNNNNNNNNNNNNNNNNNNNNNNNNNNNNNNNNNNNNNNNNNNNNNNNNNNNNNNNNNNNNNNNNNNNNNNNNNNNNNNNNNNNNNNNNNNNNNNNNNNNNNNNNNNNNNNNNNNNNNNNNNNNNNNNNNNNNNNNNNNNNNNNNNNNNNNNNNNNNNNNNNNNNNNNNNNNNNNNNNNNNNNNNNNNNNNNNNNNNNNNNNNNNNNNNNNNNNNNNNNNNNNNNNNNNNNNNNNNNNNNNNNNNNNNNNNNNNNNNNNNNNNNNNNNNNNNNNNNNNNNNNNNNNNNNNNNNNNNNNNNNNNNNNNNNNNNNNNNNNNNNNNNNNNNNNNNNNNNNNNNNNNNNNNNNNNNNNNNNNNNNNNNNNNNNNNNNNNNNNNNNNNNNNNNNNNNNNNNNNNNNNNNNNNNNNNNNNNNNNNNNNNNNNNNNNNNNNNNNNNNNNNNNNNNNNNNNNNNNNNNNNNNNNNNNNNNNNNNNNNNNNNNNNNNNNNNNNNNNNNNNNNNNNNNNNNNNNNNNNNNNNNNNNNNNNNNNNNNNNNNNNNNNNNNNNNNNNNNNNNNNNNNNNNNNNNNNNNNNNNNNNNNNNNNNNNNNNNNNNNNNNNNNNNNNNNNNNNNNNNNNNNNNNNNNNNNNNNNNNNNNNNNNNNNNNNNNNNNNNNNNNNNNNNNNNNNNNNNNNNNNNNNNNNNNNNNNNNNNNNNNNNNNNNNNNNNNNNNNNNNNNNNNNNNNNNNNNNNNNNNNNNNNNNNNNNNNNNNNNNNNNNNNNNNNNNNNNNNNNNNNNNNNNNNNNNNNNNNNNNNNNNNNNNNNNNNNNNNNNNNNNNNNNNNNNNNNNNNNNNNNNNNNNNNNNNNNNNNNNNNNNNNNNNNNNNNNNNNNNNNNNNNNNNNNNNNNNNNNNNNNNNNNNNNNNNNNNNNNNNNNNNNNNNNNNNNNNNNNNNNNNNNNNNNNNNNNNNNNNNNNNNNNNNNNNNNNNNNNNNNNNNNNNNNNNNNNNNNNNNNNNNNNNNNNNNNNNNNNNNNNNNNNNNNNNNNNNNNNNNNNNNNNNNNNNNNNNNNNNNNNNNNNNNNNNNNNNNNNNNNNNNNNNNNNNNNNNNNNNNNNNNNNNNNNNNNNNNNNNNNNNNNNNNNNNNNNNNNNNNNNNNNNNNNNNNNNNNNNNNNNNNNNNNNNNNNNNNNNNNNNNNNNNNNNNNNNNNNNNNNNNNNNNNNNNNNNNNNNNNNNNNNNNNNNNNNNNNNNNNNNNNNNNNNNNNNNNNNNNNNNNNNNNNNNNNNNNNNNNNNNNNNNNNNNNNNNNNNNNNNNNNNNNNNNNNNNNNNNNNNNNNNNNNNNNNNNNNNNNNNNNNNNNNNNNNNNNNNNNNNNNNNNNNNNNNNNNNNNNNNNNNNNNNNNNNNNNNNNNNNNNNNNNNNNNNNNNNNNNNNNNNNNNNNNNNNNNNNNNNNNNNNNNNNNNNNNNNNNNNNNNNNNNNNNNNNNNNNNNNNNNNNNNNNNNNNNNNNNNNNNNNNNNNNNNNNNNNNNNNNNNNNNNNNNNNNNNNNNNNNNNNNNNNNNNNNNNNNNNNNNNNNNNNNNNNNNNNNNNNNNNNNNNNNNNNNNNNNNNNNNNNNNNNNNNNNNNNNNNNNNNNNNNNNNNNNNNNNNNNNNNNNNNNNNNNNNNNNNNNNNNNNNNNNNNNNNNNNNNNNNNNNNNNNNNNNNNNNNNNNNNNNNNNNNNNNNNNNNNNNNNNNNNNNNNNNNNNNNNNNNNNNNNNNNNNNNNNNNNNNNNNNNNNNNNNNNNNNNNNNNNNNNNNNNNNNNNNNNNNNNNNNNNNNNNNNNNNNNNNNNNNNNNNNNNNNNNNNNNNNNNNNNNNNNNNNNNNNNNNNNNNNNNNNNNNNNNGUUCUGCAUCCAUCGGGCGCUCCAUCUAGUGGAUCAACUAAUGCUCCCUUCGUAAUUUGAUCAUGUGAAUGUAUGUGUAUGCAUCUUUGUUUCAGCGGGACGUACCGCCGCGCCGGUGUGGCAACUGCUUCAUCCCAUGCGUUUUUUCACCAUCUAUAGUAGACUAUUACUCCCUCUGUAAAUUAACAUAAAAACAUUUAAAUCAUUAAAAUAGCG
rnacentral:lncRNA from 1 species